rnacentral:lncRNA from 1 species
UCCGCGUGCACUCAGUCAUGAGAAACCGUCUCAAUUGGAAGCCUUCCUUCUCGAACCAGGAAAAUUUUGCAUUCUUGACCCGGCGAACAUUUUUUCCUUCUCAUUGGUAGAGGAGAAAAUAAGCAACAACAAACCCGAGAUUGACCUACAUUGCAGAGAGUAACAAUAAAAUGGCAAAACUAAAUUAAAAUUAGAAGGCAGACGACUUUGACUUUGAGGAAAAUAAACUACUGUAGUAUUAAAAGCAACUUCACAAGUAAAUAAAAAAAAAAAUUGACUUUAAAGUCAAGGACAUUGUAACACGCUGCAGUUUCCGGCCGGGGCUGAAAACCCUAUAAAUGAAGUAAAGAUUCUUUGCAAUUUUUAUAUCAACUCAUAUUCAUCUAGCAAAAGAAAAAUCAUGACAGACCCUUGUGUGGAAUUUGCUCUCGCAAAGCUUGAUGCUUUUCUAACGGGAGAAUUGCAGUUGCCAAAGAAAGUUGAUACUGGGAUCAGGACUUUGAGAAGUGAACUGGGUACUAUAACAGCAUUUCUGAGUGCAGCUCAUCAAAGAGCGGUCCAAGAUCAACAAAUUCUGGAUUGGGUUCGAAAGGUUCAAGAUGCAGCUGAUGACAUCAUCGACAUUCUUGACCUUUUUGACCAUCACAAGGCAGAAAAUGGCAGGGCAUUAUCGGUGACAAGGCGGCGGGCAUACCGGUCAAUUGCCGAUCAGAUAAAUGAUAUCAAAUCAACUCUCGAGGAAAUCAACAAGGGUAGAGAAAGAUACCUACCACUACCAGCAAAUUCGUCCCAUGCUGCCUUAACACCAAGUCCAACUACAAACCGUGAUUACUCAGAUCUUCAUCCGAGGAUUGCUCCUUUGUACCUUGCAGAUGCUGACGUUGUAGGCUUUGAGGAAGAUAGGGACAUGCUGAUGGCGUGGGCACUGGAUAUGGUGGAUGAGCACAAGGUCAUGUUUGUUGUGGGCAUGGGUGGAUCUGGCAAGACUACUCUUGCCAAGCAAGUAUUCGAGGCAGUAAAACAAGACUUCGGUUGCUCCGCAUGGAUCAGUGUUUCAAAGUCCAAGAAGAAAUUGGAGAUCUUGCGGAACAUGUUAGAUCAACUAUGCAGAUGCAGCUCCAGGGCGGAAACGGCCCCAGCUCCCCAGCAGCAAAGCUUGGAACACUACAUCAACCUCAUUAGGGAGUAUUUGCUGGAUAAGAGGUAUGUAAUCGUCCUCGAUGAUCUGUGGGCUGAUGAUGUUUUGAGAUCUAUUAUGUUAGUGAUGCGACUGCCGAAGUGAAGAUCCGAACUGAGCUGGUUGAGCGUCCGACCUGCACGUGAGCGAGCUGCGGGGCUGAGUCCCCUGUAGCAACUCCGACGAUCAAGUCAGAACUAGUUUGUAAGUAAAAAGAGUAGAGUCUGCACUAUGAGUAGCGUACCUUGUGUUUCUUAUGGGUGUGGUAUUUAUAGAACACCAGGUGGUAGUUUCCUGGUAGGACAAGGAGUCCUUAUUGGAGAGGAUAAGCCUCUAGGGCUCCACUACCCAGCUCUGGUAGACGAGGGCUCCGAAGCCCAUCAGGCCCAUCCGCCUGGGAGGCGGCGCUCGUCUGGUCCUGCAAGAGGACCUGACCCCUAGACCAGCCCAUCACGUCAGGACUCUUGGGCCGAGCUGACGUGUAUGCGGACCGGGCCGAGCUGACGUGUAUGCGGACCGGGCCGAUGUGCUCAUGGGCUCCACUACACUAGCCCCCCCUCUAGUCUAGAGUCACCGAACAGGCGCGUGAAUCUAGGCCGACUUUCAGAGCGUCGCGUCAGCUCGGUGCGGGCCCCUGUCAAGGAGUGGUGCAAGCAACCGUCGCGUCGGUUCGUGUCUGUCACCUCAACCGUCGCGUCGACCAGUUAUGGCGGUUGGGAACGGUUCCCCAUAAAUAGUUCAAAUAAAUGCGCGCCCUCUCGUCUUCCCGCCCUGAGAAUCGCCUAUAAAUAGGCCCCUUGGGCGUCAUUUUCACUCCUCCUUAUUCGCUCUAUCAGUUCGCUCCUUUCACUCCUAACUCGCUGCUUCAAACUUUUUUCUUUCAGAACACGUCGGGUCAAUCUUCCUUAGGAGCCCAGGGUUAGUUCGGCCCUCCCUAAAUCAGCUUUUCAUCCGAUCUCCUUCCAUCAGUAAGUUUCCUUUUCCUUUUUAUGUCUUCUUAUAGUUCUGAUAGCUCUGACGUUACCAGUUCGGCCCCUAGGCACAGAGCAGCUAGCCCCAUACUCCUAGAUAGCCCCUCUCCCGACCCCUCAAGUUCUUCUCCUUCCACUUCAUCUGGGUCAGUAACCGCGCCUUCUCCCAUACAAUCUCCUGUCCAAAUAAUGAGCCCGGCCGAACAAACUGCCCAGCCUCUAGUCGAGGCUGCGGAACAGGCAGCUCCAGCUCAGAUGGCCGCGGGGACCUCGGGAGGACCUAGUGGCGACUUUGGAGAGGUCGACACUAUCCCCCCUGCCCUGGGACAGAAGGAAGUUGACGGGCUGGCCGAAAAAUAUGAAAUCCCAGCCCAGUUUGAACCUAGGGCUGCCCUACCGGGGGAGGUCGCCAGCCGACCUCCUCCUGGCUUCGUGGCGAUCUAUAGGGACCAGCUGAUGGCUGGUCUCCGCCUGCCUAUUCCCAACUUCUUCUUCUUCAUCCUCACCUUCUGGGGCAUCCGCAUAACUCAGGUCAUCCCCAAUGGUGUUCGCUCCAUUAUAGGCUUUUUCAUCCUCUGCCGAGCACUAGAAAUUCCCUUUUCCCACGACCUGUUCCAAGCCUUCUUCCAGAUGAAGGUCAGCGGGAAGGUGCCCGGGUGGUUCUACUUCGCCCGUAGAAGUGGAGCAAAAACCCCCACCCGCGAGCUGUUCACGGGGGUACCUUCCUCCUUCAAAGACUGGAAGCGUUACUUCUUUUUUGUGAAGAGCCUGGGCUUUCCCCCUCUGACCUGGAGGGCGGAGACUCAGGUUUCGGAUCCACUUCCAGAUCCGCUCCCUGUAGCCGAGCUCAGCCGCCUACUCAGCUCAGACGAGAAGCUGGAGGUGAAAGAGUUCAGCAAUGCCCAACUCUGGGCGGCGGGGCUGAUCCGAGCUAACCCCUCAGAUCCCUCGCCAGAAAAUAGGCCGCUCUCGCCAGACGAGCUGACCUCUUGUAAACGACCUGGCCCUCCUUUUCUUUCCUCUCUUUGUUUUAUGCAUCUACUGACCUUCUGGUCUUCUGCUUUUUGCAGUGAAGAGGUUUUCUUCCCUUCUAACCAUCGGAGGAGCCAGCACUCCAGGUGCUACUACCCAGCCCUCCUCAGCCAUUCCAACCAGCUCGGCACCAGUUCCGACGCCUCAGCCAACUCCUGCUCAGUCCGCCAAGGCUGUCGAGGCUGGGAAGAAAAAGAAGAAGAAGACAACUGCCAAGAGGGCAAGAGUGGAGACGACCUCCUCCCCAGUUCAGGAAGAGAGGUCCACGCCCGAACCUGGUCAGAGCGGUCACUACGGCGUGAAUACUGCCGAGGAGCAAGCCCGAGCUGACGCUCCUCCUAACCUGUGGCAACGCCAGAGUUCUACCCUGCUAUUCGACCCACAGACGCGGCUGAUCACGCACCAACACCCAAUGCACUUCUGUCCUCAGUGGAAACUCUCCAUAAACGACCGAGCUCAAUUCCCAGAGGUGGCCAGGGAGCUCGCUCAGGGGGCCAUCCUUCCAAGGGACCACAGCUUGGUCAAGGCCAUGGAGGCGUCUGACCUCCUCGACUAUUAUUACACAGGCGCGGCCCAAGUGAACUUGGUUGGUUCCGAGCUGGCCAAGCGCUAUGAGGGCCUCCUCCCCCUGAUGAGCGAGACGAGGGCGGCCAAUGAGAAACUGCUCAGCCAGAACGAAGCAGCUGUGGCAGAAGCUGAAGGUCUGAGGAAGCAACUCGCCCAGGCUCACUCUAAUUUUGAACUGGAGCUAAAGAAGAACUCCGACCUGACCUCUCAGCUGCAUGGGGAGCAGAAGAGGAGCGCCGAGCUGUCUGCUCAGGUCGAGGCGGCUAGGACUGAGGGAGCCCAGGAGGGCGUGCGGGCCUUCCUCAGGUCGGAGGAUUUUAGGGGCGACCUGGCCAUCCUGAAUACUCCCGUGCUGCAUCAUGGGUAUUCUCAAGCCCUGGAGGAGGUGCAAAGGCUGGGUUUGCCUGGGUUUGAUUUGGGCAAGUUUCCCAGCUACAACCCCCUGGCUGUGGAGCAGCUCGACCGCCUGGUGGAGGGUUACACGCAUGGACGGAAGUUGGCCGACCUGGUUGCCGAUCCUCAGCUGCCAGUAACCACUCCUGAAACCGAUCAGGAGGAGGAAGAGGGCGAGAACUAGAGUAGGAACUUAGGAUAGGAUCUGAACUGUUAGUAGGCAGUUCGUUUUGUAUGAGCUUUGCUCCUCCUCUGUGCAAUUCCUUUUGUGCGAGCUUGGCUCCCCUUUGUACAGUUUUAUUGAAUGAAAUGAAAAGGCCUUUCCCCUUGCUUCAUUCUUAGUCUUAUUUGCAAAAAUCGUCACAAAGUGCAUCAGGUCGGUCCAAUACCGACCUGAGGAAACUACUCCCUAAUGAUGAAAUAACUUUUUAGCCGAAUACAUUAAUAACAAAAAGGUCUUGACCUUGGGACGAGCUGUCCUCUUAACGAAAAAUCCUCAAGUUGGAAUUGUGCCAGGUUCGCGGGAGCACUUCCCCGCUGAGGUGGGCUAACUUGCAGUGCCCAGCUCGAUCCGCUUCUUUCACCACAUAGGGACCUUCCCAAUUUGGGUCCAGCUUGCUCGCGCCCAGAACCCGACUGACACUAUUCUUUCGUAAGACCAGGUCCCCUGGUUUGAACGACAGAGGUCUCACCCUAGCAUUGUAGUGCCGCGCGAUCUGUCCUUUGUACUUGGCCAUACGUAUGGCUGCCUCCUCCCUUCUUCCUUCCAGCAAAUCCAAAUUAAGGCGCAGCUCAUCUUCAUUGUCCCGAGCUAUGAAAUUCUGAACCCUGCCCGAUGGAAUUCCUAUCUCCGCAGGGAUCACCGCCUCUGCUCCAUAAGUUAGAGCAAAAGGAGUCUCCUGGGCAGCAGUUCGGGGAGUGGUUCGGUAAGCCCACAAUAUGGUUGGCAGCUCGUCCAUCCACCCAGUUCGGGCGAAUUCUAUCCGUGUCUUCAAACCGUGCAGGAUGGUUCUGUUGACGUUUUCGACCUGUCCAUUAGCCUGAGGGUGGCCAACCGAGGUGAAGUGCUGCCGGAUCCCGAGCUCCGAGCACCAGUCUUGAAGAGCGGUGUCAGCGAACUGACGCCCGUUGUCAGAAACCAGGACAUGAGGUAUUCCAAACCGGCAAACGAUGUUUUUCCAAAGGAACUUCUGCACCGACCUGCUGCUAAUGGUGGUAAGGGGCUCGGCCUCCACCCAUUUGGUGAAAUAAUCCACUGCCACUACCACAUGUUCAUAACCCCCAGGAGCUCGGGGAAACGGACCCAACAGGUCGACUCCCCAUUGGAAAAAAGGCCAAGGACUCUGAAGAGGGAUCAUCUCCUGAGUUGGGACGUGAUGGAUCGGCGCAUGCAGCUGACAGGAUUUGCACCGAGCUACCAGGUCGGCUGAAUCCAAGAAGAUGGUCGGCCAGUAAUACCCAGACAGCAUUCCCUUCUUGGCCAGAAUCCUUGGGCCGACGUGGUUUCCACAUAUGCCCUCGUGCAGCUCCCGCAGGAUGUAGUUUCCUUCCUCCGGAGUGAUACACCUCAGCCAGGGGCGCAGGUAAGAUUUCUUGUAGAGUACCCCAUUCGAGAGCUCAUAUCCCCGCGACCUGAGGAGGACCCUCCGUGCCUCCGCCCGGCUUGGAGGGAGUUCUCCACUAGCCAAGUACCGCACGAUGGGAUCCAUCCAUGAGCCCAACACUUGAAUAACAGCUGCCUCUACCUGGUCGUAUGCCCGAUUCCUGACAACCUCUACCAGGACUUCUUUGUUCAAUGUACCGACCGAGGUGGAAGCCAGUUUGGACAGAGCAUCCGCUCUCUUAUUUUGGCUUCGCGAGACCUGCUUGAGUGUGAAUACCUUGAACUGAGCUCUCAGCUCAUGCACUUUGGCGACAUACCUCCUUAAGGGCUCUUCCUUAACCUCAUAACGUCCUCCUACCUGAUUCACUAUUAGCUGCGAGUCGCUGUAGACUUCUAUUGACUCGGCCCCCAACUUCCGAGCUAUCAUCAUCCCUGCGAUUAGGGCCUCAUAUUCGGACUCGUUGUUAGAGGCCCUGAAAUCAAAUCUCAGGGCGUAGGCCAGCUCAUCCCCCUUGGGGCUAGUCAAGAGAAGCCCUGCUCCACAGCCUUCCUUGCUUGAGGAUCCAUCCACGAAAAGCGUCCAGGUCGGGAUGGUCCGAUCGACCUUGCCCGUGACCUGUCCAGCAUCAACAGCCUCUUUGACCUGCUCGGCCUUGGCUCCCUUUGUGGCCUGUGCGACCUCGGCAAGUCCCUCGGCCUGCUUGGCCUCGACUGCGUCUAUGGUCUGUUCAGCCAUGAAAGCCUUAGCACCCUUUGUGACCUCGGCAGCUUCUCCGACCUGUCCGGCCUCAGCCACGUCUUGGGUCGAUUUGGUACCGGCGGCUUGUACGACCUCGACAGCUCCUCUGGCCUGUUCGGCCUUGGCUGCGCCUCUGGUCAGCUCGGCUGGCGACUGCUCUUGCCCAAAGGAGAUUCCUUCAGCUAUGAAAUCUGCCAAUGCUUGAGCCUUAAUGGCCGUGCGGGGUUGGUAGCUAAGAUCGUAUUCAGACAACUCCACUGCCCACCUUACCAUUCUUCCUGAUGCAUCAGGCUUUGAGAGAAUUUGCUUGAGAGGCUGGUCGGUCAUGACCACCACGGGGUGAGUUUGCAAGUAGGAUCUGAGCUUCCGGGUCGCGUGCACCAGUGCCAAAACAUACCGCUCAAUUGAGGUGUACCUCGGCUCCGCCCCCUGCAAAGCCCGGCUGACAUAGUAUAUGGGCUUCUGGAUUUUGCCUUCUUCCCGAACUAGUACCGCACUGAUCGCCUCCUCCCCAACUGCCAGAUAGAUGAAUAAGACUUCUCCUUGUGCGGGAGAGGUCAAGGCUGGCAAGCGCGCGAUGUGGGCCUUGAGCUCGUCAAAUGCGCGCUGGCACUCUGGAGUCCACUCGAACUGGGGACCUCUCCGCAGGGCCCUGAAGAAGGGGGAACCUCGGACGGCUGACUUCGACAAGAACCUGUUCAGGGCCGCCAUCCUGCCAGCUAGCCGUUGGACCUCUUUUACGUUUCGAGGAGGAGCCAUGUCCAUGAUAGCUUUUACCUUGUCGGGAUUAGCUCUUACCCCGUCCUUGGAUAUCAUGUACCCCAGGAACUUGCCCGACCUGACCCCGAAGGUGCACUUCUUGGGGUUCAGCCGCAUCCGCGAGCUCCGUAGAACGUCAAAGAUCUCUCUGAGGUCCUUGAUGAACUGAUCCUGAGUUCGGCUUUUUACCAGCAUGUCAUCCACGUACACUUCCAUAUUUCGGCCGAUCUGGUUUUUAAACAGCUUGUUGACCAGCCGUUGAUAGGUCGCACCUGCAUUUUUCAACCCAAAUGGCAUGGUGGUAUAACAAUACGUACCGUAUUCGGUGAUGAAGGCAGUCUUCUCCUGAUCUUCCUCGUCCAGAGCUAUCUGGUGAUAACCUUUGAAAGCAUCCAGAAAGCAGAAGAUCUCGUACCCCGUGGUAGAGUCUACCAACUGGUCGAUACGAGGGAGGGGGUAACAAUCCUUCGGACAGGCCCUGUUCAGGUCGGUGAAGUCUACACACAUCCUCCAGGCCUUAUCCUCCUUUUUGACCAGCACGGGAUUGGCCAACCAGGUCGGAUAGUAGAUCUCCUUCACAAUUUUGGCCUCCAACAGCUUGCCUACCUCUUCUUUGACGACCUCAUUGCGCUCGGGAGCGAAAUUCCUCUUCUUUUGCUUCACUGGCCGGAUGUUUGGAUCAACGUGCAAUCUGUGAACUGUCAGCUCGGGAGGGACUCCGGGCAUGUCAUCAGCACUCCACGCAAAAAUCUCGGCAUAUUCCUCCAGCAGAGACUCCAGGGCUCUCCGUGUCAGCUCGCUCAGUCCAGCUCCGGUCUUUACCCCACGAUCAGGUCGCUUGAGACAGAUGGGCAGUUCGACCAUACUCUCAUCCGUCUCCAACCUUUCCUCCUUUUCAGCAGGCUCCCAGGGCUCCAGACAGGUCGUCUGGGCCACCAGCUUCUCCUUGCCUUUGAGGGUUGCGAUGUAACAGGCCCGAGCCACCUCCGGGUCCCCCAGCACCUCGGCCACCCCAUCAGGCGUUGGGAACUUCAUGCUAAGGUGCAGGGUCGAACAGACAGCCCGGAGUGCGUUUAAGGUAGGUCGUCCCAGUAUCAUAUUGUAGGAGGACGGCUCCUUUACCACCGCGAAGUUCACCGGGACAGUUCGGCACUUGGGCGACUCCCCUACCGUGACCAUGAGGGUUAUCAUUCCUUCUGGCCUGACUGGCGGACCUGCAAAACCUAUCAAGGGAGUUCGAACGGGGAUGAGCUGCUUGUCUUCCAGCUGCAACUCCUUGAAGGUUUUGUAAUACAGCACAUCGAUGGCACUCCCAUUGUCGAUGUACACUUUCUUUACCUUGUAGUUACACAUGAUAACUUCUACCACAAUUGCUUCAUGGUUAUUGGAGGCUAAGGGUACUGCGUCCUCUGGCCCAUAUAUGAUCUCCUCGUACACCUUUAAUCGCUUAUUCGAGCUCUCCCCGCUGGGAGGAGGCCGGUUGUUUCGCCGAGCAGUGUGGCUAUCUCCUCCAGCAGGUCCCCCCGCAAUGGUGUUGAUCACUCCGGCUAGGUUCUGGACCCCCUGCUCCGGAGUACGAUCACGGGGACCUCGAGGUCGGUCGUGCGAGCUAGUCGUCCGAUCUCGCUUGAAACCUCCUUGCUUCUGAUCUGCACGCCCGUCACGGACGAACUGCCCAAGAUGACCUCUCCGUAUCAGUUUCUCGAUCUCCCUUUUGAGGUGCCGACAGUCCUCCGUGUCGUGCCCUACGUCCCUGUGGUACGCACAAUACAAGCCCUGGUCGCGCUGAGCUUUAUCACCCCCCAACGGCCGAGGAGGGCGAGAGAUCCCUUGCUGCUCCAUUACAGCCAGAACUCGAGCUCGGGGCGCGGUGAGCGAAGUCCAGGUCUUCUCUUUCUCCCAUGGUUGGCUCCGAGGCAAGCGCUCGGGUAUGUUCUUGCGGCCCUGACCUGUCCGUGACUCCCCCAGGUCGGCGCCCUUCCUGCGCUUGUCAUCCCGCAGCCUUUCCUGGACGCCCUUCAACCGAUUGGCUUCCUCGGCAUUUGCCUUCUCAUGAGCUCGGUCUAGCAUCUCCCGGACGGACUUGGGAGGUCUCUCUACAAACUCCGUGUACAAUUUCUGCUUGCGCAGCCCAUUGACAAAGGCUGCCAUCACAACCUUGUCAUCUCGGUCACGCACCUGAAGGGAUUCAUUGUUGAAACGCACCAUAUAUUCACGCAAUGACUCCUCAGGCCUUUGAUGAACAGUCAUCAGGUGAGCCGUGGUUUUGGAAUAAGCGCGAGAGGAGACGAACUGGGCCGCGAACAGCCGCGCGAGCUGACUGAACGACCGAACUGACCUGGGGGGCAAACCCUGGAACCACUGUCGGGCCUUUCCCUCCAAGAACAUCGGGAAGGUCUUGCACCUAACUGCAUCCGCAGCUGUCUGUAGGCGCAUCUGAGUCAGGAACGCGAACAAGUGAUCCUCCGGAUCUGUGGUCGCGUCGUAGGAUUUCAUGGUUGGUAUUUUGAACUUGGCAGGCAGAGGGUAAUCUUCGAUAUCCGGUACGAAAGGAGAGGCGGUGUACCUAUCCGCCUCCGGAUCCAGCAGGAGGUCCAGUUCAUCCUGGACCUGAUAAUUCUCCUUCCUAUGAGGGUCCUCCAUCCGGGCAGGCCUCAGAACGGGCUCCGGAUGGCUAGUUCGGGAAUUCCUAUGAGAGGGCUCUGGCACCGGGACCUGCUCGCGUGUAACUUCCCUUCGCGCCCUCUUCGACCUGGGGCUUCCAGAUCGGGAUUCCGAACUCCCUGUUCUGCCCGUUUUCCGCACCCGACACUCCGGGCUGGGGGGGACCCCAGAUUGUCCCUUCACUGCACCAGAUUGUCCAGAUUGUCCCUUCAAGUAGGUCACUAUAGCCUCAAAAGUAGGCAAGUUCGCGGCAACCGACUGCACCAGUUGUUCCGGCGAGAUCUGCGAGAGCUCGACCCUUGCCUCCCCUGUGUUGGCUUCCUGGUGAACUUGCUGGGGACCGCCCUGUGCGUUCCCCUCAGCACCAUCCACAUUCCUCUGAGAUCUAGUCUUCGGCAUGUUGUUCGCGAAAAAAGAGAAUACUUGGUUCCCACAGACGGCGCCAAUUGAUGCGACUGCCGAAGUGAAGAUCCGAACUGAGCUGGUUGAGCGUCCGACCUGCACGUGAGCGAGCUGCGGGGCUGAGUCCCCUGUAGCAACUCCGACGAUCAAGUCAGAACUAGUUUGUAAGUAAAAAGAGUAGAGUCUGCACUAUGAGUAGCGUACCUUGUGUUUCUUAUGGGUGUGGUAUUUAUAGAACACCAGGUGGUAGUUUCCUGGUAGGACAAGGAGUCCUUAUUGGAGAGGAUAAGCCUCUAGGGCUCCACUACCCAGCUCUGGUAGACGAGGGCUCCGAAGCCCAUCAGGCCCAUCCGCCUGGGAGGCGGCGCUCGUCUGGUCCUGCAAGAGGACCUGACCCCUAGACCAGCCCAUCACGUCAGGACUCUUGGGCCGAGCUGACGUGUAUGCGGACCGGGCCGAGCUGACGUGUAUGCGGACCGGGCCGAUGUGCUCAUGGGCUCCACUACAGUUAGCAUUGCCAAGAAGGAAUAGGAGUAGAAUAAUCAUCACUACGCGAAGAGGGGAUAUAGCCUAUUCACUGAAAGAUGGAUCCGUUGAUGUCCAUCCCAUUCAGCAUCUAUCUCUAGAAAAGGCUAAGGAACUCAUUCACAGAAUCGCCUUUCCAGGAUCUCGUAUAUGCCCUCCAGCUUUAGCUACACUGUCCAAUGAAAUUCUAGGAAAAUGUGAAGGGCUACCAUUGGCAAUCAAUGAAAUUGGUCACCUUUUGUCAACUAAGGGGGAAAGGGAACCUGAAUGGAAAAAAUUGCGUGAUAGUCUUGCAUCGGAACUGACAAGCCAUGGCCGGCUUGCAAAUAUUGCAAAAGUGUUGAUUCUUAGUUAUGAUGACUUACCUUACCAUCUUAAAAACUGUUUUCUGUUGAUGAAUACUUUUCCCCCUAAUCACCCCAUCCAGCGCACAGAGCUAAUACGGUUAUGGAUAGCAGAAGACUUCAUCACAGAAGGGAACAAUGGAAAAGAACUCGAAGAUUUGGGGGAAGAAUACCUGAACGAGCUCAUUCAAAGAAACUUGGUUCAGGUGUGGCAAAUGGACAUCGAUGGGAGACCAAGAACUUGUCAUGUUCAAAAUAUUAUUCAUGAGAUUGUUCUCUCACAGCUUCAAGAUGAAAACUUUUGUGAAGUUUAUCCGGAUCAAGGUACGUUUGACAUCAGUAAGGAGAGGGUCAGGCGAAUAUCGAUUCAUAAAGGUGAUCUAGGCCAGCUGUGCCCAAAUCUUCGUGCUCGCGCUUUGUUAAAGUUUGGCCGAUCAGCACCAUGCCAGCACUCCAUUCCAAUUGGCUAUUCAAGCUUAAAGAUGUUGAGGGAAUUGCAUCUGGAGGGUGCAAACUUGGACAUGUUUCCUGCAGACAUUGAAGAACUAUUGUUGUUGAGGUACUUGUGUUUGAGGAAUACAGGAAUCAGAAGCAUUCCGAAAUCAAUAGGAAAGCUUAAGCACCUUGAAACCUUGGACCUCAAACAAACAUUAGUCAGAACGCUGCCAAAAGAAAUAUGCCAUCUUUCUAAGCUUCGUUACUUACUUGUUUACAGAUAUGACAUUAAAGAUUAUGUGGCAUUUAACACAAUUAAAGGAUUUGAGGUCGCAGGAGAGAUCACGCGGUCUGCCAAUCUUCGCAAGCUACUGUUUGUGCAAGUCAAUAAAAAUCACAAAAUCAUUGUUGCAAUGCGAGGCCUCAGAGAACUGAGAAGGCUGGGAAUCAUGGGUUUGCGCAAAGAAGAUGGAAGGAUCUUGUCUGAGACUAUUCAAAUGCUGCGAAAUUUGCAUUCUUUGAAUGUGGCAGCAGAAAAUGAGGCGGAAGUUCUAGACAUGCAAGAAAUUUCUCAUCCUCCUCGACUCCAGCGUUUGUAUUUGAAUGGAAGACUGGAGAGGAUGCCUAUCUGGAUUUCCGAACUUCAUGAUCUGGUAAGGCUUCGUUUGAAGUGGUCUCGGCUGGAUCAACAGUUCAGCAAUCCCAUUAAUAUCCUUCAAGAUCUUCCUAAUUUACUAGAACUCCAGCUGCUUGACGCCUACAAUGGGGACCAAUUGGAUUUCAAUGCUGGCAAAUUUCAGAAGCUCAAGAUACUGGAGUUAGAGCUACUUCAGCAGCUGAAAAUGGUCAUAAUGGAACGCAAUUCAUUGCCUUGUCUACAAAAGCUGAUCAUAAGGCGAUGCGGUCAGUUAGAGCAGAUUCCAGUAGGUAUAGAUGACCUCAGCCAACUCAAGGAGAUUCAUUUGCAUGAUAUGCCGAAAAAUUUUGUCUCCAUGCUCGAGAAAAAUGGUGGCAGUCUUUAUCAUCUUGUACAUCAUGUGCCAUUAAUACGUUCUUAUGAUGCUCAGAAUGGUGGACGGUGGGAUGUGAAAGAUCUUUCUGAUUGAUUAAAAAAAAAGAUCAAAAUGAGAGAUUCAUUCCCCCUUUUUGGUAAGGCAAAAAUUUCGGUUGUGUAAAUUUAUGAAUUAUAUGUAAUUCCUACAGUCACAAGAUCAGAAUUUUCUUUUGUGAAAUAAUUUUAGUACUACUAUACAAGUUGUAGCCUUCACUUCCCUACAACAAUUUGCUCUAUUUUACACCAUGUCAUGUGAGCCUUCUCCAUUAUAUCAUUCUCAAAGAGUUUUGUGAAAGUGAAGAGCGAAGAAUGCAACUAAAGCUAAUUAGCUUUUGAUCGCAGUUAGCUCACAUAGACAUUCAAAGAAGUUCUUGUGUAAAUUUCAGUUAGCUUUACUUCAUGGAACUUCAGAUAAGAUCAGUUAUUAAUGUAUUAGGGGCCGGGGGGGGGGGGGGAAGAUAGUCUAAGCUCAUAUUUUCUAACUAUUUUCUUAGUCUUAGUUUCAACUCGAUCUUUUUUCUAACUAAGAUGCAAUCGCAUAUCAUCUAGAAGAGAAUUUUCGAUGGAAUGAAAUGAUUAAUCUAAAGUAAGACAUUAUUAAAUUACAUAUUUAAACCAAUCUAAAUUAAUUUAUCAAAUACGAGAAUGAUUGGUUUGAUAAUAGGUAUCCACUUUUGUAAACUUCAUAGCUAUUGGGUCUAUUUUCUUUUGAAGUUUAGUAGCAUGACAAGUCUGUAAUUUUGGAAGUUUCACACAUACUGCAGCUCUCUCUAUCCUUAAUUAUUUAUCACUUCAUGUAAGACAUAGGCGAAAAUAUCUACAAAUCAGGGAUGGGAUGGAAAUACCUAACAUAAAGGGAUAAAAUAAAGAUAGGCGUGAGAAAAGUAGUGGCCAAGAGUUUGCUUUCACAGGGAAAAAUGGGGACUUGGACAAGUACAGUCGUUCACAUUAUAGUGGUAUAUUUUUGUUGUAUUUGCUAUACGGAUUAGUGUACAAUCAUAUUUACUCCUCCCUUAACAAGCCAUCAUUAAAAUUUUAAAACCCUAUACAAUUCGAAAGCCAAAUACAUCACCUUAAACAAAAACAAGGUGAAGAAUUUUAAACCAUAGCUAUUAAUGGAAGAGAAAAAGUGAAUUCUCUCCUUAUUUUUCACAAUACACAUUUGGAUGCAUUACACUAUGAAGAGACAUGAUCAUUUUAAAUUUAACUAAUUUUUACCCUUCUUAAUAAAUGAAAAUAUGUGUCCUAUAUGCAUAUGUACAUUGCAAGAAAUAAAGAAAGAAUCCACUGAAAACGAGCUAAAAUAGGUAGAGAAGGUAGCGGGUGUGUAAGUAUAUUCGAGAAAAAGAGUUUCGCUUGAGGAAUGGGUAUGAUAGUUGGGGGAAGAAGGAGUUGGUAACGAUGGCCAGAAAAUGAUGAAUGUACUCUUUUUUUUUUUUGGUUGGAUUCUUGCAUGAACGGUAGUGAUUUCAUUUUAUAUCAAUGGAGGUAAGUGUAAUAUUAUUGAAACAAAGAGGGAGUUGAGUGUAAUUAUCAUAAACCUCAAAUGAGGCUUACCUCAAAGGGGGUUUAUGAAAUUAUACCAUAAAAAUAUAGAUGGUGUUAGGUGAAUAUAGUAAGUAAAACGAUUGAGGCCAGGAAAAAUAGUUAAACAAAUGCGGGAUAACGUGGUAGAAUACAAAAUCAUAGAAGGGUUAAAUAAUAAUAAUUGACCCUUUUAUCUAUUAGAUUUACAUCACUUGGAUAUUAUAAGCGUCCAUAAUUAGUUUAAUUAUGAUGGGCAUCCUCCAUUUCGAUGUAGUUCAUCAAUCCAUUUUGGAUUGUAUAGAAGUGGAUUGCAAUUCGUUCUGCCUACAUGAAGUACUUCAAGGUCAUAAUGUGAUAAUGAAAGGAUAUACAUAUGCGUAAAAUUUGUGGAUAUGGAAAAUAAACACUUUUGGAGAAUUCAUAGUGGAAAAUUGUCUAUACUAUUCAAAUUUUUAUGAUCUUUAACUUUUUCUAUCUUUCAAAUAAAAAUUAACAAGUUCAGCACAACCAUAUGGAGGUGAAAUUGCAAAGAAGUACUUCAGCAGUAAGUUGCAAGGUAGAUUCUUCAUCCUGUCCCCUUCCCCCUUCACAAAAAAACUGCGUUGGUGAAUUUUAACCAUAAGAUCUACUCUAGUUAUUGAACAAUUUAUGAACAAUUCAUAAGUUACUCAAUAGCUAAUGAAAUCUUGCCAAGUGCAUAAUUACUCCUUCUAUCGUCCCAAUAUGUUUAUCGUUCUUCGAGAAUCCAACUUUUUAAUAAUAAUACUUUAAUUAUGAUAUUUGUAUUUUUCUUUUCAGUUUGAUUCUCCAAAUUUUGAAUUUUGAAUUUUAACAUAAAAUGUGCAUAAAUAGAGACAUGGACAACAUUGGAAAUAGAAAUUAAAAAUGACUUUAACUUGUAUGGCAUAACAAAUAUAUUGGAAUAUUUUAGAGUGAAAUAGAUGACAAAUAUUUUAGAACUUAAGGGUGUAAUAUGUAAUAAGUACAUUUGGCAAGGAAUGCCAAGUCAAAUUUGACUGACUGUAACCCACUUCUAUUCUAUGUCCCCUCCACCGCGGUUCUGCACUACACAAUCUUCUCCAUUCGCAUUUGCCCAAAGGGCUGCAGAGAGUUGAGUGAGGGAGGAAGAAGGCAUAAAGGAAGAUAACUAAAAUAAUAUGUGUUUGAAUAGAGUAUUAUUUGAAAUAAUUACUAUAGCACUUUUUAUGAUGUGAUGUAUGUGAGCUAAAAAAUAGUUGGAAAUAUAAAAAAAUGAAUUGAAACAUGCGUUUAUGAUGCAAACGAAAUAUUAUUUGAGAUAAAUUUACAAUCCAAACACAGCUACAAAGCCACAAAAGUAAUAAAAAAUUGUAAAUAAUGACUUGGCAUAUACUUUUGCCAACUAGACUCAUUGGUCAUCCACUUAAUAAGUUUCAAUUGGCUAUCCUUAAAAAAAAAAAUUUUUAAUUAACUAUUGAGCAACCCUAUGGAUUGUCUGUAAAUUGCUCAAUGACCAUAAUAAAGUUUGUCCCCAGUUAUCAUAUGUCAAUUAAAAAGAGAGAAAAAUACAGUUUUGAUACCUAAAUUUUGACACAUGAAUGGUUUUAGUCCCCAAAUUUUGGGCAACAACAAAUUUGGUAUCCAAAUUUUGAAAUUUCGAGCACAUUUAGUACCCUUGACGUUUUUUUCCCAAAUUGCUAUCGGAAAAAGUCAGGUAGCAGUCAUAUGUCCGGUCACUAUUAUAUAAAAAAAAUGUCAAAAAAAUGUCAAAUAUCAUUCUAAUACUAAGUAUUAAGUUUAAGGACUAAUAAUGUAAUUAAAAAAAUCUAAGGACUAAAUAAAAUCACAUGAGUCAUUUAAAAAAAAAAAAAAGAGUUUGACAGAGUUUUACAUCGUUUUCUUCUUCAAUAGCGCUGUCUACAAAUUUUUUUUUUUUUUUUUUUUGUGAUUAUACUAGUAUACUACUGUCUACAUCUUUUGAUGGAGACUUUCCUCUUUCUUUUUUUUUUUUUCCCUUGCUGGCAAGUUGCAAGUCGGGCUUUCGUUUAUUAGUAGCAAAGUUGUUGGUCCCAACUACUUGACAAAUACAUUUGCAAUUAAGCAUCCCAACUACGUUGAAAGUUCCCUUGGAUUUUCUAUUCUUUUCAAGUGGGUGAUGUAGGCUGGCUCUGAGCUGCAAGUGGAAAUUUUAUUUGCUAGUAGAAGCAUUAGCAGUAGAACAAACAGCUUGUACCUUUUGCGAAGUAUGGUUGUCAAGAAAAAAACUAAUGAUAAUACUAAUAAAGAAAGAAAAGUAUGCUUUGCAGUUCGGCAAACUGAAAAAUCAAAGAUUCUCGUUCUUAUCCGAGUCGACAGCUAUGUUUGCACGGGUUGCCCGCAGAUGUCGUGCUUACAGGACUUGACUUUUACCAAAAAAAAAAAGAAGAAAGAAAGAAAGGGUUUUGAACAUUGAAUUCACCUAACAUAAAUCAAACAAAUGCACACACAUCGAUUGUGUCCUUUUGCAUUUAAGUACCUUGGCACGCCUGUUUUAGGAGUGUUUUAGAAAAACAAAAUUUUACUAUUAAAAUAUUUAUUUAAGGUGACACUUUAAAACACUCACAAGUUUUAAAAUAGGGAUAAUUUCAAAAAUCUCCCUUGAAAUUUUUAACAAUUGCACUUUAAUACUCCCUAAUAUUAGAAAUUAUACUGCCCUCUCCUUGAAUGACAUUUUUUAUAACUAUUUUAGCCCUUGUCGAGAAAAGCUUCCUUAAAAAUUGAGAAAAAGUACUGACACAUAAUUUUCUACCAAAAUUUGCCCUUCUUGUAUGUAGGAGAAAACAUGUACCACUUUUUUAUGAAAUUAACAAAAAAAAAAAGGAAAAAUAUUGGCCUUUCAAUGAGCCUCUUAGGACAGCAAAGAAUACAUAUAUAAAAGUCAACUUUUGACCAUUAAAAACAAGCAGUGUAAUUUUCAAUAUUAGAGGAUAUUUAAGUGUAAUUACUAGAAGCUGUGAGAGAGGUUACUGAAAUUAUCCCUUUGAUAUAUAUAUAUAUAUAUAUAUAUAUAUAUAUAUAUAGUAGUGGUGAGUGGUAGAGGUUGCUGGUAGUGUGUAGGGAUGGCAAUAGGGUGGGGUUGGGGCGGGGGAUGGGGGAGCCCAUUAAUUCCCCCCUGUCCCCCGCUCCUCCCACCCCACCUCGCUUCCCCCGUAGGGGAAUUCACGGGGUUAACAAAAAUUUAUUUUAGUCAAAUUUUAACAAAUAAUCAAGUACUAAAAUAUCAACACAUCACCAAAGUAUUAUCCAUUGUAAUUUCAUAAUUGAAACUCAUAAAAAUAAUUAAAAAAAGUUAUUUGAAUACAAUCCAACAUGAUAAAACAAAUACAACUAAAGUAGUUAAGUUUUCACUUUUAAUACAAAUACAAUCACUAAAUCAUUAUUAUAUUUUUUAUGAGAAAAAAUGUGUUAUUAUGUCAAGUGUAAUUAAGAAUUUAGUAUAAAUGUAUUAGUAAAUUUAUUUUAACUAAUUAAUAAUUUCUAUUAGUAUAAACAUAUAUAAUUAUUAGUAUAAUUGAUAAUAUCAAUUAUAUUAUAAAUACUAAUAUACAAUAUAUAAUACAUAUAACUAAUAAUAUCAUUGUUAUAAGUUUGUAACUAAUUAAGUUGAAUAUUAAAUAUAGAUAUAUAUUUAUUAAUUUUUUUAAAUAUAGAUGGUGAUGACGAAACUGCAGUCGAACCUGUGAUAGUAGAUUCCUACAAAAUAUAUAAAGUUAUAAACUACCAACCCUGCAAGCUUUGAUUACAAUGAGAGCAUCUUUGGAAACCUUCGUAACUUCAUUUUCAGUUAUGUAUUUGCACCUAAGAGUUCUAGGUUGCCCAAAGAGAAGAGUUUUUUUUUUUUUUCAAAUUAAGAACAUGUCUAAUAUUAGUGAGCGUCCUCACAAUACCAUCAUGCAUUUUAAUUCAGAUUGUACCCUUAUCAACAACAUCACAAAUGACAUUAUUGCUCAUCAAAAUAAUUCCACCAUUACAAGAUUCAUAAGUGAAAAAUAAAUCCCUAUUGGGACACAUGUGAUAAGAGCACCCUAAAUCUAAAAUCCAUGCAUUUUUAGACCUUGUUCUGUCAUCAAUCGCAAAGAAAAUAUUUCCUUCAUUCUCAUCAGCUGCAACAUGACAGGUGCCGAACCUGUGCAAUAAUAAAAACCUACUCGAGAAAAAUACAGAUUUUGUAUAAAGCGGUGAGUAGGGUCGAAUCCACAGGGACUGGGGAUAAUUCGUUUCUUCUAGAGUUCAAGAUAUGGGGGGUUUUGGAUUAAAUGCUAACUAAAUAAAUUAACUGCAGAAAAUAAUUAAGUAAAAGAAAUAAUUAAGAUAGCUCUAGCCAAGGGUAUACUUCAGAAAUGGUUCAGGCACUGAUCAUUGAUUCACAGAUAAUUCCAACAUUUAGUAAUAGAUUAGUUAUAGUUGUCAUGCACGCGAUAAACAACCAACCCUUCCUUAAUUUCUCGAUAGCUAAGGUACGACCGUUAGCUAUUUCUCUAACCCAAAAAUAACCCCAGGUACGACCGUGGAAUUUAAUUUCUAAAUUGCAUUAAUAAUUAGAAAGGCUCAAUCCUAACCAACAAACACGCUACGAGGGUUUGUUUAAGCUAGAUCAUAUGCUCCCCUGAUAUAAACCCAAUUACGCCAGUUGCUACUGAGGUAGAGAUAACGAACAAUUACGGAUUCAAUUAUCCCUAUUUAGCAAAAUAGCCCAUAUGAAUAAUUAAUUAUUGCGCAUCUAUUCAAUCACUCACAUGAGUUAUAGCAAUUAAAAGCAGGAAACAUAUAAAUACCAAUAAAUUAAGGAAACAAUUAAAAUAAAUUAGAUCUCACAGUAAUUGUUGAACCAAAUCUUCAGUUGUCCCCUUGACUAGAAUUAAGAGGUUAGUCCUCCAUUAAUGGAGAACAGCCAUGCGAAAAUUCAGCAAUAAUUGUCGAGGACAUCCUUCUCUAUAUGAUGAAGGAAUCCGAAUAAUUAAAAAUGAAAGAAAAAGUACAAAGUGGAAGAGGAUGCUAAUGUCUUCUCCCUAGCCUCUAGCCAGGGGCUUACGGGAUUAAUUCCCCAAGUGAAGUCACGGCUGCCCCCAACUCCAUUUGUUGCUUUUAUUUGUUUCUCUCUUGCGGCCGGCCCUACUCCCAAAAGCACUAGAAUCCUAAUCAAACUUUGGCUUUUUUUCUCUCCCGCUGAGCUGCCAAAGUAAGUUUCCUUUCUAUGCCAAACUUCUGGACUUGUGAAGACCUGAGUUGACACGACCCCGCCAGACAGCACUUGGAAUGCGAGAUUUUCACUCAUUUUAUUAUAUUUUGCUCCUAGUCCCUAUGAUAAGUACAAAUGCCAAAAAUGAGUAGAAUCUGACAAUUAAUCCACAUUGGAUCAGGUAAUAGGGGAAAUUAAUAAUAAAAUAAAUAAUAAAAUUACACCCUAUCAAUUCCCCCACACCUAAACCAUGCUUGUCCUCAAGCAUAAGAACAGUAGACAAAUACCAAUAUUUGACAAUGGCUAUUGCUCUAUCCAACAAAUUGCCAAGAUACCAAGAAAAAUAAUAAUCAAGCAUCAAUGGUCAAGAUCCAAGAAACAUCACUCCGGUUAGCUUCUAAACCACAAACUCCUCUAAUUUUAUGUUAACUAAUCUGAGAAAAAGGAAUAACGCAUAACAUUUAUCAGCAAAUGGUCCAACUAUUAACCAAAAUCUCAACAUUAAAUCCAUAAAUCGGCUAGCUGGCUUUUAUUAUACACUAACACAACCUUCAACUUUUUUUUUCACAUUUUUUUUCUACUCUUCUCCCUUUUUUUUCCAAUAGUAACAAAAGACUUAGUCGCUAGCCAUUUGAGCCUUUUGACGCGAACUCCAACAUUGGCCGGAUGAAGGAGCCCGGUUACUCAGCUUCUAUCGCCACGUGACCACGUACUCAUAGCAAUUACUACUUUUUGACGCGAGAAUCGACACUUUUGGUGAAAAUUCCCGGUUACUCGGUAGCAAAUACUAGCGGAGGACAGUCAACUCUUAUUCACAGCCAAAUAAAACCAAAAAUUCAAAAUAACACAAAAAUCAAAAGGAACUUUGCAGCUGCUAGUCUCAUUUUUAAAUAUGGAGAACUAAAGUUAAUAACCGGACCAAUUCACAUGAAAAUGCCAAUAAUCAUUCCCUAUGCCUAGGAAAGUUAACCAAAAAUUAUAAAAGUAAAACAAUCAUUGAUAUUCACCAAAGAGAUGUUUUUGGAUUCAACCACAUUAACUUGAUACUCUUUUAUUAUUAAAAUUGGCAAUAGUAGAAAUAGAGGCAAUAAUCCAACAUCAAACCUUGGCAUGCAUUUACGAGCCAAUCACUAAAAAAAAAAAAAAAUGAAUGAAAGACACUAGCACCAUAACUGCUCAUAUUUCCCCCACACCUAAAUCAUACAUUGUCCUCAAUGGAGGGAUUAAAGCAAUUAAAACGAAGAGGGCAACGAAACUUCCCUCACGAGUGGCGAAAGGGUAGGCGGGAAUGGUGCGCGGAAACUGAUGUGAUAGAAGUACGCGGCCAAGGUCUGAGAUAUCUCAACUCAAUUCAACCAGCAAAUGCAAAACUCUGUCACCCAAAAUCUCCACUGGUACUACUCCAGGCGGCAGACAGAGCAGCGGCGGCGCGCGUCUCCAGCAACGAUGGCGGCAGCUUGGACAGAGCGCCCGUGGCUGGCGGGAAGAGCUGGGCAGAGGUGGCGGCAGUAGCUCACGGUGGAGCUGUGGGCAGAGUGAGGGCCGCCAGGAGAGAGAGAAAGAUGGGAAGGGUGUGCGGUUGAGCGAGGGAGGUGCGUCCAGAGCAGCGACGUGGGGCAGUGGGACGGCGCGCGGCGAAGAGGGAUGGCGGCACCGUGGGUAGCAGCAGCGAGGGGAAGCUGCUGCGUGCGCUUCGGCCGAGCGGUGCUCGGUGGCGUGCGCAGAGUAAAAGAAAAGGAAAACAGGGGAGAAGGAAGAAAGAAAAAGAAGAAGAAAGAAAGAAGAAGAAGAAAGAAAAGGAAAAAAAAGGAAAAAGAAAAGCUUUUUUUUUUUUUUUUGCUUUUUUGUUUUUUUUUUUUGUUACUUACUUGAAAAAUUUUUUUAUUUUUUUAAUAUUUGACACUAAAGCUAUUGAUAAAAAAAAAGUUUCUGUGUGGUUUUUUUUUUUUUUUUUUUGAAUCCUUACCUUUCCCGUGAACGUGACGCGGGCACGUCUAGAGGGCAAGAGAGCUCCCAGAAGUUUCAGAACUUUCUGAUCGUGAGCUUCCUGCACCUCACCACGCGGGCACGUCAUGAGAGCAGGAGAGCUCCCAGAAGUUUCAGAAGUUCCUGAUCGUGAGCAUCCUGCACAUCACCACGCGGGCACGUCAUGACUGAAGGGCACCUAUAAAUCAGCAAAAACGAAAACUGAAACCCAAAAUCAGUCAAAUUAAAGGGAAAACAGAUUUAAACUAUGGCACGAAACCAACAAGCAAUUGAAAGAAACAAUUGGGUUGCCUCCCAAUGAGCGUCUUUCUUUAAUGUCUUUGGCUAGACAUUAUCAUGUUUUGUUCAUGGAGGAUAAAAUCUUGUGGCUCGUCUCAUUGCUUCAUCCUCUACAUAGUCCUGAUAGCCCUCGUAGAUAGAAUAAUCUUUGGACAUACGAGUUACGGGCUUCCAUGGACUAGUAAAUGGCGCCAAACGAGUCGAUGAUAAUUUGCAUUCUCCAUUCACUCCUCCCUCACUUGCAUUUAUUGGUUCAAGAUAUCUUGCCAUCGCCACUCUUAAUUUAUUCCUGUCAUGGAAUUCAAAAUUUUCUGGUAUAAUAAAGUCAAUUUCAUUAACAGGAAUUGAAGAAUAAGAGUCAGGAGAAUAGUGAUGAAGGAGUGGAGGGGAUGUCACCGCAUUUGGAGAUUGUUCACUGGAUUCAUUCACUUGAAUGAGUUGAUCCUGGAGUCUCAUUUUUUGCACUUAAACUUCCUUUUCAACUGCAUCUUUAAAUCCGUUUCCUUGAAACUCUUGCAGUUCCAUAUCAUUUGGCUGGAUAAUUGCACUCUCAUCUCCUUCAAGAUUGAUAUUGGUUUGUGAGGGCAAUUCUUCAAGGUGAGCCUCUAAUCGCUCUAUCCUGGAUGUCAAUUGACGCAUUUGAUCCGCCAGGUCGCGACAGCUCGCUUGUGUCUUCUGAUGAAAUCGAUUUAGGUUCGCUUGUGUCUCCUGAUGAAAUCGAUUUGAAUUAGCAAUUAGUAAACCUAUCAUUUCUUCAAGAGAUAUACCUGACACGGAGGAUGAUUGCUGAGACUCUUGCUGUUGAAAAUCCAUUGGCCCCGUCGCAUAAUUAAAAUUGGAAUUAUCCCACCAUUCUUGAUCAUACCCGUUUGAAUAAGGGUCAUACUGCGUUUGAUAUUGGGGUGGAAAAUCUCCAAAAGUAUCAAGUGGAGAACUUAAAUUAUCUUGAAAUACGGGGCAUGUGUCAGUUGAAUAACCUGAGUCAAAAUAAGUUCCACAAUUUGCAACAGCCCAUUGAUCAUUAGGAAAAACAUGAGUCUCAUAACCCCAUUCAGGAACAAAAUCCAGUCUAUCAUCAAAAUAUGGAAUGUUAGCAGCCAUAAAAAAAAUAAAAAAAAAUAAUAAUAAUAAAAAAUAAGAGAAAAAUAAAUUAAAAAAAAUGAAAACAAGAUAAACUAAAAAAGAAACAAUUUAAUCUGGCACCAGUCCCCGGCAACGGCGCCAAAAAUUGACAGGUGCCGAACCUGUGCAAUAAUAAAAACCUACUCGAGAAAAAUACAGAUUUUGUAUAAAGCGGUGAGUAGGGUCGAAUCCACAGGGAUUGGGGAUAAUUCGUUUCUUCUAGAGUUCAAGAUAUGGGGGGUUUUGGAUUAAAUGCUAACUAAAUAAAUUAACUGCAGAAAAUAAUUAAGUAAAAGAAAUAAUUAAGAUAGCUCUAGCCAAGGGUAUACUUCAGAAAUGGUUCAGGCACUGAUCAUUGAUUCACAGAUAAUUCCAACAUUUAGUAAUAGAUUAGUUAUAGUUGUCAUGCACGCGAUAAACAACCAACCCUUCCUUAAUUUCUCGAUAGCUAAGGUACGACCGUUAGCUAUUUCUCUAACCCAAAAAUAACCCCAGGUACGACCGUAGAAUUUAAUUUCUAGAUUGCAUUAAUAAUUAGAAAGACCCAAUCCUAACCAACAAACACGCUACGAGGGUUUGUUUAAGCUAGAUCAUAUGCUCCCCUGACAUAAACCCAAUUACGCCAGUUGCUACUGAGGUAGAGAUAACGAACAAUUACGGAUUCAAUUAUCCCUAUUUAGCAAAAUAGCCCAUAUGAAUAAUUAAUUAUUGCGCAUCUAUUCAAUCACUCACAUGAGCUAUAGCAAUUAAAAGCAGGAAACAUAUAAAUACCAAUAAAUUAAGGAAACAAUUAAAAUAAAUUAGAUCUCACAGUAAUUGUUGAACCAAAUCUUCAGUUGUCCCCUUGACUAGAAUUAAGAGGUUAGUCCUCCAUUAAUGGAGAACAGCCAUGCGAAAAUUCAGCAAUAAUUGUCGAGGACAUCCUUCUCUAUAUGAUGAAGGAAUCCGAAUAAUUAAAAAUGAAAGAAAAAGUACAAAGUGGAAGAGGAUGCUAAUGUCUUCUCCCUAGCCUCUAGCCAGGGGCUUACGGGAUUAAUUCCCCAAGUGAAGUCACGGCUGCCCCCAACUCCAUUUGUUGCUUUUAUUUGUUUCUCUCUUGCGGCCGGCCCUACUCCCAAAAGCACUAGAGUCCUAAUCAAACUUUGGCUUUUUUUCUCUCCCGCUGAGCUGCCAAAGUAAGUUUCCUUUCUAUGCCAAACUUCUGGACUUGUGAAGACCUGAGUUGACACGACCCCGCCAGACAGCACUUGGAAUGCGAGAUUUUCACUCAUUUUAUUAUAUUUUGCUCCUAGUCCCUAUGAUAAGUACAAAUGCCAAAAAUGAGUAGAAUCUGACAAUUAAUCCACAUUGGAUCAGGUAAUAGGGGAAAUUAAUAAUAAAAUAAAUAAUAAAAUUACACCCUAUCACAACACUAGAUUCGGCAGUCUCAAUAUUUUUCUCACCAGAUAUUCCCUUUUAUUUCAAUCUAUAUUUCAAUUUAAAACAAUUUGCCUUAAUGCGCCCCAAUUUAUGACAAUAAUUACACUCCAAAUUUCUAUGUCUGGAUUUAGAUUUAGAUUUAGAUCUACUACUGUCAAAUUCUUUUUUCUUGAUUCUACCCCUAACAACCAAACCUUCCGCCUGACUUUCACUAAAUUUUCCAGUAAUAUCUGUGUCUAUCUGCUCCUUAAAUUUUAAUGCAGAUUUAAUUUCUCGAUACGAAAUUGUUUCUUUUCCAUAAAUCAUAAUAUCGCAAAAAUAGUUAAAAAAAAUUGGUGAAAGGAAUAUAGAAGUAACAAGGCCUAAUCCUCAUCAUCAAUUUUCGAAUCUAUAUUUUCCAAAUUCAUAAUAAUGGAAUCAAAUUUGUCAAAAUGUGAGAGUAUAGAUGUAUCUUCAGUCAUGCAAAGCAUAUAUAGACUUUGUUUUAAAUGAAGCCGAUUCUCUACUGGAUUUUGCCUUCUUAUCCAUUUCAGCAAAAUUUGCAUCUGUCACACCCUUUGGCUUUUUCUCAAUUUCUUGUAUUGCUAGAUCAACUCUGUCUUGAACCAAAAUGGCCUCCAUUUUGAGCUGCCACAUCCCGAAGUUGACAUUCCUGUCGAAUUUCUCGACAACAGUUUUUGUUAUCGUCAUUAUUGUCACAAAAUUCAAAACCUCUGAAAAAACUCUGAUACCAGUUUGUUAGGUCUGGCCCCAGAAAAUUAACGAAAAGAUUUUUGACAACCACAAAAAUACAAAUAACAAAGCAAAGAAUAAAUAAAAUAAGAACACAAGAAUUUACGUGGUUCGAUCAAAUUGACCUACGUUCAUGGGCGGAGGAGGAACAAUAUUUUACUAUGAAAAAGAAAGUACAAAAAUGCCUUAAAAAAGUAUUUUUAGACUCAAAACACCUAAUAUUUAAAACACAAGUGAGCCCAAAAUAUUUGACUAAACAAAAAGUUUAAUGAUUCAAAAGUCUAAAUAGUCCACUAAUGCUCUCUUGAUUCGGUGCACUUAAUCCCAUCACAAACCUAUUAUAUUUAUAGACAACCAAAGGAAAUGCUUCUUUUAUACAAAAGGCAACGUGGGACAAAGUCAUUUUAAUACUAUGGAUGAAGUUUUGAACAAUUAUUGCCCCUACCAAGAAAAAAAAUAAAAAAGAGGCAUUUAAUCAUGCAUGUGAGACAAAAAGAAAUCAUGCAUGUGAGACAAACAACUCCAUGAGAUUCUCCUCAAGAAAAUAGCGCAGGGCUUCACAGGAUCACAAUCACGUGUGAAAUUUGUGGAUACAAAGCAUGGAUCGGUAAAUAAAUGUGGUAUUUGUCUUUUGGUUCUUUCUUGGAAAUUUGCGCUUGUUCCCAGCCAUGACGUAACCGUCUCAAGUGGAUGAAAUAAACAACAUUAACAAAAUGGAGAUUGACCUACUCGCAAAAAAAUGACAAAAUUAAAUCAAAAGCAGAAGGGAAAUGAAAAGAAAAACUUUGAUGCGAAAGUUGACGGUAACUUUUAGUCGUUGAAUACUAGAAAAUUGAGACGAAAUGGAAAACAUUCAUGGACAAGGACCGCAGUGGCUUUUCCGUAGGACUGGGGGCCAGCACGGCUGGGGAAACUGGCAGCCUGGCACUGGCUCCGUUUGCCCUUUCCGUAUAAAACAACAAUAUCUAAAAGUAAAGAUUCUUUGCAAUUCUAUAUAAACUCGUAUUCAUCAUAAUAUAGUCCAACACAAACUACACACCAUCUAGCAAAAGAAAAAUCAUGACAGACCCUUGUGUGCAAUUUGCUCUCGCAAAGCUUGAUGCUUUUCUAACGGGAGAAUUGCGGUUGCCAAAGGAAGUUGAUACUGGGAUCAGGACUUUGAGAAGUGAACUGGGUACUAUAACAGCAUUUCUGAGUGCAGCUCAUCAAAGAGCGGUCCAAGAUCAACAAAUUCUGAAUUGGGUUCGAAAGGUUCAAGAUGCAGCUUAUGACAUCAUCGACAUUCUUGACCUUUUUGACCAUCACAAGGCAGAAAAUGGCAGGGCAUUAUCGGUGACCAGGCGGCGGGCAUACCGGUCAAUUGCCGAUCAGAUAAAUGAUAUCAAAUCAACUCUCGAGGAAAUCAACAAGGGUAGAGAAAGAUACCUACCAGCAAAUUCGUCCCAUGCUGCCUUAACACCAAGUCCAACUACAAACCGUGAUUACUCAGAUCUUCAUCCAAGGAUUGUUCCUUUGUUCCUUGCAGAUGCUGAUGUCGUGGGCUUUGAGGAAGAUAAGGACAUGCUGAUGGCGUGGGCACUGGAUAUGGUGGAUGAGCAUAAUAAGGUCAUGUUUGUUGUGGGCAUGGGUGGAUCUGGCAAGACAACUCUUGCCAAGCAAGUAUUCGAGGCAGUAAAACAAGACUUCGGUUGCUCCGCAUGGAUCAGUGUUUCAAAGUCCAAGAAGAAAUUGGAGAUCUUGCGGAACAUGUUAGAUCAACUAUGCAGAUGCAGCUCCAGGGCGGAAACGGCCCCAACUCCCCAGCAGCAAAGCUCGGAACACUACAUCAACCUCAUUAGGGAGUAUUUGCUGGAUAAGAGGUAUGUAAUCGUCCUCGAUGAUCUGUGGGCUGAUGAUGUUUGGAGAUCUAUUAUGUUAGCAUUGCCAAGAAGGAAUAGGAGUAGAAUAAUCAUCACUACGCGAAGAGGGGAUAUAGCCUAUUCACUGAAAGAUAGAUCUGUUGCUGUCCAUCCCAUUCAGCAUCUAUCUCUAGAAAAGGCUAAGGAACUCAUUCACAGAAUCGCCUUUCCAGGAUCUCGUAUAUGCCCUCCAGCUUUAGCUACACUGUCCAAUGAAAUUCUAGGAAAAUGUGAAGGGCUACCAUUGGCAAUCACUGAAAUUGGGCACCUUUUGUCAACUAAGGGGGAAAGGGAACCUGAAUGGAAAAAAUUGCGUGAUAGUCUUGCAUCAGAGCUACGAAGCAAUGGCCGGCUUGCAAAUAUUGCAAAAGUGUUGAUUCUUAGUUAUGAUGACUUACCUUACCAUCUUAAAAACUGUUUUCUGUUGAUGAAUACUUUUCCUCCUAAUCACCCCAUCCAGCGCACAGAGCUAAUACGGUUAUGGAUAGCAGAAGACUUCAUCACAGAAGGGAACAAUGGAAAAGAACUCGAAGAUUUGGGGGAAGAAUACCUGAACGAGCUCAUUCAAAGAAACUUGGUUCAGGUGUGGCAAAUGGACAUCGAUGGGAGACCAAGAACUUGUCAUGUUCAAAAUAUUAUUCAUGAGAUUGUUCUCUCACAGCUUCAAGAUGAAAACUUUUGUGAAGUUUAUCCAGAGCAAGGUAUAUUUGACAUCAGUAAUGAGAGGAUCAGGCGAAUAUCGAUCCAUAAAGGUGAUCUAGUCUUGUCAUGCCCAAAUCUUCGUGCUCGUGCUUUGCUAAUAUUUGACUCAUUGGAUCCAUACGAGCACUCCAUUCCAAUUGGCUAUUCAAGCUUAAAGAUGUUGAGGGAAUUGCAUCUGGAGGGUGCAAACUUGGACAUGUUUCCUGCAGACAUUGAAGAACUAUUGUUGUUGAGGUACUUGUGUUUGAGGAAUACAGGAAUCAGAAGCAUUCCGAAAUCAAUAGGAAAGCUUAAGCACCUUGAAACCUUGGACCUCAAACAAACAUUAGUCAGAACGCUGCCAAAAGAAAUAUGCCAUCUUUCUAAGCUUCGUUACUUACUUGUUUACAGAUAUGACAUUAAAGAUUAUGUGGCAUUUAACACAAUUAAAGGAUUUGAGGUCGCAGGAGAGAUCACGCGGUCUGCCAAUCUUCGCAAGCUACUGUUUGUGCAAGUCAAUAAAAAUCACAAAAUCAUUGUUGCAAUGCGAGGCCUCAGAGAACUGAGAAGGCUGGGAAUCAUGGGUUUGCGCAAAGAAGAUGGAAGGAUCUUGUCUGAGACUAUUCAAAUGCUGCGAAAUUUGCAUUCUUUGAAUGUGGCAGCAGAAAAUGAGGCGGGAGUUCUAGACAUGCAAGAAAUUUCACAUCCUCCUCGACUCCAGCGUUUGUAUUUGAAUGGAAGACUGGAGAGGAUGCCUAUCUGGAUUUCCGAACUUCAUGAUCUGGUAAGGCUUCGUUUGAAGUGGUCUCGGCUGGAUCAACAGUUCAGCAAUCCCAUUAAUAUCCUUCAAGAUCUUCCUAAUUUACUAGAACUCCAGCUGCUUGACGCCUACAAUGGGGACCUAUUGGAUUUCAAUGCUGGCAAAUUUCAGAAGCUCAAGAUACUGGAGUUAGAGCUACUUCAGCAGCUGAAAAUGGUCAUAAUGGAACGCAAUUCAUUGCCUUGUCUACAAAAGCUGAUCAUAAGGCGAUGCGGUCAGUUAGAGCAGAUUCCAGUAGGUAUAGAUGACCUCAGCCAACUCAAGGAGAUUCAUUUGCAUGAUAUGCCGAAAAAUUUUGUCUCCAUGCUCGAGAAAAAUGGUGGCAGUCUUUAUCAUCUUGUACAUCAUGUGCCAUUAAUACGUUCUUAUGAUGCUCAGAAUGGUGGACGGUGGGAUGUGAAAGAUCUUUCUGAUUGAUUAAAAAAAAAGAUCAAAAUGAGAGAUUCAUUCCCCCUUUUUGGUAAGGCAAAAAUUUCGGUUGUGUAAAUUUAUGAAUUAUAUGUAAUUCCUACAGUCACAAGAUCAGAAUUUUCUUUUGUGAAAUAAUUUUAGUACUACUAUACAAGUUGUAGCCUUCACUUCCCUACAACAAUUUGCUCUAUUUUACACCAUGUCAUGUGAGCCUUCUCCAUUAUAUCAUUCUCAAAGAGUUUUGUGAAAGUGAAGAGCGAAGAAUGCAACUAAAGCUAAUUAGCUUUUGAUCGCAGUUAGCUCACAUAGACAUUCAAAGAAGUUCUUGUGUAAAUUUCAGUUAGCUUUACUUCAUGGAACUUCAGAUAAGAUCAGUUAUUAAUGUAUUAGGGGCCGGGGGGGGGGGGGAAGAUAGUCUAAGCUCAUAUUUUCUAACUAUUUUCUUAGUCUUAGUUUCAACUCGAUCUUUUUUCUAACUAAGAUGCAAUCGCAUAUCAUCUAGAAGAGAAUUUUCGAUGGAAUGAAAUGAUUAAUCUAAAGUAAGACAUUAUUAAAUUACAUAUUUAAACCAAUCUAAAUUAAUUUAUCAAAUACGAGAAUGAUUGGUUUGAUAAUAGGUAUCCACUUUUGUAAACUUCAUAGCUAUUGGGUCUAUUUUCUUUUGAAGUUUAGUAGCAUGACAAGUCUGUAAUUUUGGAAGUUUCACACAUACUGCAGCUCUCUCUAUCCUUAAUUAUUUAUCACUUCAUGUAAGACAUAGGCGAAAAUAUCUACAAAUCAGGGAUGGGAUGGAAAUACCUAACAUAAAGGGAUAAAAUAAAGAUAGGCGUGAGAAAAGUAGUGGCCAAGAGUUUGCUUUCACAGGGAAAAAUGGGGACUUGGACAAGUACAGUCGUUCACAUUAUAGUGGUAUAUUUUUGUUGUAUUUGCUAUACGGAUUAGUGUACAAUCAUAUUUACUCCUCCCUUAACAAGCCAUCAUUAAAAUUUUAAAACCCUAUACAAUUCGAAAGCCAAAUACAUCACCUUAAACAAAAACAAGGUGAAGAAUUUUAAACCAUAGCUAUUAAUGGAAGAGAAAAAGUGAAUUCUCUCCUUAUUUUUCACAAUACACAUUUGGAUGCAUUACACUAUGAAGAGACAUGAUCAUUUUAAAUUUAACUAAUUUUUACCCUUCUUAAUAAAUGAAAAUAUGUGUCCUAUAUGCAUAUGUACAUUGCAAGAAAUAAAGAAAGAAUCCACUGAAAACGAGCUAAAAUAGGUAGAGAAGGUAGCGGGUGUGUAAGUAUAUUCGAGAAAAAGAGUUUCGCUUGAGGAAUGGGUAUGAUAGUUGGGGGAAGAAGGAGUUGGUAACGAUGGCCAGAAAAUGAUGAAUGUACUCUUUUUUUUUUUUGGUUGGAUUCUUGCAUGAACGGUAGUGAUUUCAUUUUAUAUCAAUGGAGGUAAGUGUAAUAUUAUUGAAACAAAGAGGGAGUUGAGUGUAAUUAUCAUAAACCUCAAAUGAGGCUUACCUCAAAGGGGGUUUAUGAAAUUAUACCAUAAAAAUAUAGAUGGUGUUAGGUGAAUAUAGUAAGUAAAACGAUUGAGGCCAGGAAAAAUAGUUAAACAAAUGCGGGAUAACGUGGUAGAAUACAAAAUCAUAGAAGGGUUAAAUAAUAAUAAUUGACCCUUUUAUCUAUUAGAUUUACAUCACUUGGAUAUUAUAAGCGUCCAUAAUUAGUUUAAUUAUGAUGGGCAUCCUCCAUUUCGAUGUAGUUCAUCAAUCCAUUUUGGAUUGUAUAGAAGUGGAUUGCAAUUCGUUCUGCCUACAUGAAGUACUUCAAGGUCAUAAUGUGAUAAUGAAAGGAUAUACAUAUGCGUAAAAUUUGUGGAUAUGGAAAAUAAACACUUUUGGAGAAUUCAUAGUGGAAAAUUGUCUAUACUAUUCAAAUUUUUAUGAUCUUUAACUUUUUCUAUCUUUCAAAUAAAAAUUAACAAGUUCAGCACAACCAUAUGGAGGUGAAAUUGCAAAGAAGUACUUCAGCAGUAAGUUGCAAGGUAGAUUCUUCAUCCUGUCCCCUUCCCCCUUCACAAAAAAACUGCGUUGGUGAAUUUUAACCAUAAGAUCUACUCUAGUUAUUGAACAAUUUAUGAACAAUUCAUAAGUUACUCAAUAGCUAAUGAAAUCUUGCCAAGUGCAUAAUUACUCCUUCUAUCGUCCCAAUAUGUUUAUCGUUCUUCGAGAAUCCAACUUUUUAAUAAUAAUACUUUAAUUAUGAUAUUUGUAUUUUUCUUUUCAGUUUGAUUCUCCAAAUUUUGAAUUUUGAAUUUUAACAUAAAAUGUGCAUAAAUAGAGACAUGGACAACAUUGGAAAUAGAAAUUAAAAAUGACUUUAACUUGUAUGGCAUAACAAAUAUAUUGGAAUAUUUUAGAGUGAAAUAGAUGACAAAUAUUUUAGAACUUAAGGGUGUAAUAUGUAAUAAGUACAUUUGGCAAGGAAUGCCAAGUCAAAUUUGACUGACUGUAACCCACUUCUAUUCUAUGUCCCCUCCACCGCGGUUCUGCACUACACAAUCUUCUCCAUUCGCAUUUGCCCAAAGGGCUGCAGAGAGUUGAGUGAGGGAGGAAGAAGGCAUAAAGGAAGAUAACUAAAAUAAUAUGUGUUUGAAUAGAGUAUUAUUUGAAAUAAUUACUAUAGCACUUUUUAUGAUGUGAUGUAUGUGAGCUAAAAAAUAGUUGGAAAUAUAAAAAAAUGAAUUGAAACAUGCGUUUAUGAUGCAAACGAAAUAUUAUUUGAGAUAAAUUUACAAUCCAAACACAGCUACAAAGCCACAAAAGUAAUAAAAAAUUGUAAAUAAUGACUUGGCAUAUACUUUUGCCAACUAGACUCAUUGGUCAUCCACUUAAUAAGUUUCAAUUGGCUAUCCUUAAAAAAAAAAAUUUUUAAUUAACUAUUGAGCAACCCUAUGGAUUGUCUGUAAAUUGCUCAAUGACCAUAAUAAAGUUUGUCCCCAGUUAUCAUAUGUCAAUUAAAAAGAGAGAAAAAUACAGUUUUGAUACCUAAAUUUUGACACAUGAAUGGUUUUAGUCCCCAAAUUUUGGGCAACAACAAAUUUGGUAUCCAAAUUUUGAAAUUUCGAGCACAUUUAGUACCCUUGACGUUUUUUUCCCAAAUUGCUAUCGGAAAAAGUCAGGUAGCAGUCAUAUGUCCGGUCACUAUUAUAUAAAAAAAAUGUCAAAAAAAUGUCAAAUAUCAUUCUAAUACUAAGUAUUAAGUUUAAGGACUAAUAAUGUAAUUAAAAAAAUCUAAGGACUAAAUAAAAUCACAUGAGUCAUUUAAAAAAAAAAAAAAAAGAGUUUGACAGAGUUUUACAUCGUUUUCUUCUUCAAUAGCGCUGUCUACAAAUUUUUUUUUUUUUUUUUUUUUGUGAUUAUACUAGUAUACUACUGUCUACAUCUUUUGAUGGAGACUUUCCUCUUUCUUUUUUUUUUUUUCCCUUGCUGGCAAGUUGCAAGUCGGGCUUUCGUUUAUUAGUAGCAAAGUUGUUGGUCCCAACUACUUGACAAAUACAUUUGCAAUUAAGCAUCCCAACUACGUUGAAAGUUCCCUUGGAUUUUCUAUUCUUUUCAAGUGGGUGAUGUAGGCUGGCUCUGAGCUGCAAGUGGAAAUUUUAUUUGCUAGUAGAAGCAUUAGCAGUAGAACAAACAGCUUGUACCUUUUGCGAAGUAUGGUUGUCAAGAAAAAAACUAAUGAUAAUACUAAUAAAGAAAGAAAAGUAUGCUUUGCAGUUCGGCAAACUGAAAAAUCAAAGAUUCUCGUUCUUAUCCGAGUCGACAGCUAUGUUUGCACGGGUUGCCCGCAGAUGUCGUGCUUACAGGACUUGACUUUUACCAAAAAAAAAAAGAAGAAAGAAAGAAAGGGUUUUGAACAUUGAAUUCACCUAACAUAAAUCAAACAAAUGCACACACAUCGAUUGUGUCCUUUUGCAUUUAAGUACCUUGGCACGCCUGUUUUAGGAGUGUUUUAGAAAAACAAAAUUUUACUAUUAAAAUAUUUAUUUAAGGUGACACUUUAAAACACUCACAAGUUUUAAAAUAGGGAUAAUUUCAAAAAUCUCCCUUGAAAUUUUUAACAAUUGCACUUUAAUACUCCCUAAUAUUAGAAAUUAUACUGCCCUCUCCUUGAAUGACAUUUUUUAUAACUAUUUUAGCCCUUGUCGAGAAAAGCUUCCUUAAAAAUUGAGAAAAAGUACUGACACAUAAUUUUCUACCAAAAUUUGCCCUUCUUGUAUGUAGGAGAAAACAUGUACCACUUUUUUAUGAAAUUAACAAAAAAAAAAAGGAAAAAUAUUGGCCUUUCAAUGAGCCUCUUAGGACAGCAAAGAAUACAUAUAUAAAAGUCAACUUUUGACCAUUAAAAACAAGCAGUGUAAUUUUCAAUAUUAGAGGAUAUUUAAGUGUAAUUACUAGAAGCUGUGAGAGAGGUUACUGAAAUUAUCCCUUUGAUAUAUAUAUAUAUAUAUAUAUAUAUAUAUAUAUAUAGUAGUGGUGAGUGGUAGAGGUUGCUGGUAGUGUGUAGGGAUGGCAAUAGGGUGGGGUUGGGGCGGGGGAUGGGGGAGCCCAUUAAUUCCCCCCUGUCCCCCGCUCCUCCCACCCCACCUCGCUUCCCCCGUAGGGGAAUUCACGGGGUUAACAAAAAUUUAUUUUAGUCAAAUUUUAACAAAUAAUCAAGUACUAAAAUAUCAACACAUCACCAAAGUAUUAUCCAUUGUAAUUUCAUAAUUGAAACUCAUAAAAAUAAUUAAAAAAAGUUAUUUGAAUACAAUCCAACAUGAUAAAACAAAUACAACUAAAGUAGUUAAGUUUUCACUUUUAAUACAAAUACAAUCACUAAAUCAUUAUUAUAUUUUUUAUGAGAAAAAAUGUGUUAUUAUGUCAAGUGUAAUUAAGAAUUUAGUAUAAAUGUAUUAGUAAAUUUAUUUUAACUAAUUAAUAAUUUCUAUUAGUAUAAACAUAUAUAAUUAUUAGUAUAAUUGAUAAUAUCAAUUAUAUUAUAAAUACUAAUAUACAAUAUAUAAUACAUAUAACUAAUAAUAUCAUUGUUAUAAGUUUGUAACUAAUUAAGUUGAAUAUUAAAUAUAGAUAUAUAUUUAUUAAUUUUUUUAAAUAUAGAUGGUGAUGACGAAACUGCAGUCGAACCUGUGAUAGUAGAUUCCUACAAAAUAUAUAAAGUUAUAAACUACCAACCCUGCAAGCUUUGAUUACAAUGAGAGCAUCUUUGGAAACCUUCGUAACUUCAUUUUCAGUUAUGUAUUUGCACCUAAGAGUUCUAGGUUGCCCAAAGAGAAGAGUUUUUUUUUUUUUUCAAAUUAAGAACAUGUCUAAUAUUAGUGAGCGUCCUCACAAUACCAUCAUGCAUUUUAAUUCAGAUUGUACCCUUAUCAACAACAUCACAAAUGACAUUAUUGCUCAUCAAAAUAAUUCCACCAUUACAAGAUUCAUAAGUGAAAAAUAAAUCCCUAUUGGGACACAUGUGAUAAGAGCACCCUAAAUCUAAAAUCCAUGCAUUUUUAGACCUUGUUCUGUCAUCAAUCGCAAAGAAAAUAUUUCCUUCAUUCUCAUCAGCUGCAACAUGACAGGUGCCGAACCUGUGCAAUAAUAAAAACCUACUCGAGAAAAAUACAGAUUUUGUAUAAAGCGGUGAGUAGGGUCGAAUCCACAGGGACUGGGGAUAAUUCGUUUCUUCUAGAGUUCAAGAUAUGGGGGGUUUUGGAUUAAAUGCUAACUAAAUAAAUUAACUGCAGAAAAUAAUUAAGUAAAAGAAAUAAUUAAGAUAGCUCUAGCCAAGGGUAUACUUCAGAAAUGGUUCAGGCACUGAUCAUUGAUUCACAGAUAAUUCCAACAUUUAGUAAUAGAUUAGUUAUAGUUGUCAUGCACGCGAUAAACAACCAACCCUUCCUUAAUUUCUCGAUAGCUAAGGUACGACCGUUAGCUAUUUCUCUAACCCAAAAAUAACCCCAGGUACGACCGUGGAAUUUAAUUUCUAAAUUGCAUUAAUAAUUAGAAAGGCUCAAUCCUAACCAACAAACACGCUACGAGGGUUUGUUUAAGCUAGAUCAUAUGCUCCCCUGAUAUAAACCCAAUUACGCCAGUUGCUACUGAGGUAGAGAUAACGAACAAUUACGGAUUCAAUUAUCCCUAUUUAGCAAAAUAGCCCAUAUGAAUAAUUAAUUAUUGCGCAUCUAUUCAAUCACUCACAUGAGUUAUAGCAAUUAAAAGCAGGAAACAUAUAAAUACCAAUAAAUUAAGGAAACAAUUAAAAUAAAUUAGAUCUCACAGUAAUUGUUGAACCAAAUCUUCAGUUGUCCCCUUGACUAGAAUUAAGAGGUUAGUCCUCCAUUAAUGGAGAACAGCCAUGCGAAAAUUCAGCAAUAAUUGUCGAGGACAUCCUUCUCUAUAUGAUGAAGGAAUCCGAAUAAUUAAAAAUGAAAGAAAAAGUACAAAGUGGAAGAGGAUGCUAAUGUCUUCUCCCUAGCCUCUAGCCAGGGGCUUACGGGAUUAAUUCCCCAAGUGAAGUCACGGCUGCCCCCAACUCCAUUUGUUGCUUUUAUUUGUUUCUCUCUUGCGGCCGGCCCUACUCCCAAAAGCACUAGAAUCCUAAUCAAACUUUGGCUUUUUUUCUCUCCCGCUGAGCUGCCAAAGUAAGUUUCCUUUCUAUGCCAAACUUCUGGACUUGUGAAGACCUGAGUUGACACGACCCCGCCAGACAGCACUUGGAAUGCGAGAUUUUCACUCAUUUUAUUAUAUUUUGCUCCUAGUCCCUAUGAUAAGUACAAAUGCCAAAAAUGAGUAGAAUCUGACAAUUAAUCCACAUUGGAUCAGGUAAUAGGGGAAAUUAAUAAUAAAAUAAAUAAUAAAAUUACACCCUAUCAAUUCCCCCACACCUAAACCAUGCUUGUCCUCAAGCAUAAGAACAGUAGACAAAUACCAAUAUUUGACAAUGGCUAUUGCUCUAUCCAACAAAUUGCCAAGAUACCAAGAAAAAUAAUAAUCAAGCAUCAAUGGUCAAGAUCCAAGAAACAUCACUCCGGUUAGCUUCUAAACCACAAACUCCUCUAAUUUUAUGUUAACUAAUCUGAGAAAAAGGAAUAACGCAUAACAUUUAUCAGCAAAUGGUCCAACUAUUAACCAAAAUCUCAACAUUAAAUCCAUAAAUCGGCUAGCUGGCUUUUAUUAUACACUAACACAACCUUCAACUUUUUUUUUCACAUUUUUUUUCUACUCUUCUCCCUUUUUUUUCCAAUAGUAACAAAAGACUUAGUCGCUAGCCAUUUGAGCCUUUUGACGCGAACUCCAACAUUGGCCGGAUGAAGGAGCCCGGUUACUCAGCUUCUAUCGCCACGUGACCACGUACUCAUAGCAAUUACUACUUUUUGACGCGAGAAUCGACACUUUUGGUGAAAAUUCCCGGUUACUCGGUAGCAAAUACUAGCGGAGGACAGUCAACUCUUAUUCACAGCCAAAUAAAACCAAAAAUUCAAAAUAACACAAAAAUCAAAAGGAACUUUGCAGCUGCUAGUCUCAUUUUUAAAUAUGGAGAACUAAAGUUAAUAACCGGACCAAUUCACAUGAAAAUGCCAAUAAUCAUUCCCUAUGCCUAGGAAAGUUAACCAAAAAUUAUAAAAGUAAAACAAUCAUUGAUAUUCACCAAAGAGAUGUUUUUGGAUUCAACCACAUUAACUUGAUACUCUUUUAUUAUUAAAAUUGGCAAUAGUAGAAAUAGAGGCAAUAAUCCAACAUCAAACCUUGGCAUGCAUUUACGAGCCAAUCACUAAAAAAAAAAAAAAAUGAAUGAAAGACACUAGCACCAUAACUGCUCAUAUUUCCCCCACACCUAAAUCAUACAUUGUCCUCAAUGGAGGGAUUAAAGCAAUUAAAACGAAGAGGGCAACGAAACUUCCCUCACGAGUGGCGAAAGGGUAGGCGGGAAUGGUGCGCGGAAACUGAUGUGAUAGAAGUACGCGGCCAAGGUCUGAGAUAUCUCAACUCAAUUCAACCAGCAAAUGCAAAACUCUGUCACCCAAAAUCUCCACUGGUACUACUCCAGGCGGCAGACAGAGCAGCGGCGGCGCGCGUCUCCAGCAACGAUGGCGGCAGCUUGGACAGAGCGCCCGUGGCUGGCGGGAAGAGCUGGGCAGAGGUGGCGGCAGUAGCUCACGGUGGAGCUGUGGGCAGAGUGAGGGCCGCCAGGAGAGAGAGAAAGAUGGGAAGGGUGUGCGGUUGAGCGAGGGAGGUGCGUCCAGAGCAGCGACGUGGGGCAGUGGGACGGCGCGCGGCGAAGAGGGAUGGCGGCACCGUGGGUAGCAGCAGCGAGGGGAAGCUGCUGCGUGCGCUUCGGCCGAGCGGUGCUCGGUGGCGUGCGCAGAGUAAAAGAAAAGGAAAACAGGGGAGAAGGAAGAAAGAAAAAGAAGAAGAAAGAAAGAAGAAGAAGAAAGAAAAGGAAAAAAAAGGAAAAAGAAAAGCUUUUUUUUUUUUUUUUGCUUUUUUGUUUUUUUUUUUUGUUACUUACUUGAAAAUUUUUUAUUUUUUUAUUUUUUUAAUAUUUGACACUAAAGCUACGUUGAUAAAAAAAAAGUUUCUGUGUGGUUUUUUUUUUUUUUUUUUUGAAUCCUUACCUUUCCCGUGAACGUGACGCGGGCACGUCUAGAGGGCAAGAGAGCUCCCAGAAGUUUCAGAACUUUCUGAUCGUGAGCUUCCUGCACCUCACCACGCGGGCACGUCAUGAGAGCAGGAGAGCUCCCAGAAGUUUCAGAAGUUCCUGAUCGUGAGCAUCCUGCACAUCACCACGCGGGCACGUCAUGACUGAAGGGCACCUAUAAAUCAGCAAAAACGAAAACUGAAACCCAAAAUCAGUCAAAUUAAAGGGAAAACAGAUUUAAACUAUGGCACGAAACCAACAAGCAAUUGAAAGAAACAAUUGGGUUGCCUCCCAAUGAGCGUCUUUCUUUAAUGUCUUUGGCUAGACAUUAUCAUGUUUUGUUCAUGGAGGAUAAAAUCUUGUGGCUCGUCUCAUUGCUUCAUCCUCUACAUAGUCCUGAUAGCCCUCGUAGAUAGAAUAAUCUUUGGACAUACGAGUUACGGGCUUCCAUGGACUAGUAAAUGGCGCCAAACGAGUCGAUGAUAAUUUGCAUUCUCCAUUCACUCCUCCCUCACUUGCAUUUAUUGGUUCAAGAUAUCUUGCCAUCGCCACUCUUAAUUUAUUCCUGUCAUGGAAUUCAAAAUUUUCUGGUAUAAUAAAGUCAAUUUCAUUAACAGGAAUUGAAGAAUAAGAGUCAGGAGAAUAGUGAUGAAGGAGUGGAGGGGAUGUCACCGCAUUUGGAGAUUGUUCACUGGAUUCAUUCACUUGAAUGAGUUGAUCCUGGAGUCUCAUUUUUUGCACUUAAACUUCCUUUUCAACUGCAUCUUUAAAUCCGUUUCCUUGAAACUCUUGCAGUUCCAUAUCAUUUGGCUGGAUAAUUGCACUCUCAUCUCCUUCAAGAUUGAUAUUGGUUUGUGAGGGCAAUUCUUCAAGGUGAGCCUCUAAUCGCUCUAUCCUGGAUGUCAAUUGACGCAUUUGAUCCGCCAGGUCGCGACAGCUCGCUUGUGUCUUCUGAUGAAAUCGAUUUAGGUUCGCUUGUGUCUCCUGAUGAAAUCGAUUUGAAUUAGCAAUUAGUAAACCUAUCAUUUCUUCAAGAGAUAUACCUGACACGGAGGAUGAUUGCUGAGACUCUUGCUGUUGAAAAUCCAUUGGCCCCGUCGCAUAAUUAAAAUUGGAAUUAUCCCACCAUUCUUGAUCAUACCCGUUUGAAUAAGGGUCAUACUGCGUUUGAUAUUGGGGUGGAAAAUCUCCAAAAGUAUCAAGUGGAGAACUUAAAUUAUCUUGAAAUACGGGGCAUGUGUCAGUUGAAUAACCUGAGUCAAAAUAAGUUCCACAAUUUGCAACAGCCCAUUGAUCAUUAGGAAAAACAUGAGUCUCAUAACCCCAUUCAGGAACAAAAUCCAGUCUAUCAUCAAAAUAUGGAAUGUUAGCAGCCAUAAAAAAAAUAAAAAAAAAUAAUAAUAAUAAAAAAUAAGAGAAAAAUAAAUUAAAAAAAAUGAAAACAAGAUAAACUAAAAAAGAAACAAUUUAAUCUGGCACCAGUCCCCGGCAACGGCGCCAAAAAUUGACAGGUGCCGAACCUGUGCAAUAAUAAAAACCUACUCGAGAAAAAUACAGAUUUUGUAUAAAGCGGUGAGUAGGGUCGAAUCCACAGGGAUUGGGGAUAAUUCGUUUCUUCUAGAGUUCAAGAUAUGGGGGGUUUUGGAUUAAAUGCUAACUAAAUAAAUUAACUGCAGAAAAUAAUUAAGUAAAAGAAAUAAUUAAGAUAGCUCUAGCCAAGGGUAUACUUCAGAAAUGGUUCAGGCACUGAUCAUUGAUUCACAGAUAAUUCCAACAUUUAGUAAUAGAUUAGUUAUAGUUGUCAUGCACGCGAUAAACAACCAACCCUUCCUUAAUUUCUCGAUAGCUAAGGUACGACCGUUAGCUAUUUCUCUAACCCAAAAAUAACCCCAGGUACGACCGUAGAAUUUAAUUUCUAGAUUGCAUUAAUAAUUAGAAAGACCCAAUCCUAACCAACAAACACGCUACGAGGGUUUGUUUAAGCUAGAUCAUAUGCUCCCCUGACAUAAACCCAAUUACGCCAGUUGCUACUGAGGUAGAGAUAACGAACAAUUACGGAUUCAAUUAUCCCUAUUUAGCAAAAUAGCCCAUAUGAAUAAUUAAUUAUUGCGCAUCUAUUCAAUCACUCACAUGAGCUAUAGCAAUUAAAAGCAGGAAACAUAUAAAUACCAAUAAAUUAAGGAAACAAUUAAAAUAAAUUAGAUCUCACAGUAAUUGUUGAACCAAAUCUUCAGUUGUCCCCUUGACUAGAAUUAAGAGGUUAGUCCUCCAUUAAUGGAGAACAGCCAUGCGAAAAUUCAGCAAUAAUUGUCGAGGACAUCCUUCUCUAUAUGAUGAAGGAAUCCGAAUAAUUAAAAAUGAAAGAAAAAGUACAAAGUGGAAGAGGAUGCUAAUGUCUUCUCCCUAGCCUCUAGCCAGGGGCUUACGGGAUUAAUUCCCCAAGUGAAGUCACGGCUGCCCCCAACUCCAUUUGUUGCUUUUAUUUGUUUCUCUCUUGCGGCCGGCCCUACUCCCAAAAGCACUAGAGUCCUAAUCAAACUUUGGCUUUUUUUCUCUCCCGCUGAGCUGCCAAAGUAAGUUUCCUUUCUAUGCCAAACUUCUGGACUUGUGAAGACCUGAGUUGACACGACCCCGCCAGACAGCACUUGGAAUGCGAGAUUUUCACUCAUUUUAUUAUAUUUUGCUCCUAGUCCCUAUGAUAAGUACAAAUGCCAAAAAUGAGUAGAAUCUGACAAUUAAUCCACAUUGGAUCAGGUAAUAGGGGAAAUUAAUAAUAAAAUAAAUAAUAAAAUUACACCCUAUCACAACACUAGAUUCGGCAGUCUCAAUAUUUUUCUCACCAGAUAUUCCCUUUUAUUUCAAUCUAUAUUUCAAUUUAAAACAAUUUGCCUUAAUGCGCCCCAAUUUAUGACAAUAAUUACACUCCAAAUUUCUAUGUCUGGAUUUAGAUUUAGAUUUAGAUCUACUACUGUCAAAUUCUUUUUUCUUGAUUCUACCCCUAACAACCAAACCUUCCGCCUGACUUUCACUAAAUUUUCCAGUAAUAUCUGUGUCUAUCUGCUCCUUAAAUUUUAAUGCAGAUUUAAUUUCUCGAUACGAAAUUGUUUCUUUUCCAUAAAUCAUAAUAUCGCAAAAAUAGUUAAAAAAAAUUGGUGAAAGGAAUAUAGAAGUAACAAGGCCUAAUCCUCAUCAUCAAUUUUCGAAUCUAUAUUUUCCAAAUUCAUAAUAAUGGAAUCAAAUUUGUCAAAAUGUGAGAGUAUAGAUGUAUCUUCAGUCAUGCAAAGCAUAUAUAGACUUUGUUUUAAAUGAAGCCGAUUCUCUACUGGAUUUUGCCUUCUUAUCCAUUUCAGCAAAAUUUGCAUCUGUCACACCCUUUGGCUUUUUCUCAAUUUCUUGUAUUGCUAGAUCAACUCUGUCUUGAACCAAAAUGGCCUCCAUUUUGAGCUGCCACAUCCCGAAGUUGACAUUCCUGUCGAAUUUCUCGACAACAGUUUUUGUUAUCGUCAUUAUUGUCACAAAAUUCAAAACCUCUGAAAAAACUCUGAUACCAGUUUGUUAGGUCUGGCCCCAGAAAAUUAACGAAAAGAUUUUUGACAACCACAAAAAUACAAAUAACAAAGCAAAGAAUAAAUAAAAUAAGAACACAAGAAUUUACGUGGUUCGAUCAAAUUGACCUACGUUCAUGGGCGGAGGAGGAACAAUAUUUUACUAUGAAAAAGAAAGUACAAAAAUGCCUUAAAAAAGUAUUUUUAGACUCAAAACACCUAAUAUUUAAAACACAAGUGAGCCCAAAAUAUUUGACUAAACAAAAAGUUUAAUGAUUCAAAAGUCUAAAUAGUCCACUAAUGCUCUCUUGAUUCGGUGCACUUAAUCCCAUCACAAACCUAUUAUAUUUAUAGACAACCAAAGGAAAUGCUUCUUUUAUACAAAAGGCAACGUGGGACAAAGUCAUUUUAAUACUAUGGAUGAAGUUUUGAACAAUUAUUGCCCCUACCAAGAAAAAAAAUAAAAAAGAGGCAUUUAAUCAUGCAUGUGAGACAAAAAGAAAUCAUGCAUGUGAGACAAACAACUCCAUGAGAUUCUCCUCAAGAAAAUAGCGCAGGGCUUCACAGGAUCACAAUCACGUGUGAAAUUUGUGGAUACAAAGCAUGGAUCGGUAAAUAAAUGUGGUAUUUGUCUUUUGGUUCUUUCUUGGAAAUUUGCGCUUGUUCCCAGCCAUGACGUAACCGUCUCAAGUGGAUGAAAUAAACAACAUUAACAAAAUGGAGAUUGACCUACUCGCAAAAAAAUGACAAAAUUAAAUCAAAAGCAGAAGGGAAAUGAAAAGAAAAACUUUGAUGCGAAAGUUGACGGUAACUUUUAGUCGUUGAAUACUAGAAAAUUGAGACGAAAUGGAAAACAUUCAUGGACAAGGACCGCAGUGGCUUUUCCGUAGGACUGGGGGCCAGCACGGCUGGGGAAACUGGCAGCCUGGCACUGGCUCCGUUUGCCCUUUCCGUAUAAAACAACAAUAUCUAAAAGUAAAGAUUCUUUGCAAUUCUAUAUAAACUCGUAUUCAUCAUAAUAUAGUCCAACACAAACUACACACCAUCUAGCAAAAGAAAAAUCAUGACAGACCCUUGUGUGCAAUUUGCUCUCGCAAAGCUUGAUGCUUUUCUAACGGGAGAAUUGCGGUUGCCAAAGGAAGUUGAUACUGGGAUCAGGACUUUGAGAAGUGAACUGGGUACUAUAACAGCAUUUCUGAGUGCAGCUCAUCAAAGAGCGGUCCAAGAUCAACAAAUUCUGAAUUGGGUUCGAAAGGUUCAAGAUGCAGCUUAUGACAUCAUCGACAUUCUUGACCUUUUUGACCAUCACAAGGCAGAAAAUGGCAGGGCAUUAUCGGUGACCAGGCGGCGGGCAUACCGGUCAAUUGCCGAUCAGAUAAAUGAUAUCAAAUCAACUCUCGAGGAAAUCAACAAGGGUAGAGAAAGAUACCUACCAGCAAAUUCGUCCCAUGCUGCCUUAACACCAAGUCCAACUACAAACCGUGAUUACUCAGAUCUUCAUCCAAGGAUUGUUCCUUUGUUCCUUGCAGAUGCUGAUGUCGUGGGCUUUGAGGAAGAUAAGGACAUGCUGAUGGCGUGGGCACUGGAUAUGGUGGAUGAGCAUAAUAAGGUCAUGUUUGUUGUGGGCAUGGGUGGAUCUGGCAAGACAACUCUUGCCAAGCAAGUAUUCGAGGCAGUAAAACAAGACUUCGGUUGCUCCGCAUGGAUCAGUGUUUCAAAGUCCAAGAAGAAAUUGGAGAUCUUGCGGAACAUGUUAGAUCAACUAUGCAGAUGCAGCUCCAGGGCGGAAACGGCCCCAACUCCCCAGCAGCAAAGCUCGGAACACUACAUCAACCUCAUUAGGGAGUAUUUGCUGGAUAAGAGGUAUGUAAUCGUCCUCGAUGAUCUGUGGGCUGAUGAUGUUUGGAGAUCUAUUAUGUUAGCAUUGCCAAGAAGGAAUAGGAGUAGAAUAAUCAUCACUACGCGAAGAGGGGAUAUAGCCUAUUCACUGAAAGAUAGAUCUGUUGCUGUCCAUCCCAUUCAGCAUCUAUCUCUAGAAAAGGCUAAGGAACUCAUUCACAGAAUCGCCUUUCCAGGAUCUCGUAUAUGCCCUCCAGCUUUAGCUACACUGUCCAAUGAAAUUCUAGGAAAAUGUGAAGGGCUACCAUUGGCAAUCACUGAAAUUGGGCACCUUUUGUCAACUAAGGGGGAAAGGGAACCUGAAUGGAAAAAAUUGCGUGAUAGUCUUGCAUCAGAGCUACGAAGCAAUGGCCGGCUUGCAAAUAUUGCAAAAGUGUUGAUUCUUAGUUAUGAUGACUUACCUUACCAUCUUAAAAACUGUUUUCUGUUGAUGAAUACUUUUCCUCCUAAUCACCCCAUCCAGCGCACAGAGCUAAUACGGUUAUGGAUAGCAGAAGACUUCAUCACAGAAGGGAACAAUGGAAAAGAACUCGAAGAUUUGGGGGAAGAAUACCUGAACGAGCUCAUUCAAAGAAACUUGGUUCAGGUGUGGCAAAUGGACAUCGAUGGGAGACCAAGAACUUGUCAUGUUCAAAAUAUUAUUCAUGAGAUUGUUCUCUCACAGCUUCAAGAUGAAAACUUUUGUGAAGUUUAUCCAGAGCAAGGUAUAUUUGACAUCAGUAAUGAGAGGAUCAGGCGAAUAUCGAUCCAUAAAGGUGAUCUAGUCUUGUCAUGCCCAAAUCUUCGUGCUCGUGCUUUGCUAAUAUUUGACUCAUUGGAUCCAUACGAGCACUCCAUUCCAAUUGGCUAUUCAAGCUUAAAGAUGUUGAGGGAAUUGCAUCUGGAGGGUGCAAACUUGGACAUGUUUCCUGCAGACAUUGAAGAACUAUUGUUGUUGAGGUACUUGUGUUUGAGGAAUACAGGAAUCAGAAGCAUUCCGAAAUCAAUAGGAAAGCUUAAGCACCUUGAAACCUUGGACCUCAAACAAACAUUAGUCAGAACGCUGCCAAAAGAAAUAUGCCAUCUUUCUAAGCUUCGUUACUUACUUGUUUACAGAUAUGACAUUGAAGAUUAUGUGGCAUUUAACACAAUUAAAGGAUUUGAGGUCGCAGGAGAGAUCACGUGGUCGGCCAAUCUUCGCAAGCUACUGUUUGUGCAAGUCAAAAAAAAUCACAAAAUCAUUGUUGCAAUGCGAGGCCUCAGAGAACUGAGAAGGCUGGGAAUCAUGGGUUUGCGCAAAGAAGAUGGAAGGAUCUUGUCUGAGACCAUUCAAAUGCUGCCAAAUUUGCAUUCUUUGAAUGUGGCAGCAGAAAAUGAGGCGGGAGUUCUAGACAUGCAAGAAAUUUCACAUCCUCCUCCACUCCAGCGUUUAUAUUUGAAUGGCGGGCUGGAGAGGAUGCCUAUCUGGAUUUCCAAACUUCACGAUCUGGUAAGGCUUCGUCUAAAGUGGUCUCGGCUGGAUCAGCAGUUCAGCAAUCCCAUUAAUACCCUUCAAGAUCUUCCUAAUUUACUAGAACUCCAGCUGCUUGACGCCUACAAUGGGGACCUAUUGGAUUUCAAUGCUGGCAAAUUUCAGAAGCUCAAGAUACUGGAGUUAGAGCUACUUCAGCAGCUGAAAAUGGUCAUAAUGGAACGCAAUUCAUUGCCUUGUCUACAAAAGCUGAUCAUAAGGCGAUGCGGUCAGUUAGAGCAGAUUCCAGUAGGUAUAGAUGAACUCAGCCAACUCAAGGAGAUUCAUUUGUAUGAUAUGCCGAAAAAUUUUGUCUCCAUGCUCGAGAAAAAUGGUGGCAGUCUUUAUCAUCUUGUACAUCAUGUGCCAUUAAUACGUUCUUAUGAUGCUCAGAAUGGUGGACGGUGGGAUGUGAAAGAUCUUUCUGAUUGAUUAAAAAAAAGAUCAAAAUGAGAGAUUCAUUCCCCCUUUUUGGUAAGGCAAAAAUUUCGGUUGUGUAAAUUUAUGAAUUAUAUGUAAUUCCUACAGUCACAAGAUCAGGAUUUUCUUCUGUGAAAUAAUUUUAGUACUACUAUAUAAGUUGUAGCCUUCACUUCCCUACAACAAUUUGUUCAUGUCAUGCGAGCCUUCUCCAUUAUAUCAUUCUCAAAGAGUUUUGUGAAAGUGAAGAACGAAGAAUGCAACUAAAGCUAAUUAGCUUUUGAUCGCAGUUAGUUCACAUAGACAUUCAAAGAAGUUCGUGUGUAAAUUUCAGUUAGCUUUACUUCAUGAACUUCAGAUAAGAUCAGUUAUUAAUGUAUUAGGGCCCCAGGGGGGGGGGAAGAAAGUCUAAGCUCAUAUUUUCUAACUAUUUUCUUAGUCUUAGUUUCAACUCGAUCGUUUUUCUAACUAAGAUGCAAUCGCAUAUCAUCUAGAAGAGAAUUUUCGAUGGAAUGAAAAGAUUAAUCUAAAGUAAGACAUUAUUAAAUUACAUAUUUAAACCAAUCUAAAUUAAUUUAUCAAAUUAAGUGUCAAUAAAUUAAUUACAUAUUUAUUGUUAGUGGUUGCGUGAUUGGGUUUAUUUUGCUGAGUACAUGGGAUCAUAGCCCAUGUUCCUGUUUAUUUUGGUAGUUGCCUUUUAAUUAAUUCAAACCAGGAAGUUCUAGUAUAUCCACUGGUUGAUAUAAUUUGGCGUGUGGAGCUAUGUUUCUUGAAAGUUAAAAGCUGAAUAGUUUUUUUUUUUUUGGAGGAAACAGUGAAACUCCGUGAGCUAAAAAAGAAAGCCUACGAAUUGUUCAUUAUUUUUUGUGGAGUUAUAAAUAAAUAAAAUUUGGUUAAAUAUUUGUCUGUAUAUAUGAUUAUAUUCUCUCUUCCCACAUAUAUUUAUGUGGUAAAAAAUACCUACUCUGAAAUAUAAUUUUAGUACAAUAUAUUAUUAGUGCAACAAUAACUUACUUACAUUCCCCUUGGUUAAUUCGAUUUCCUUGUCUGUAAGCUUUGUAACAAAUUACAUUAGUGUUAAGCAAUAGCACCUGCUGAAGGGGAGAUAGCAACGGGUGAAAUGGGUGCCCUGAGGAGCCCACCCCGUGGCAGAGCUGAGCAUUGUCCGAUUGGAAGCCGGACAGCGACUGAGCAAGUGGAAAGAAAUGUGGUCGCGGCCGUGACACCAGAGCCGUUGUCGGUUGAGCUCCUUAUAGGGUGAGUUUGAAGAACCCAUGGGCAUUUGUGGCUGUAGUUGCCACAGUGCUGGCAAUGGUAGUGGUACUGGUACCAGCAAGAUUGCGAGUGAUCGAGACAUUGGCUCCAGAUAGAGGAGGAGUAAUGCCAAUAGGUAAAAGAUUCCCCGUAUUAGUGCAAUACAAGCAACCAAAAACCGUAGCUGAAGCUACGGGUAAUGCAAUCUGGUCAAGUGCGACGGUGGACGGGGUAAUAGCAGUCGUGAAAACAAUGAGGAGAGCAAGGCCAAGAAACAAAUCAUUAUGUGGAUGAGAAGCCAUGACUGCAGAUAUCAAGUAUGCGGCUUUUGCUGGGAAUGCUUGGGAGAAGACAAGCUUAUAUAAUAGAAUUUUGGCCCUGGGGAAUGUAGAUGAUGGUUAUCAAGGUAGCUAUCCUUUGAAGUCUUACACCUAUUUACCCUUUCAAGUUUCUUUCGUAUUUUUGCUAGGUUAGAAAUUACGACCACUUCAUCGAUCUAGGAAAUACGAGAAUGAUUGGUUUGAUAAUAGGUAUCCACUUUUGUAAACUUCGUAGCUAUUGGGUCUAUUUUCUUUUGAAGUUUAGUAGCAUGCAUGACAAGUCUGUCAUUUUGGAAGUUUCACACAUACUGGAGCUCUCUCUAUCCUUAAUUAUUUAUCAGUUCAUGUAAGACAUAGGCGAAAAUAUCUACAAAUCAGGGAUGGAAAUACCUAACAUAAAGGGACAAAAUAAAGAUUGACAGGAGAAAAGUAGUGGCCAAGAGUUUGCUUUCACAGGGAAAAAUGGGGACUUGGACAAGUACAGUCGUUCACAUUAUAAUGGUAUAUUUUUGUUGUAUUUGCUAUACGGAUUAGUGCACAAUCAUAUUUACUCCUCCCUUAACAAGCCAUCAUUAAAAUUUUAAAACCCUAUACAAUUCGAAAGCCAAAUACAUCACCUUAAACAAAAACAAGGCAAAAUUUUGCAUGCCCCAAAAAAAAAAUGUAAGCAGAAAAAGGGGGCCAGCAACAAAAUUUGCUCCAACAUCAGUAGUAAAGUUGGGAUUUUAGUAGUGGGAUUUUAGUUAAGCUCACUUUUGUUUAAGAAGAGAAGCUUAUAUAUAUGCAGAUGUUUGGACUUGAGGGAUGUAAAGGACAGUUAUCAGGAUAGCUAUUCUUAAAUUCUGAAGAAUUUUAAACCAUAGCUAUUAAUGGAGGAGAAAAAGAGAAAACUUGAUAGAGGCUAUGCCUCCAGCUAUACCUACUACCCGGUUUGUAGCCUCACUUCCCUUUAAAUCUUACUCUUGAUAUGUAUACUACUAGUUGCAAUAGUAGCAGUGUAUUGCACAUUAGCUCGUUAAUCUCAUUGUAGUUACUGAAACGAAAAUCAUCUCAAGACUAAUAAAAAGGAAAAGAGUUUUAAUGAUUUAGGCUGUUCUAAAUUAUGCUUUAGCUAAGCAGAAGGAAUCAUCAGUUGAGUUGAUUCAUUUUCAAGUCCGAACAUUUAGACCAACAUCACUUGAUUGAGAGAACAAAUUUGUUAUUGUUAUAAUGAAACAAAACUACUAUCUUAAUGUUAUUUUUUCAAUAUAUUAGUAUCUUAAUGAGAUGAUUAUUUUGUUUAUCAGCAUGUAUUAAAUUUGACUUCUCGUAGGAUGGGUGAUAUCUCGAAAUUGUAAUUCAAACAUGUAUCACUAUUAUAACUUAUUAUUGUUCUUUCUAUUUUUCUUGGAUAAAAUUGGAAAAUUAGGUAGGGAUUAGUUAACUAAGGUUGAGCAUUGUUGACUCUUUUUGGAUGCAUUAAUCGAUGUGUGUAGGCUUUUAUUUCCAUUGAAUGGAAGGCAGCUCGUAAAGGAGAGGGCUGAUGCGAGAAGAAAAUGGGGUUGUGCUCGUCUACAUUUCAGAGAAAGCUGGGUUUUUGGAUUGGUGGUUGAGUGUGGAGGGUAUUGGAAAGAGCCGGGUUGUGCUUGGAGAAAAGGUUAGGUGAUGGGACAAGAAGGUGUCAACUUGGGAAUAGAAGAGGGAUUGACUUCUCUUCAAUGAAUUCUCUCCUCAUUUUUCACAAUACACAUUUGAAUGCAUUACACGUGUUUUCAUUUACUAUGAAAAGACAUGAUUGACGGGAUUUUGUUAUACGUACAAGUUAAAAAAUUCGAUUUACACCUGUUUCACUACAAGUAUAUAGGUCAAUUAGUAGUUUAGGGUAUAUAUCGAGUCGAUUCCACGAGAAAGAUUGAACAAUUACUGGCACUACAAAAACUUCUCUAUUAUUUAGACUCUUAAUGAAUUAUAACAAAUGACAAAUGAAAAUACUAUCAAUGAAUUACUGGACUUAUACAAGAAAAUAACAAAUGAAACCUCCUUAGGUUAUGGUAUCCCUAACUACUCAUGCAAGUACUAUUUUUGGAUCAUUGAGAACUGACGAGUGUUUACUAUAAGUGCAAGUUUAAUUCCGAUUUUACACCCGUUGGACUGCAAGUAUACAGGUCGCAAUUGUAGUACAAGAUGCGUAUCGGGUCGAUCCCACGAGGAGCAAAUUAAACAAUUACUAAGCCCUUGUUUUCUCUAUUAUUUAGACUUACAAAUAAUUUGAGCAGAGAAAGUAAUAUGCUGUAAUCUACAAAUCUGAUAUACAAAUCUAGUUUACAAAUGCUUAAUGCAAAUAGAGAAAUUUCACUUAAGGAAGAUUCUAGGGAUGUAGAUUCCACUUAUGGCAUAAACAAUACAAAUGAAUAGAUUUACUUCUUACUAUUAUUCUUAAUUAACCAGAGAUUCAUUUCCAAGAUUACCAAGUCUCAUUUUCAUGAUGAAAUGGCCUAGAGCAAUAUAGAUUUCCCUAUUUUCAUGGUGAAAUACUACUACUACUCCGUUUUAUUUCAUGAAAUGCUCAAUAAUCCACCUAAGUGUAUCUCUAUUUUCAUAAACAUACAACUCAAGCUCUACUCAUGUGUUUCAAUUGUUAUUACCAAUUCUCAUUGAAUAAUAACACUAUAAACAUGCUAUUGGUGAUCAAUCAAUAACAAGUAAUCACAGCUACACAAGUAGACAAGUUAAUACAAGAUAUAACAAGUGUAUAUCACAUUCAAUUAGUAUUAUUUAGCCAUAAGUUUCAUCUACUCCCUAGAUGAAGGAGUUUAGCUACUCAUGAAUGAUUUAACAAUCAAACUCACAAGUUUAUUAAUGCAAAACCUCAUAAAGUACAAGUAUAAGAAAGAUAAAAGAAAGCUUAGCCAAUUGAAGGUGAAGCUCUCCAAUUCCUGCUAUGUUCUUGCACAAUAUGAUUAUAAGUGAAACUCUCCAAGUACUUCUCCAAGAACUCCUAUCUAGAGAGAAAACUAGAUACAAGAAAGAAAACUAGUUACGUAUGGUCAUGCAGGCUUCUCCUCUGUGUUUCUGCAUAAAAGGUGGAAGAAAUUCCAUUCCUCUCACUUCAUAAUUUCCUCCACUCAGAUUUUGUAAAAAGAAGUCAAAGAUAUGAUAUUUCCUUUUGUCCAUACUCAUUUGGUCUUCUCUUUUGUUGCAGAGGCAUGUGCCACCGAUUUCUGUCCCUCAAAAUAGCUGGAAAGUUGUGAAAAAGGUAAAGAAAAACGGCUGUGGCACUUGCUGAGGAGAGAGACAGAUCCGAGCCUCGGAUCCGAGGAGUGAAAAUGGAUCCGAGCUCGGAUCUUCAGGAUCCGAGGGAUUUCAUAAUGGAUCCGAGGUCGGAUCUUCGUGACCUCGGAUACAUUCCGCCAGAAGUACAGACGAGGGCUCGGAUCCCUCUUGUACACACGGAUCCGAGCUCGGAUCCGCGUUGAGCAAUUUUCCAGUUUUUCACUUCUUCUCUUUUUCUAUAUUUUUUUGCUCCCAAUUUCUUGUGUACUUUGUCCUCUGGAUGACCCUGACAUUUCUUUCAACUUGUGCAUGACUUUCAUACAUCAAUUACCUUCACAAUUUCACAAAAUUAACGCAUUAAUCCACUCAUUUAUCAAUUUCUUAACCCUUAAACAGUAUUUAAGCAAUUAUCACCAAAAGAGUUCAAAUAUGGCUUUAAUCUUCUCAAAACAUACCAAAAAUUCAUGCCAAAUUCGUACAAAAUGUACGUUAAAUAUUCACUUAUCAAAUUCCCCCACACUUGAAUCAUUGCUUGUCCUCAAGCAAUUUUACACAAAACUUACUUCCAUGAUUCAAUAGAGAAAACAACAUACGUACUUUUGUCAAAUUUAAUUCCUCAAAAACCUAGAAACCAAUCAUUAUGCCAUUUCUCAGAUUACACUAAAUACUCAUAAUAUUCAAUUAAAUAAAAAAUAAUUAUGCCUUAAUUUCAACAAAUUCAAAUCAAUUCUCUCAUUCUAUCCUAAUUUCACAAAUAAGUAAAUCACAUAGUCAAUUUUAUGGCCUUCCUCAUCCCAAAACUUAUCAAUUCAGAGGGAUUUAUUCACAUUUCUUCUUAUUUAAAUAGUGAAAAUGUCUUUUUACAUGAAAAUCAACACUUUUAGGUGAAAAUUCCCGGUUACUCAACAUUUCACUUAUUUAAAUUGCUAAGCAUACUCUUAAUUCCAAUACCUUUUUACGCGAAUGUCGACAUUUGUAAAUGCCAACCCCCAGUUACUCAGUAUGUGAAUCAUUGGAGUAGAAAAAUAAUAAUACUAUUCUCUUUUUUUUUUAAUUUCUUUUUCCCUCUAAGUAUAAUUAAAGGAAGAAUUUGGCCUUGUCUUUGACUAUAUCAAUCACUUACUUAUAAAAUUAAGUAAAAAUGAUAAAUGUCAUUAAUUUUGCAAAAUUCCAAGCAUAAUUUUUCUUAUUUAACCAAAUAUACUUUCUAAAAUGUAAAUAUCCUAAUUGCAUAAUAAUUCAUUCCAAGCCAAAUAAGAACUAAACUUUUCCAAAAUACACAUAACAUUUUAUCUAAUGGAAGAAUUAGACACUUAAAAUUUUAACAUUUUGGCCAUUUUUAUGGAAGAAUUGCAAUGAAAUAUUGAAAAAUAUUUUAGAAAAAUUUUGACAGAGUUUCCCCAUAAAAAUGGAUGAAACUCCCUGCCAACAACCUCAAUUUUCACAAAAAUUAUCCUCAUGACAAUAUCUCCAAAUAUAAUUCCAACAUUUUUAAGCUAUAAACAACUAAAAUCAUGCAUUUCAAGCCACAAUCACCCAUAAGAUAAAGUAAUCCCUCCCCCACACUUAAAAUCUACAAUGUCCUCAUUGUAGAGGAAGGUAAAAGAACUGAAACUUCCUUCACAUAGGUAGUGAUGCAAUUUGAAGCCCUUACUCAUCACGAUCAUCCAAUUUCUGUUCAAAAUAAGACAACAAAGGUACCAAACGCCAUAAGUAGCACAAAAUGAUUUAAAUGAAAGAAAAAUAAAAGCUACAAAGUUUGUCUUAACAAAAGAAAAGAAAAAUAAAGAAAUAAAAGGUCUAAUUCGCUAAAAAGCAUCAUGGCUGCUGGGAACGAGGGUCUACUGCCUCAUCGGCUCCAUGAGGACCCUGUGAGGUACCAAUAUGGCCCUCCUCCUGAUGAGGUAUCGGUGUAGGGGACCGUCGGAUAUGAAAAUGAUCCUCGAUCGCACGAAGACGGCGAUCAUGUCGGUCGAGUCGCUCAGUCAUCAUCCGUUCCGUCUGGUCAAUGCGCUCGACGACUCGCGUCUCCAUACAGCAAAUAGCAUUGAGAAGCUCUUGCCACUUGGAUCGCGGUUGAGGAGGUGGUCGUGGAACCGGAGGAGGAAGAGUCUGCUGUGCCUCCGUCUCUUGAGUUUCCGCUUGUGGUUCAGUGAGAGGCGGAGGCUGAGUGGAAGUCGAUGCUUCUCCUGUGUCCCGGACCAAAGUAGCUCCAAAAUCAGUAGAAAUACCCAAGGAUUUGAGUAACGAAUCAUUUACCUCCUCGGCCGACCUAGUUACCACAGCUCUCUCGGUUCCAAUGGGAAUCUUGAGCUUCUCAAAGAUGAGGGAUAGCAGCCGAGGAAAUCCAAAACAAGUCUCGCCGGCCCUCAUACGAGCUGUGGUUCGCAUAUAGCUGAUGAUAAUGCUGGGUAGAGGAAUACCAAUCAACUGCCUACCACCUCCAUGUAUCAUUUUAUCCAAAAAAUAGAGAUCGCUAUUUCGGAUCUCCCGUUUGCCACUCUUUUUCGACACCACAUUGAAGGCAAAAAGGUAGAAAAUCAGGUGGUACCGAUGCUCGAAGGAGUCGGCAUAUACCGUGAGUUUUUUCAAACUUUAUCGCUCACGGUAUUGACCCUUUAGCCGUCCCACGGCCUCUCCCACUUCCCAAGGGUCUCGAGCUUUGAACUCCUUGGUCAAUUUGACAUCUUCGCCUUCAUCUUUGAGUUUGACGAAUUGUCUCAGUGUAUCGCGAUUGAGAGCCACUCUUCUUCCUCGAACCCACGAGACGAUGAGGUUGCCACUGUGACUUUGUUUAUUUUCUACAUUGGCGUAGAAUUCCCGGACCAGGUUGGGAUAGUAAUGUUUUGGCAAAUUUAGUAUAGUCUCCCAUCCGAGUCGCUUAAAUGCCGUGGAGAUGUGGUAGUGUGUAUCCACCUCCGGUGCCAAAUGUUUUUCAACGAUAAUCUCUUUGUCCAAACCAGCCUCGUACCAUUGUUGAUUCUCGAGCGAGGUGAAACGAGUGGUAUCAUAGUCAGGAAGUGGCUCGUCACGGCUAGUGGAUGUGGUCUUCCGGCGAGAGCGAGGUGGCGGCUCUGGCGAAGGAGAUUCUUCUUCAGGCGACUCCUCUUGCAAGGAAGGGGUGUGUUCCUCACUUGAAGAAGGAGUAGGAGUAGGAAUGCGAGCCCUCCUUGUACGAGCCAUAGUACCUAUAAACAAGAUGAGUAUGUAUUAGAAAUGAUAGAAACUUGCUCAUACAUGUUAACUAGGAAUUUAAGAAAAUUUCGGCAGAGUUUCCCCUUGAAAAAGGGCUAAACUCCCUGCCAAACUGUACCAAAAUUUAAACAAAUAAACUUCCUAACACUUCUCAAAUCCAAUUCCCGCAUGUAAAGAGGAUAUUACCAAUAAGGAAACCAUUUCAUGCAUAUUAAGUGCAAAUAAUUGAAAAUUAUAUCCAUAAACACACAAACACUUGAGAAUAUCUCCAUUCCCAUUUAUAACACUCAAUGUACAUACAUAUGAGUUCCAAUUCAUCCAAACAAAUGCUAAUUAUCUUAAGUAAAAGUGGUUCAAUGUGGUCAACUUGAUCAGGGACACACUCUUUUAUCCCAUAGGCUAUUGUUCUAAUGAGAGCAUAUCAUGUUCAAUUGGUAUGUUAGUGACUUAUACCUCUCGAAACAAGUUCAUAUAGUCUAUGAAAGUAAAAUUCACAAUUCUAAGUCAAUAAAAUACUCAAGCCCAAAAAUUGAGAAAGAAAUCUCAAAAAUUAUCACCAAAUCCACAAUUUUUCUCAAAAAUAAACAUAAAACUAGUUGUAACAAUCUAUUUAAGUGCAAUGUAGCACAAUUGUAUCAAGAAGUUCUAACAAAUACAAAUUUAUCACAAUAUACCCAAGAAAUAGAAAAAUGCAAAAUUAGAGAUUAUGGAAACUCAAAGAAAAUUGCAAAUUGUUACCUCAAAUGUGUAGAGUGAUGAUACAAAAAUGGAGGAUGAUAAUGAUGUAAAAAUGGAAGACAAACAAGCCCAAAUUUGACCUCAAAUUGCAAGAUUUCAGUUUGGCCCUAUUUCACGUCUUGAAGAUCAAAACCCCUCAAUUUGAUGUUUUUGAUUCCAAAUUGUUGAGGGUUAAUGCUCACAAAAGGUUAGGGAAGGUUUUUAUUGUGAAAAAUUGGGAAUUUUAUGGAUGAAAUGGAAGAUUGGAGGAAAGGGGAUAGGGUUUCGGAAAGAGAGAGAAAAGAAAUCUGGGAAAUGAGGAACCGAGGCCUCGUUUCCAUUCUUAUCGCGAAAGGAUCCGAGGUCGGAUCAGUUCUGGAAGGCCUCGGAUCCAACAGGGCUCGGAUCAGUUUCAACAGAAACACAGACGAGCCCUCGGAUCUAUCUGGGUUGGAAAUGAUCCGAGCUCGGAUCUAUAAAUCCGAGGUCGGAUCUGUCUGGCUUUUUAGGAUCCGAGCUCGGAUCUGUAUUUCUCUGCACUAAUUGCAGAAACUGCAAUUUUUCUAAACUUUUUCUCCCUUUUUCGGCCAAUUCCAAAUUACACAUUGGACAUCCCUUUUCUCAAUUCCAACGUCCCAUGCACAUGUAAUAUACCAUAAACAUAAUAUCCAACCUCUCAAAACACAACAAACACAUCUACAUUGAAAAUCGAGGGGUGAGGUUCUUUGAUCAUUUUUACAUUUUUACGCUAAAAUGGCAUUUUUGGGCAUUAAAUAUAUAUCAAAUGAGUCCAUGAGCCUUUAUAACCAUGAUAUCACCAAAACUCACUUAAAUAUACUUGAAAUGCACAAUGUAUGUAUAUGCAUGGGAAUUUUAAGCACUUAAAACACAAUUUGGUAAGAAAAGCUCCCUUUUCACAUAUUCUUCAAGUGCACCACCGAGAUGGAUGAUAAAACUCUCGUACUUCCUACAAACAAGUGAAAUACAUCUAAUUAGUUAAUUAAAUCACACCAAAAUGUAAGAAACACAUAAAAACAUACAAAUACACAAUUAUUAUUGGGUUGCCUCCCAAUAAGCGCUUUUGUUUAUAGUCGUUGGCUCGACUCUCCUAUAACUUCUUUAAUUCUCCAUUGCAUUUCCUAAGGAGUAAAUUACUCCUUUAGGAACUUUUUCUCCGGCCAAAUAGGGCUUCAAUCUUUGUCCAUUUACUUUAAAUGGAGAAUCAUUUUCUCCUUUUAUUUCCACUGCUCCAUAAGGAAAUACUUGAGUUACUUCAAAUGGUCCCGACCACCUUGACUUCAAUUUUCCUGGAAAUAACCUCAAGCGUGAGUUGAACAAAAGUACAUUUUGCCCUACCUGAAAUUUUUUUGGAAUAAUAUGCUUGUCAUGCCAAUAUUUGAUCUUUUCGUUAUAAAUUUUGGCAUUUUCAUAUGCAUGUAGUCGGUAUUCCUCCAAUUCAUUUAGCUCAAGUAAUCGCUUUUCUCCUGCAAAAUUAAAAUCCAUGUUAAUAGAUUUAAUUGCCCAAUAAGCUUUGUGCUCAAUCUCCACAGGUAGGUGACAAGCUUUCCCAUAGACUAAACGAUACGGCGACAUCCCUAGGGGUGUCUUAAAUGCCGUUCGGUAAGCCCAUAGUGUAUCAUCUAACUUUAUAGCCCAAUCCUUGCGUGAUUUAUUCACAAUUUUCUCCAAAAUGAGCUUUAUCUCUCUAUUAGCUAGCUCCGCUUGUCCAUUGGCUUGAGGAUGAUAUGGAAGUGAUGUCUUGUGCCUACAACCAUAUUUAAACAAUAAGGAAUCCAAUUGUCUGUUGCAAAAAUGUUUCCCUUCAUCACUUACUAUGGCCUUGGGUAUACCAAAUCUACUGAAAAUAUUCUUUUUAAGGAAUCUAAGUACAAUCUUAGAGUCAUUAGUAGGUGAAGCGAUUGCUUCAACCCAUUUAGAAACAUAAUCCACUGCUACUAAGAUGUACUUAUUAUUAAAAGAACUAGGAAAUGGUCCCAUAAAAUCAAUACCCCAUACAUCAAAUAACUCAACUUCCAAGAAUGUAGUCAGGGGCAUUUCAUUUUUUCGAGAUAUAUUUCCAGUUCUUUGGCAUGCAUCACAAUUUUUAACAUAUUCCCUAGCAUCUCGGUACAUAGUUGGCCAAUAAAAUCCUGAUUGCCAUACCUUUGCCACAGUUUUUGAAGUACUGAAAUGACCACCUGUUUCAAGGUUAUGACAAUGAUAUAAAACAUUAUGUACCUCAUCUUCAGGAAUACAUCUACGUAUCAUACCAUCGGCACAAUGUCUAUAUAGCAAUGGUUCCUCCCAAAAGUAACUUUUGACGUCAUGUAAAAAUUUCUUCUUUUGAUGAUAACUAAACCCCUUUUGAAUCUCUCCACUAACCAAGUAGUUAGCAAAAUCUGCAUACCAUGGAGAAUUUCUAAGUGCUAGGACAAACUCAUCCGGAAAAUUCUCUUGAAUUGGAACCUGAUCUUUGAUUGGGAUAUAUUCCAAACGUGAUAAAUGAUCUGCAACUAGAUUCUCCGAUCCCUUUUUGUCUUUUAUCUCUACAUCAAAUUCCUGCAAUAAAAGAAUCCACCGAAUUAGUCUAGGUUUUGCAUCCUUCUUAUGCAGCAAAUAUUUAAGAGCUGAAUGGUCCGUAUAUAUAAUAACUUUAGAUCCUACUAAAUAGGAUCUAAAUUUGUCCAAAGCAAAUAUCACUGCCAAUAGCUCUUUUUCUGUCGUUGCAUAAUUGAGUUGUGCCUCAUUUAGCAACUUGCUAGCAUAGUAAAUGACGUGCAAUCGUCCUUCUUUCUUUUGUCCCAAAACUGCUCCAACCGCAUAAUCACUUGCAUCACACAUCAAUUCAAAUGGUAGUGACCAAUCGGGUGAAGUUAUAAUUGGGGCCGAAAUCAGUUCCUUUUUCAACCUUUCAAAUGCAACCAAACAAUUGUCAUUAAAUUGAAAAGGAGUAUCUUUACAUAAUAAAUCACAUAAUGGCUUUACUAUUUUUGAAAAAUCUUUAAUAAAACGUCUAUAAAAGCCAGCAUGUCCUAAAAAACUCCUUAUCCCCUUGACAUUGCUUGGAGGUGGCAAUUUUUCGAUAACUUCUAUUUUAGCUUUAUCCACCUCAAUUCCCUUGGAGGAAAUCUUGUGCCCUAAGACAAUUCCUUCUUUUACCAUAAAAUGGCAUUUCUCCCAAUUUAAUACAAGAUUUGUUUCCUCGCAUCUCUGCAAAAUCAAUUCCAAAUUAUGAAGACAAUGGUCAAAAGAUGAACCAUACACAGAAAAAUCAUCCAUAAAUAUCUCCAUAAUUUUCUCAAUAUAAUCAGAAAAAAUAGCCAUCACGCAUCGUUGAAAAGUUGCAGGAGCAUUGCAUAAACCAAAUGGCAUUCUUCUAAAGGCAAAAGUGCCAUAAGGACAUGUAAAUGUGGUCUUCUCUUGAUCCUCUGAAGCUAUAGCUAUUUGAUUAUAUCCUGAAAAACCAUCAAGAAAACAGUAAAAUUCAUAUCCAGCUAUUCGCUCCAAUAAUUGAUCAAGAAAUGGUAGGGGAAAAUGAUCUUUUCUUGUUACCGUAUUUAACUUACGAUAAUCAAUACACACUCUCCACCCUACCACAAGUCUAGAUGGAAUCAAUUCAUCAUUUUUACCCACAAUUGUAGUUAUUCCACCUUUCUUUGGUACCACAUGAAUUGGACUAAUCCAAACACUAUCGGAGAUAGGAAAGACUAUACCUGCAUCAAGCCACUUAAGAAUUUCAUUUCUUACCACCUCUUUCAUGUUUGGAUUGAGUCUUCUUUGUGUUUCCACCGCCGGUUUGCAAUUGUCCUCCAAUAAAAUGCGAUGCAUGCAUAUAGAAGGACUUAUACCUUUAAUGUCAGCAAUCGUCCAUCCCAUUGCCUUCUUAUGCUUCCUUAGAACUCUUAGCAACUUUGUACACUGCUCAUCAUCAAGAUCAGCACUAACAAUUACAGGUAAAGUACUAUUUUCUCCAAGAAAUUCAUACCUUAGAUGAGUUGGUAGUGGCUUAAGCUCUAACCUUGGAGGUUCAAUUUCUGAGGGUUGUGAAACCCCUUUUCCUUUGCCAAGACUUUCAUACAAAUUACCCCUUUUAUAAGGUGCUUGAAAAUCCAAGUACUUGGCCAAUUCUUCAAUUUCUUCACAAACAUCUUCUCGCUUACCUAUACUCAUUAAACAAUGCUCAAGAGGAUCUAAGUCAAGGUUGACUUGACUCAUCUCUUGGGUUAGUUUAUCAAUUGUGCCAAUAGAAUAAGCAUGAUCGGUAAAAGAAGGGUAUUUUUCCAUUUGAUUCAAAUUAAAUUCUACUUCUUCUUCACCUACUUGAAACUUAAGCUUGCCAUUUUUUACAUCAAUAAUAGUACCUGCCGUAGCUAGAAAUGGUCUACCUAGAAUAAUUGGCAUAGAUAUAUCUUCUUCCAUAUCUAAUACCACAAAAUCCACUGGAAUGAUAAAUUUUUGAACUUUUAUCAAUACAUUCUCCAACACUCCCAAUGGAUAUCUAAUAGACCGAUCCGUUAAUUGCAAAGUAAUAUUUGUGCGUUUAAGCUCAUGCAAACCCAAUUGUCUAGCCACCGUUAAAGGAAUUAAUGAUACACUAGCACCAAGAUCACACAAUGCUUUAGAAAAAUCCACGUUACCUAUGGUGCAAGGUAUAGAAAAACUCCCUGGAUCCUUCAAUUUCGGUGGUAGCUUAUUUUGAAUAAUUGCACUACAUUCCUCCGUUAAUGCUAUUGUUUCGCAGUCUUCCAACUUUCUUUUUCUAGUCAUGAUUUCCUUGAGAAAUUUCGCAUAAGAAGGAAUCUGCAAAAUAGCAUCGGCAAAAGGAAUGUUAAUGUGCAAUUGUUUGAAAAGUUUAACAAAUUUUUCAAAAUCUUUAUCAAACUUAUUUUGCUUUAAUCUUUGUGGAAAUGGAACCGCAGGAGGUAUUGGAAUGGUAGUGGAAGAUGAUUGUUGAUUCUCUCUUGAUUUCUCCCGGCUAUUUUCUUCUACCAUCGCCUCUUGGUUCCUCUGCUUUUCUUCUUGAUUUUCAUUCUCAUCUUUCUCAACUUCCAUCACUGGUGGAUCUUCUAAUUGCUUACCACUACGAAGAGUAAUGGCUUUUACAUGCUCCUUAGGAUUGACCUCUGUUUUGCUAGGUAAUUCGCCUUGAUUUCGAUUAUUCAACGAACUAGCAAUUUGACCAAUUUGGACCUCUACAUUCCUGUACAUUGUAGUGAGUUGAUCCAGUCUCCCUUCUACUCUUUCAAAUCUGUCCGAGGUAACCUUAGCAAGUUUUUCCACUGCUAUCUCCCAUCCCGAUUUAGUUUCAGCUUGUUGUUGCCUUGAUUGGAAUCCCGGUGGAUUAGCUGGCCUUGGUUGAUUUCCUUGAUCCUUCCAUCCAAAGUUUGGAUGAUUUCUCCACCCUGGAUUGUAAGUGUUCGAGUAGGGGUUAUUUUGAGCAUUACGAUUGUAAUUAUUGACAAAUUGUACCUGCUCAAAAUCAACACACUCAUUAGUAUCAUGCUCACCUCCACAUAUAGAACAACAUGCUACAUGUGCGUUAGAUGAACUUGGACCAACUCCACCUUGUUUACUUAGCAAUUUCAUCACAUUAUUCAUUUGAGCACUCAACAUAUUGAGAGUGUCCAUUUCUAUCAUACCUGCGUGACGUCUUGAAUUACCUCUCUCAUUGGCCCAUUGGUAGUUAUUUGCUGCCAUUUCUUCUAUCAAAUUAUGAGCUUCUUGGGGUGAUUUACCCAUUAAAACUCCACCUGCAGCUGCAUCAAUCAUAGUUUUAGUAUAAAAAACUAAACCAUUAUAGAAGGUUUGUAUGAUUAACCACUCCGGCAGUCCAUGAUGCGGACAUUUCUGAAGCAAAUCUCUAAACCUUUCCCAUGCUUCAUAUAAUGAUUCACCUUCCAAUUGGCUAAAACUAGUGAUAUCCAUUCUAAGUUUAGCAGUCUUACCUGGUGGAAAAUACUUAUUUAAGAAUGCUCUUGAUAAUUCAUCCCAUCCAGUGAAAGUAUUAGGAGCAUGAGAGUGUAGCCAAAGUUUGGCCUUAUCUCUCAAUGAAAAUGGAAACAAUCUUAGCCUUAUAGCAUCAUCACUAACUCCAUUCAUUUUAAUUGUAUCACAAAUUUCCAAAAAUGUAGCUAAGUGUGUAUUAGGAUUUUCUACUGCAUUACCUCCAAAUUGAGAUUGUUGAACCAUUUGGAUAAGCGCUGGUUUAAUCUCAAAAUUGUUAGCAUUUACCGUAGGCCUUGCUAUGCUUGUUUGAGAUCCUUGUGUUCCCGGUAAAGUAAAAUCUCGUAGAACUCGCCUAUGUGCUUCGUUUUCUGCCAUGUUUUCUUCAAAUGGAAGCUCUAUUAAGAUGUCUUCUAUUGGCUGCCAAACCUCUUGUUCCUCUUGAUGUGAUGUACUUCUCCUUUGUCUGUGUAAUGUUCUUUCAAUUUCAGGAUCGAAAUGUGCAACUUCUCAAUUUGAUCGGUGCAUACACGACAAACACAAACAAGAGAAAUUUUGCAGUUUAAAUUCAACCACUUGAAUAAAUAAAAAAAAUAUGAAAAUAUCUAAAUUAAUAGAGAUGAUUAGGCCCUAAUAUUGCCGCUCCCCGGCAACGGCGCCAAAAACUUGACGAGUGUUUACUAUAAGUGCAAGUUUAAUUUCGAUUUUACACCCGUUGGACUGCAAGUAUACAGGUCGCAAUUGUAGUACAAGAUGCGUAUCGGGUCGAUCCCACGAGGAGCAAAUUAAACAAUUACUAAGCCCUUGUUUUCUCUAUUAUUUAGACUUACAAAUAAUUUGAGCAGAGAAAGUAAUAUGCUGUAAUCUACAAAUCUGAUAUACAAAUCUAGUUUACAAAUGCUUAAUGCAAAUAGAGAAAUUUCACUUAAGGAAGAUUCUAGGGAUGUAGAUUCCACUUAUGGCAUAAACAAUACAAAUGAAUAGAUUUACUUCUUACUAUUAUUCUUAAUUAACCAGAGAUUCAUUUCCAAGAUUACCAAGUCUCAUUUUCAUGAUGAAAUGGCCUAGAGCAAUAUAGAUUUCCCUAUUUUCAUGGUGAAAUACUACUACUACUCCGUUUUAUUUCAUGAAAUGCUCAAUAAUCCACCUAAGUGUAUCUCUAUUUUCAUAAACAUACAACUCAAGCUCUACUCAUGUGUUUCAAUUGUUAUUACCAAUUCUCAUUGAAUAAUAACACUAUAAACAUGCUAUUGGUGAUCAAUCAAUAACAAGUAAUCACAGCUACACAAGUAGACAAGUUAAUACAAGAUAUAACAAGUGUAUAUCACAUUCAAUUAGUAUUAUUUAGCCAUAAGUUUCAUCUACUCCCUAGAUGAAGGAGUUUAGCUACUCAUGAAUGAUUUAACAAUCAAACUCACAAGUUUAUUAAUGCAAAACCUCAUAAAGUACAAGUAUAAGAAAGAUAAAAGAAAGCUUAGCCAAUUGAAGGUGAAGCUCUCCAAUUCCUGCUAUGUUCUUGCACAAUAUGAUUAUAAGUGAAACUCUCCAAGUACUUCUCCAAGAACUCCUAUCUAGAGAGAAAACUAGAUACAAGAAAGAAAACUAGUUACGUAUGGUCAUGCAGGCUUCUCCUCUGUGUUUCUGCAUAAAAGGUGGAAGAAAUUCCAUUCCUCUCACUUCAUAAUUUCCUCCACUCAGAUUUUGUAAAAAGAAGUCAAAGAUAUGAUAUUUCCUUUUGUCCACACUCAUUUGGUCUUCUCUUUUGUUGCAGAGGCAUGUGCCACCGAUUUCUGUCCCUCAAAAUAGCUGGAAAGUUGUGAAAAAGGUAAAGAAAAACGGCUGUGGCACUUGCUGAGGAGAGAGACAGAUCCGAGCCUCGGAUCCGAGGAGUGAAAAUGGAUCCGAGCUCGGAUCUUCAGGAUCCGAGGGAUUUCAUAAUGGAUCCGAGGUCGGAUCUUCGUGACCUCGGAUACAUUCCGCCAGAAGUACAGACGAGGGCUCGGAUCCCUCUUGUACACACGGAUCCGAGCUCGGAUCCGCGUUGAGCAAUUUUCCAGUUUUUCACUUCUUCUCUUUUUCUACAUUUUUUUGCUCCCAAUUUCUUGUGUACUUUGUCCUCUGGAUGACCCUGACAUUUCUUUCAACUUGUGCAUGACUUUCAUACAUCAAUUACCUUCACAAUUUCACAAAAUUAACGCAUUAAUCCACUCAUUUAUCAAUUUCUUAACCCUUAAACAAUAUUUAAGCAAUUAUCACCAAAAGAGUUCAAAUAUGGCUUUAAUCUUCUCAAAACAUACCAAAAAUUCAUGCCAAAUUCGUACAAAAUGUACGUUAAAUAUUCACUUAUCAAGAACUACUAUCUUGGUUAGUUAUGGUGUAAUUUCCUAAUGCAUAUGAAUCCUACUUUCGUAGUGAAUCAAUUAUACUCAUAACUAAUCCAUACCUAUUCUCAUGGUUAUGAAAUUAGUUACAAGUUCAUUUCUUCUGUGAAAUUAUUUGAAAUGAAUCACUAAAACCACAUAGGUGCACCUCUACUCUCGUGAGUGUACUCCCUAUAUUUAGCACUUCUUAAACCAGUGUUAAAUCUCAAUUUUCAUUACAGAAACAACACCUUAGAUAAUCACAAUUAAUGGUACCAAAUUAAUCAUGAUUUAAAGAACUAAAGUGUUAAAUAACUUGCUCAAAUAAUAGCAUCAAAUAACCAAAUAAUAAACACUAACAAUCAUAGAAAGUUCAACCAAAUCUAGGGCAUAAACUUUAAAGAUACAUAAUAAACACAAAAUCCAGAACUUGCAUAUUAAUCAUACUUAAGAAUCCAAUACAAAAGAUAAAGAGUUGGAGAAGAGAUAACCCUUGUCACAUGAGGUUUAACUCCUCCUUCUUCAUCUCCAUCUUCAUCAUAAUCUAGACAAUAUAUAAGAGUGGAUGAGCUAUACUACUCUAUACUAAACUAAUCUAACACACAGAAAAUGGAAGAGCUACAUUUCUGCAGACUCCAAGCUUCUCCAAAAAUUGCUCGCCUAAGAGAAUAUGACCAGCCUCAGUUUUUAUCCUAAAAUUCUGAUAUCCUCCAUUCACCUACCGUAUUUUUCUUCUCCCCUUUGAUUCUCUAAAUCUGGUGUUAACCAAGUCAACAAAACAAAGUUCCAGCCUCUUUGAUUCUACCGUAUAUUUUUCACUUGACAAUAAGCUAUUUUUCUUCCUUUGUGUAUCAGAAACAUGUGCAGCCUACGUUUUCUCUCCAACUCUAGCUGGAAAGUAGUGUGAAGAUGAGAAAAAUGGCAGAGUAAAUUGCAGAAAUUCGGCUGCCAUACAUGUUUUCACUUUUGACCUCACUUCAACUGCAAUUUUCUCUAUGAUAGCCGCAGAACUGGCUGUUAUGCAAAACACAAAAGUUGUAGCCCUUUGAAUUAGCGUUCCAAUGCUUCAAGAAUCAUCUAAUUUGGAGAUCGGUGAACGGAGAUAUGGUCGAAAUACCAUAGAUUGGUCAAUUCUGGGCUUCAGCUUUCGACCAUCCAGAUAAGUUUCUGUGUUUUGACUUUUUGACCAGGAAAAUGGCUGAAUUGGACUUUGAUGUCUUAUACCAAAUGUAGAUAUAUCUUUUACCUUCAAAAUGAUACAAGAAUCAUCUCAAUCCAAUCACUGUAUUUCAAGUUAUAGCCGAAAUACGAAAAUAUGUCAAAACUAUCAAAAAUGCACAAACUGCAAGUAAAAAGUGAUAAAAACCUCAUUAAAUCACUUAAGACAUUUUUCCCCAAUCAUAGCCAAAAUGAUUCAUUUUCUUCCAAUAAUAUAACCAAAGUGACUAAAAAUAAUAUAAAAUGUCAUUCAAUUAUUACAUAAAUUAGUCACUUAUCAAUGAUCAAUUUAAGUUUAACUAAUUUUAAUGUUUGUUAAUAAAUGGAGACACGUGUCAUAUAUUCAAAUGUACACUGUGAGAAAUAAAGAAAGAAUCCACUGAAAAUGAGCCAAAAUAGGUAGAGAAGGUAGCGGGUGUAUGUAUAUAUGAGAAAAAGAGUUUCGCUUGAGGAACGGGUUUGAUAGUUGGGGGAAGAAGGAAUUGGUAACGAUGGCCAGAAAAUGAUGAAUGUACUCUUUUUUUUGGUUGAAUUCUUACAUGAACGGUAGUGAUUUCAUUUUAUAUCAAAGGAGGUAAGUGUAAUAUUAUUGAAACAAAGAGGGAGUUGAGUGUAAUUAUCAAAAACCUCAAAUGAGGUUUACCUCAAGGGAGGUUUUUAAAAUUAUACCAUAAAAAUAUAGAGGGUGUUAGGUGAAUAUAGUAAAACAAUUUAGGCCAGAAAAAAUAGUUAAACAAUUGCGGGAUAACGUGGUAGAAUACAAAAUCAUAGAAGGGUUAAAUAAUAAUAAUGGACCCUUUUAUCUAUUAGAUUUUCAUUACUUGGAUAUUAUAAGCGUCCAUAAUUAGUUUAAUUAUGAUGGGCAUCCUCCAUUUCAAUGUAGUUCAUCAAUCCAUUUUGGAUUGUAUAGAAGUGAAUUGCAAUUCGUUCUGGCUACAUGAAGUACUUCAAGGUCAUAAUGUGAUAAUGAAAGGAUAUACAUAUGCGUAAAAUUUGUGGAUAUGGAAAAUAAACACUUUUGGAGAAUUCAUAGUGGAAAUUGUCUAUACUAUUCAAAUUUUUAUGAUCUUUAACUUUUUCUAUCUUUCAAAUAGAAAUUAACAAGUUCAGCACAACCAUAGGGAGGUGAAAUUGCAAAGAAGUACUUCAGCAGUGAGUUGCAAGGUAGAUUCUCCAUCCUGCCCCCUUCCUCCUUCACAAAAAAACUGCGUAGGUGAAUUUUAACCAUAAGAUGUACUCUAGUUAUUGAACAAUUUAUGAACAAUUCAUAAGUUACUCAAUAGCUAAUGAAAUCUUGCCAAGUGCAUAAUUACUCCUUCUGUUGUCCCAAUAUGUUUAUCGUUCUUCGAGAAUCCAACUUUUUAAUAAUAAUACUUUAAUUAUGAUAUUUGUAUUUUUCUUUUCAAUUUGAUUCUCCAAAUUUUGAAUUUUGAAUUUUAACAUAAAAUGUGCAUAAAUAGAUAAAUGGACAACAUUGGAAAUAGAAAUUAAAAAUGGCUUUAAUUUGUAUGGCAUAACAAAUAUAUUGGAAUAUUUUAGAGUGAAAUAGAUGACAAAUAUUUUAGAACUUAAGGGUGUAAUAUGUAAUAAGUACAUUUGGCAAGGAAUGCCAAGUCAAAUUUGACUGACUGUAACCCACUUCUAUUCUAUGUCCCCUCCACCGCUGUUCUGUACUCCACAAUCUUCUUCAUUCGCAUUUGCCCGAAGGGCUGCAGAGAGUUGAGUGAGGGAGGAAGAAGGCAUAAAAGAAGAAAUCCAAAAUAAUAAAGGCUCUGUUUGGAUCGGUAGUUUUUGUAAAAACUGUUUUUGUAGUCAAACUACAAAAAGUGGUCAACAGCUUUUCACCAAAAAACUACAGUGCCUACUAUAGCAAGACUACACCGUUUUAGCUCCUGAAGAGUAAAAACAGUUUUUCGGUCAUGUGAUGCCACAGUGUAAAGUUUCUUAUCCUUUCUCUGUUGAGCUGAGCUAAGAACGAAGAAGCCUUUGGACAUCAGCUCCUCCUUUCGAAUUUCGAAGAGCGACCAACCGACGAUUUCUGCAAGCGGGGCAGCCAAUCGAUUCCACACCUCCAGCCCGGCAGCUAAAUGAGUUAAUUGGAACGAAGCUUGAGCUACACAAACAACUGUGUGUUUCACCUGAGCUUGCUGCGGGCAGAUCUGCAAUUGGAGUCACAUGCUGUAGAUUCUUUUCGUUGAGGUGCCCUUACGCGAUUAUCACUCGCUCGGCCCUGCUACAGUAGUUAAUUCGUGAAGAUAUUGGCGGUACGCUGCUGCAUCCCACAAGAAGUUCGGUGAAGCCUCCUCUUUUUCAAGGAACUUGCAGGUGAGUUCGUUGAGUUUUGGGUUUAUUCGUACAGAGUAGGGCUACAGUUGAAAUUUUUUAUUUGGGCAACCAUCUAAAUUGAUGUCUCUUUCUUCGCCUUCAAUCUGUUUCCGACGAUUGGAAAAAAAAUAGUGACUCAACAUCAAGUAUUUAAACUUGUUCAGCGUCUUUAAUUUCAUGAUGAAAUUGGUCAGCCGAUGUCAUUUUUUCAUAUUGGUUCUUAAUUGUAAAUUAUUGAAAACAUUUCUUCACAACUUCGUCCUGAAUGGGGAUUGCUCAUUGCCGACGAUCGUCUUUGUUAUGCACAUUCAGUGUUAUUGGAAUAGGCGCUUGACUUGUUUGCCGCAUAUUUUUUCAUAUAAUUGACCCUCUUCAGAACUAUAAAUGUACUCUAACAUUAUUGCCUAAAUUGCACCAAUGUAUAAUUUGUUCCGAACCAAACGGUGGCUGUAGUAGAUUUAAAGUGCUGGCUGUAGUAUAUUUGUGUGUUUUCACAGUCUUGCUGAGUAAUUUGCAUGAGUUUGGGGACCUAAUUUCUUCCAUUUUAUGUAAGUACUGUGGCUGCAGCUACUUCAUUGUCCUUUUAUUGUCUCCUCCUUGGAGCUACAUGCCCCUUGUGACGCGGCGUGCUUGGAAGGGUAAGUUAGACUUGUCAGUUGGUCUAAUUCUGUUGAAGUUUAGUCAAUUAAAUGACCUAUAGGAUAGUAUUUUCUAUAUAUACUUCACAGUCUUGCGAAGGAGUAGAGGAUUUAGCAAUUGUUGUUCGCUGUCAGCUCAGGGAGAAAACGAUUUGCAAUUUUGCAUAACUAAUUACUUCAAGGUUAGCCAAUUGUAUUUAGCUUUCUACUUACAACCUCAAGUGCGACUGCCUUCUCCAUUUUUAUAUGACAACGAGGACACAUUUGUCUGUUUUUUGACCCUUUUCGUCCAAUUUUCUUGUUUAUGUAUCCUAAAGAGAAAUAAGAUGAAAUCGUCAAAAGGGAAGUACUCAAAACGUAACAGUUUCACAUCUGAACAUGAAUUUGCGUUUGCCGAACAUCUGCUGCAUAUGCAUAGGAAUGGAGAGAUAUCGUCUCAAAACAUCGGGAGCCAUGUCAUCCCCGAGGUUACUAACAUGCUUCUUCAGAGGUUCGGAAUUCCAUUUCCCCGCAAUAGUAUUCGGUCGAAGUACUAUGCCCUUCAGAGCCUCACUAAGCUUUACAUUUCAUUCAAGAAACGGGGCACUGGUAUGGGGUGGGACUCAACGAACUACACCUUCAUGAUGGAUGAUGAACGAUGGAGCCAACUGGUUCAGGUAUAGCUUGCUGGUUUCUUACUUUUAAGCCAUUUGGAAUUAUUAAAAACUGCCCCUCUUUGGAUUUUCUCUUCCCCCUUGGAUAUAACUAUUUCCCUGCUGGAUUUACUUGCUGGUUUCUGUAUUUUAAGCCAAUCUGAACUAUUGAAAACUGUCCCCCCCUUGGAUUUUCUUUUCCCUCUUUCACUAACUGUCCCCCCGUACUAUGCCCUUCACUUGCUGGUUUCUCGUUAGGCCAAUUGAAAUUAUGCAAAUCUGUCUCCCCCUUUGGAUUUUAUCUUCACCCUCGCAAUUUAAUUUUCUUUUCGUUGGAUUGACUUGCUGGUUUCUUACUUUUAAGCCAUUCAGAAUCGAUAAAAACGGUCUCCCUAUUGGAUUUUAUCUUCCCCUUGCAUUAACUGUUCCCCCCUUGGAUUUAAUUGCUGGUUUCCUAACUCUAAUGCAAUCAUAUGUUUUUCAGAGUUGCAUUCAUUGUGCUUUUGCUGUCUUCUGCUUUGUUGUAGGUGAACCAGGCAUACGCUAGAUUCUACAACUGCUCAUGCCUACUUUAUCACAUGCUCGAAGAAGUUUCCAUGAAUCGAGGGGCGAUUGGGGAUUUCAGCAGUGGAUAUGGAGAUUCACCGCCCAACUCGGCCGACGAGCAGCAAAUGGAGAGAGCUGCUAGACGCUGUUCAGGAAAGGGGGUUGUGGACGUGGAUUCCUCCGAGGAAAACGUUCCCUCACAGCCUGUGAGUCGGAAAGGGAAACAAAAAGUUAAGAACAGCAAAGGGAAGCGCAGAUCGGGUGACAUGUCUUGUGAUUUAUUCUUCUCACCAUCGUCCCCCCAAUUCCAGCAGUAUGUCCGCGUCCUAGACAGCAUUGACACACAUUUGAGCUGUAAAAAGAGCAAGAGCGGGAGUGCAGAGGUCUCUUCACCUUCGAAGAGUGAAAAGGCUGUUGUAGAUGACGAUGCACAGUUAGAAGCUGCAAUGGUGCCUCUCUGCGCGCUUGGGCUAGACAUUGAAGUUCACCUUAAGAUGGCCGAUCUCCUCCGGUCCAAAGCAGAGCGUAUCAUUUGGUUCUCCUGCACCACAGACGAUGCCCGGCUUGUGUUUGUGAGACAUCGAGGGCUCCUCCCACCCGCAUAGAUGCUCAUACCAUCCGAGUUUUAGUCGUGGCAGCCCACUUGGAUUGUCUUUGUGUCCUCGAACAUGCAAUUCCACUGUUUCACUUUUUAUUUUCGUUUGAUGUAGUUUGGCCUUGGAAACUUUGACGGCGGAUUUUUCUAUUUGUGUACCCCGAAUGAGUCUAUUUUUUUUUCUGAAUUUUAAUAAUUCAAUUUAGUGACCUUUUAUUGCUGUGUGUGCUCGUUCGAAUAGAUUGAUGUAACUUUUGGCUGUGUGUGAUAAUAGGCUUUGUUACAGUGUCAUAAGCAGGGAUAAGAUGAUUUAAUCGUUUGGUAACGUUUGGAAUUGGCAUAGUUAUACUUGAUUUCAAAUGUUCAUUAAACAGCUGGCCAAUUCUUUGCCUUCGGUCGAACCUAGCUAAAGUAGUAGAUUGCACCAGUUGUUCUAUAUCAUAUUGCCUAGGUAUUCACCAUACCUAGGGAUUGUAUAGGAUUUGUGGUACAUUUGUAGCCAAGCUUCGCAACUUGUUAACUUGGAAACUUUUGCUAAGCUUCUUGGCCAGGUAUAAAUUAUACCAGACGAUUAGAAUGUUUUGCGGAUUUAUUGUUCCAUAGGUGUGCAACUUGUUAACCUGGAAACCAGCAAGUAUGCUUCUGUUGGAAACUUGUAUUUGUGAAACUGCAAACUUCUUAUUUUGCUAGGCUUUACAUUUAUAAAAGUAGGUUCAAAUAGCCGGAGCAUUGUUGUCAUAAUAGGAACAAGAUGUGAACUUCAUAAGUUGUUAUCAUGAUUGUUCUAUAUCAAAUAUUUGUGCAUAUAGCCAGAGCAUUGUUGGGUUCUAUUUUUAAUCCUUUUGAUUCCUUUCUUUGCAGGGUAUCCCGAAUUUUUAUUGCAUACUUGAUACUGAUAGCAGUGCGAUGGAUAAUCAGGGACAUAUUCAGGGCGGAUACUUGGAUGACGAGACGGACGGUGUUGAUUUCGAUAACAUCCUUUUGGGAGUUGUGCUCCUAGGCUUCAUGUUCUUCGACCCACGCUUUAACCGAGUUCCCAGAAGAAGAAGAGUUAGAGAUAGUGUGCUCUUGGGGAGGGACUAUGUGCUUGAGCUGAUAAACGGACAUGAGGACAGAAUUAUUGAAAACAUGCGCUUGGAUGUUCCUCAAUUCCUGAUGUUGUGUGAUUUGUUGGUUCAGCGUGGUUAUUGGCAUGCAUAUCCUUCACAGCAGGUGGGGGUUCAUGAAUCCGUUGCUUUAACUCUAAUGUGCCAGAGCCAUGAUGAGUGGCACCGUGUUCUUGCCGAGCAGUUCCAGCAUUCAACGGAGACGAUUGAUCGACAUGUUCGUCGUGUGUUACGAGCAUUAGUUCGCCUUGGUCGUGAUCUCGUUUUGCCAAUUGACUUCGAUGGGACUCACCCAAGAAUUUUGAACAAUGCAUCACUCAUGCCGUGGUUUCGGGUUUGUAUUUUUAGCAUAUGGAUUGCACUUUAUGCUUUCAAAUUUCAAUUUACAAUAUUCUAAAAAAAAUUAGUUUUGUUGUAUACUUUUAUAGGAUUGUGUAGGGGCACUAGAUGAGACGCACGUCUCCGCUUGGUGCACAGAAGAAAUACGAGAGAGGUAUAGAAAUCGGCAUGGCGACUUAUCCCAGAAUGUCCUUGCUGCCUGCGAUCAUGACAUGCGAUUUGUAUAUGUUCGGGUCGGUUGGGAGGGUAGUGCUCAUGAUGCCCGAAUUCUUCAAGAUACCUUGCUAGAUCCUAAUUCGGGUUUUCCUAUGCCACCGCAGGGUAUGUGCUUUUCUUCCUAUUGUACCAAUUGAAAUUAAGAAAUUGCAUAAUAGUAGUUUUAAAUACUUUCAAGGCGGUCCAUCAUUCAGUAUUUGGUGCCCCCGUUUCUCUUUGUUCUCUUCAAUACCUUCAAAAACUAUCAACAUGACAUCAUUGACAGGGAAAUAUUAUGCGGUAGAUGCUGCUUAUAGAAAUAUGCCGGGUUUUAUGGCACCGUUUAGGGAGCACAGGGCACGCAUCAUGAGCGGGCUGCUAAACGCUUGUUCAACAGGCGGCAUGCAUCGGUUAGAAAUAUUAUUGAGCGCACAUUUGGGGUUCUUAAGAAGCGAUUUCCAAUACUCAAGGGUCCAAUGCAGAACUACCUAAUAGCAACUCAGAAUAAUAUUGUGCUUGCGUGUUGUACUUUGCACAAUUUUAUGCGCGCAUACUCCCCAGCGGAUGAGUACUUCAACGAAGAAGCAGCCCUCGGAGCCCUAGCUGAUGCACAUAUAGCAGGGGAGCAGCCGCAUCCGGGUCAACCCAUCGAUAUGUCGCAGCAGGGCAUAGAUAAUUGGAACGAAGAUCGGUGGGCGAUGGCGGCUUACAUGUAUUUGAAUGCGCAUAACUAGGCUCAUUGGACCGAUAGGCCCUAAAUAAAAGUUUAAUAGUCUUAUUCUAUGAAACGUGUGAUUUCCACUUGAUUAUGAAUGUGUAACAAAUGUUAUUGUGUAAUGUUGACCACGGAUUAGAACCUUUAUCUUAUAUAUGCUAACUCGUGCAUAUCUCUACCCCCGUAUAUACACCUAAAUGCUUAUUAAUUCAUCAAAUAUGUGGAUGAUAUUGUACAAAAAAAUCAAAAACAAGUUAAGUAGUAGUAGUUGAUGUUGGAUAGAGGAAAUUGGUAGUAUAUGCCAUUUCAACCACAAAUUAUAUUGCAAAUUCUAACUCCUUUAUAAAAAGGUCACAUUUGCUUUGUUACUGAAGCUAUUGGGCAGUUAUCCAAUAAGUAGUGUUUUUGAAAAACUGGUCAAUCCAAACGCUUGUAUUUUUCAAAAACAAAGAGUUUUUCAAAAACUUCCAUCCAAACAUUUUUUGAAGUUUUUCAAAAAAUGCUAAAGUUAAGUAUUUCAAAAACACCUCAAAAAACAUGGAAUCCAAACACACGCAAAGAAACAAAGCCACAAAGGUAAUAAAAAAUAGCAAAUAUAUACUUUUGCCAACUAGACUCGUUGGUCAUCCACUUAAUAAGUUUCAAUUGACCAACACUUAAAAAAAAUAUUUUUAAUAAACUAUUGAGCAACCCUAUGGAUUGUCUUGUAAAUUGCUCAAUGACCAUAACCCCAGUUAACAUAUGCCAAUUAAAAAGAUAUUUGAACGGCAUUUGCACCCAAGAAGGAUCCAACAGACGAAUAUGAUUUGCGGCUUGGCCGUAAAUUUUAGGACAUAAUACACUUUACCUCUUGUGGUAUAGUUAUUUUUCAUUUAACCUCCCUAUAAUUUUAAAAAUUAUAUAUAAUCCUCUUAUAGUUUGGAUUAAAGUAUUAAAAUGACGGGAAUGAUCAUUCGUAAAAUUACACUUAUUUAAAAACUAAAAUAACUAAAAUAACUAACCCUGUAUGAUUUUAUAUUUUAUCAUAUAACACCCUUAUAGUUUAGUACUUUACCAUGUAACUCCCUUAUGAUUUUCAAAAUAUAUACAUAACCCUCCCGUGGUUAAUAAAUUAGUUGGCUCCAUUAUGGAAUACAAAUUCUGUCACUUUGACAUUUUAAUCUGAAUUAUGAGGAGGUCAUGUAUAGCUUUUGAAACCAUAGGGGAUUAUGAAAAAAAUGCUAAAUCACAGGGGGUAAAGUGUAAUUUAUCCUAAAUUUUAAAUUGCGAGUGAAUAUCCUUGAUGCAAUUCAGCCAAUUAAUUAACUGGGGUACCUUCUUUCUCUAUUGCGCUGUCUACAAAUUUUUUUUUUUUUUUUUUUUUGUGAAUAUACUACUGUCUACAUCUUUUGACGGAGACUUUCCUUCUUUUUUUUUUUUUUUCUUGCUGGCAAGUUGCAAGUCGGGCUUUCGUUUAUUAGUAGCAAAGUUGUUUGGUCCCAACUACUUGACAAAUACAUUUGCAAAUGAGCAUCCCAACUACGUUGAAAGUUCCCUUGGAUUUUCUAUUCUUUUCAAGUGGGUGAUGUAGGCUGGCUCUGAGCUGCAAGUGGGAAUUUUAUUUGCUGGUAGAAGCAUUAGCAGUAGAACAAACAGCUUGUACCUUUUCGAAGUAUGGUUGUCAAGAAAAAACUAAAUAAUGAUAAUAGCAAUAAAGAAAGAAAAGUAUGCUUUGCAGUUCGACAAACUGAAAAAUCAAAGAUUCGAGUCGACAGCUAUAGUUUGCACGGAUUGUCUAUGUGGUGCUUACAGGAUUUGAAUUUUACCACAAAAAAAAAAAAAAAAAAAAAAGAGAGAGAGAAAGGGUUUUGAACAUGUAUUCAAUGAAUUCACCUAACAUGAAUCAAACAAAUGCGCACACAUCGAUUGUGUCCUUUUGCAUUUAAGUACCUUGGCACGCCUGUUUUAGGAGUGUUUUAGAAAAACAAAAUUUUACUAUUAAAAUGUUUAUUUAAGGUGACACUUUAAAACACUCACAAGUCUUAAAAUAGGGAUAAUUUCAAAAAUCUCCCUUGAAAUUUUUAACAAUUGCACUUAAAUACUCCAUAAUAUUAGAAAUUAUACUGCCCUCUCCUUGAAUGACAUGUUUUAUAACUAUUUUAGCCCUUGUCAAGAAAAGCUUCCUUAAAAAUUGAGAAAAGGUACUGACACAUAAUUUUCUACCAAAUUUGCCCUCCUUGUAUGUGGGAGAAAACAUGUACCACUUUUUUUUUAUGAAAUUAACAAAAAAAAAGGAAAAUUAUUGGCCUUUCAAUGAUCCUCUUAGGACAGCAAAGAAUACAUAUAUAAAAGUCAACUUUUGACCAUUAAAAACAAGCAGUGUCAUUUUCAAUAUUAGAGGAUAUUUAAGUGUAAUUACUAGAAGCUGUGAGAGAGGUUACUGAAAUUAUCCCUUUGAUAUCCUUAUACUAUAUAAGAACGAGUUUAGGACAAAAACGGUUUUUAGAUUUCAACUGCAAGUGUGGGGCUAUUUUGGGAAUGUUAGAGUGUUUGAAGUGUAAUUGGAGCAUUGAGUACAAGUCAUUACAACUUUAAUUUUGCUAUAAUUACUUAUAUAACCUUUCAGACAUUUAAGGUUAGAGGCAGGUUUGGUAUGUUACAAUGUUUGGUGCCAAGUUGAGUAUCAAGUACAACUAAAUUAAACUUGUGUUUUGAUAGAAUUACAUAAAAGCCCUUUUAAUUAUUUAUUAUACUAACAUCCAAGCCUUCCAAUUUCCUGAAAACCUUUCUCAUCCGUUAAGGAAUUAAUUGGAUGUUUACAUAAUUGGAUUUUAAUUACAAUUAAUUAACUUAAUUAUUAUUUGAACAAUCAUUAUCAUAUUUAUGCCCCCAUGUUAAGCCGAUACCCUUUCUUCUUUUUUUUUUUUCGAUUUCACCUCUUUGGUUUUAUUAUGGCUAUUAAAUAUUUGGUGGAAGACAUAGCUUUUCCUUUAAAUUAAAGUGAGUUGUUUGGGUUUGUCUUCUUCGAAUGUAGUUUUUUUUUUUCUGAUGAGUGGUUUAUUCAAGAACUCCAUAUAGUUUGCUUUUUGAUACUUCUAAUUCCGAAAACUGACUAAUUGUAUUAUUUUCCUUAGUAGAUCCUAGAGAUUCUGUCUCUGAUUUGAGAUAAUGUUGUCACUUUCUAAAUAAUCAGAAAAGCAAUUUUAUCAUCUUCUCCUCCUCGGCCAAGGUAUUAUCUCUUUAUUUAAGUCAAAUAACCUUAUUUCUCAUGAACUUUCUCCUAUUGUUCUUGACUUCAGGGAUCUGUUGACUACAUUCCAGCAGUUAUGUUUUUACCAUAAUUACCGCAAAGCAAACAAAUGUGCAGACAUGCUAGCCAAUUGGGAAAGAAGCAUCAAUGAAGACUCCACCUUUUUUUAAUUCUAUCUUGAUUUUGUCCUUCUCUUACUUUUGCAAGACUUAAAAGGGUGUCAUCAACACACAGAUGGCUUUACUUUAACUAUUACUCUAUAGACUUUGAUUUUGUUUUAAUGCAUCUUUAUUUUACCAAAAAAAAAAGACUUUCUCAUAUGUCGUGAUUUACCACCUACACAUCCGUCACAUACUAUACAUCACUCAAACUAAAUUAUGUAGAAGCAUGAUAUAUUUUGACAGUUCUCGAAAGAAAGGAGUUUGAAUUUCCAGAAUUUCCGAUGUCUUGUUGCUACCAAGUAGCUAGGAAUCCAAAUUUCCAAGUGGAAAAAAAAAAAGAAAAAAGAAAAGGGUAUGAUCCGACAAUUACCAUGAAAAAGCUCCAACCUUAACAUCUUCUUCUAAGGUCUCAGAUUGCUUGAAAAUGCUAAUCAGUAUUGUUGAAACUAAGGUAUGAAAAAUCGAUAAAAGCGAUUGAAACUUGAGGGUUUGAGGCAAUAGGCAUAUGGGUGUGAGUGUUGCAAUAAACAUAGCAAGAAGGGAUGGAGUUGAGGCCGGGUGAUUCUGCUAAUAGUUUCAUGCUUGACAAAUAUUUGAACUAAACUAACUAAUAAGUAGUAUUAGAUAACAUUAAUUAAAUUUAUUAAAUAGUAGUUAUAUUUAAAAUUAACCAAUAUUAUUCCAAAUGUCUUCAGUUGGUUGUAUUUACUUCUUUUUUUUAUUAUUAAGGAUAAAUUACACUUUUCUCCCCAGUGAUUUAGCUCUUAUCCACAUAUACUCUCAUAUAAUUUCAAUAACUAUAUUUGACCCUCAUAAUUUGAACUAAAAUAUCAAAAUGACAAGACUUACCUUCUGUUAUAGAGUCAACUAAAAUAUGAAAUUUAAUUAUUUGUAAACCACGAGGGAGUUAUGUAGAUUUUGAAACCAUAAAAGGUUAUAAUAAAAACUGCUAAAUCAUAGGAAAUUAAAGUGUAUCGUAUGCUAUAUUAAAUUUUUGUCCACUUCAAUCAUUACAGUUUCUAGAUGAGGAUAAUCUUGACAUUUCAUCUAAUUUCAUUACAGAGGUGAUUUUUCUUAUUUUGACAUUUUAAUCCAAACUAUGAGAAUAUUAUUUAUAGAUGUUGAAAUUAUAAGAGAGUUAAGUGCGAAGCCACUAAAUUGUAGGAGAGUAAAGUAUAAUUUAACUAUUUUUAUUCUAUAUUUCCAUUGACUUUGUCCUUCUUGGUUAAGAACUAGUAUGAAUUUUUAACAAAAAUAAAAAAAAAAAAAUGAAAACCCACCUUCACGUGGUAGGAGAUUUGGCAUGGCCCCUACCCGUUAAUAACUAGUUCACAAUCUGAAAGAGAUUUAGUGAAAGGUUGCAUGUUAGAAACAUUUUGAACUUCUAUUUCGUAAGAUAAACCCCUAUAGCCCUAACUAUAUCGAUCCAAAAAUGAUUAAUGUGGAAAACUGGACUCUUUCUGGGAUUAAAUUAGCUAUACAGGUUACCCAUUGUUUAAACUAAUGCAAAAACUUGAAUAAAUGUUGCACGGUUUUCUUCUGUAAUUUAUUAGAUUUACAUUAAUUGGACAUUAAGUGUUGAUUAUGACAUUAUUAAUGAUGGACGUCAUUCAUUUCUGAUGUACUUCACCAAUCCAUUUUUUAAGUUGUAUAGAAGUGAUUUGCUAAUCAUUAUGGCUAAAUGAAGUACUUCAAGAUCAUAAUGUGACGCAAAAGGAAUUAGGUUGCUAACAUAAAAAUGCAUUAAACAGCAAAGGAUGAAACAAACCAUGUAAGUUGAGGAAAUAAGAAACAAGUAAUGGCACUUUGGUUUAAAAUUUUUUUUUAAAAAAAAGAAAAAAAUCAUCACUCAAAGAUAUAUAUGAGAAAUAUAUAUAAUUGGAAGAAUUCAUGAUUGAAAUUGCUAGACUUUUCAAGAUUACAGUAUCUGUAAUUUACAUAUUUUUCAACUGAAUUUCUAGUGAAUCUACUUACUGAAAAACAAAAGUUGUUAGUCUAAAAGCUACUUUUUAAAGCAUUUGCUAUUAUGCAUUUCAACAAAAAACAAGUGUAAAUAGUAGACCAAACGGAUGAUACCUUUUUCCAAGUAUGAUUUGUACUUGUCAAAGUAUUUAUUGUGGUUUAAGUAGGGUUGUAAUCGAGUCGAGUCGAGCUCGAGUAUCGCCAUACUCGAGCUCGACUCGACAUACAGCUAGAGUGCUCGAGCUCGAGCUCGAGCGAGUAGUAUUAUUGGAGUCGAGCUCGAGCUCGAGCUCGAAACUUGCUCGCAGUACUCGAGUUCGACUCGCAUAGGCUCGAGUCCAUUCUAGCCUUAUCGAGUUCGCUCGAGCUCGUUCAAGCUCGAGUUAUUAAAUUUUAUUUUCUUAAUAUUUUUUAAGCAAAAAGACAUUAUUGCCCUUUUAAAAUUUUUAUAUAACUUGAAACAUUUCGUAAAUUUGACAAUUCUUUUGGGUAUAAGGAUAAUUUUAUAAUAAUAAUAUAUUAAAUAAUUAAAAUUAAAAAUAUUAAAUAAUUAAAAUUAAAAUGCUCGAUAAGGCUCGUCGAGCCUUCGAGCAUCGCUUCUGGAUGCUCGAACUAGACUCGACAGCCUUAUCGAGUUGCUCGAACUCGACUCGAACUCGAUUUGACCGAGUUCGAGUCAAGCUUUUGACCGAGCUGCUCGCGAGCUACUGCUCGCGAGCAGCUCGGUUCGAUUACAUCUCUAGGUUUAAGUACCUGAAAAAAAAUCAAAGAUUCUUAUUCCAGUGAAAGUGAAUGUUCCAGUCGUGAGCCGCGUAGCAUUUACGCGCAAAUUGACGAUUGGUGCUAGCCACAUUUGACCCCGCUCAUUUAAUUAACAAAAGGGUAAAUUACAUGCAAUUAACUUUGUACUCUUGUCUCACUUUGUCGGCUUUGAUUUUAUUUAUUAUCAAUUUACCCCUUUUUUUUGUACCUUGGGGAACAAAAGUGCCCCUUCGAUGUCAUACAAAAUUCAUAAGUAGGGUUCAGUUUUGAGUAGAUUUUGAGAAAGGGGAAUCAACUAAUAUUCACUCAGUUUAAAGAAUAUUGUAAGCCUUGCGAAAUUACCUAGAAGCCUUAUCUUUCUUCUUCCAAUGAUAAUUGUACCUUUCUUGGUUUUUAUCUUUUUUUUUUCAAUCAUUUUUUCCCUUUAAAUCUUUCUCUUCCCCUUCAUCAUCUUCUUCUGGCUACCACUAUCACUACCCUUUAAGAUGGCAUAUUUACAAAUUAUGCAUUCAAUUUUUUCAAAAGUUGAGCUGAGGAUUUUAGUCAACCAUAGUGACAUUGAAGGCAAACAAACAAACAAUUUUAAUUUGAUCUAACAAAAGUGCCCCCAAACAAUAAAUAGUAAAUGUUUUUAUAAUGAGUGUUCAUUGGGCAUGUAUUAGUGCACCAAAUCCAUUAUAUGUGUGUGUGUGUGUGUGUGAGUGCAUACAAUUACAUUGAUUGUCCCUUCCUUGUGCUUAAACAUUUUUGCUAAUAUAAUUUUGUUUUUAGUUUUUUUCCAAACAUUAACACUUGACACUUUAAACAAAUCCAAAAAAGUACACACACACACACACAUAUAAUGGAUAAGGUAUACUUUUUCUAAUUGAUGCCCAUAGCGCAUCAAAUCUAUAACCAUGUACAUGUAAAUGCAUACAUUGUUAUUGAUGGUCCCCUCACAUUUGAAUUUUUGUUAUAUCAUUUCAUAAUUUUUCCAAAAAAAAAAAAAACCUAAAAUCUCAGACUAUAGCAUUAAAAAAAAUACGCAUCAGAAAACUCAAAAACUAAAAAAAAAUCUUAAAUAUCAGCAUGUAAUGCUUCAUAACACCAUGGAAUCUUUCUUUUUUUCUAAUUUAUUUGGGGGCCAAGAGGGGGGUUCGUCAAACCGCGGAAUCUUCUUUACUUGCGUGUUGGUUCUUUCUUGAUAUUGCACUCAGUCUUAAUUGGAAGCUUUCCUCCUCGAACCUGGAAAAUUUUGCAUUCUUGACCCGGCGAACAUUUUUUCCUUCUCAUUGGUAGAGGAGAAAAUAAGCAACAACAAACCCGAGAUUGACCUACAUUGCAGAGAGUAACAAUAAAAUGGCAAAACUAAAUUAAAAUUAGAAGGCAGACGACUUUGACUUUGAGGAAAAUAAACUACUGUAGUAUUAAAAGCAACUUCACAAGUAAAUAAAAAAAAAAAUUGACUUUAAAGUCAAGGACAUUGUAACACGCUGCAGUUUCCGGCCGGGGCUGAAAACCCUAUAAAUGAAGUAAAGAUUCUUUGCAAUUUUUAUAUCAACUCAUAUUCAUCUAGCAAAAGAAAAAUCAUGACAGACCCUUGUGUGGAAUUUGCUCUCGCAAAGCUUGAUGCUUUUCUAACGGGAGAAUUGCAGUUGCCAAAGAAAGUUGAUACUGGGAUCAGGACUUUGAGAAGUGAACUGGGUACUAUAACAGCAUUUCUGAGUGCAGCUCAUCAAAGAGCGGUCCAAGAUCAACAAAUUCUGGAUUGGGUUCGAAAGGUUCAAGAUGCAGCUGAUGACAUCAUCGACAUUCUUGACCUUUUUGAUCAUCACAAGGCAGAAAAUGGCAGGGCAUUAUCGGUGACAAGGCGGCGGGCAUACCGGUCAAUUGCCGAUCAGAUAAAUGAUAUCAAAUCAACUCUCGAGGAAAUCAACAAGGGCAGAGAAAGAUACCAACUUGCAAAUUCGUCCCAAGCUGCCUUACCACCAAGUCCAACUACAAACCGUGUUUACUCACAUCUUCAUCCAAGGAUUGCUCCUUUGUUCCUUGCAGAUGCUGACGUCGUGGGCUUCGAGGAAGAUAGGGACAUGCUGAUGGCGUGGGCACUGGAUAUGGUGGAUGAGCACAAGGUCAUGUUUGUUGUGGGCAUGGGUGGAUCUGGCAAGACUACUCUUGCCAAGCAAGUAUUCGAGGCAGUAAAACAAGACUUCGGUUGCUCCGCAUGGAUCAGUGUUUCAAAGUCCAAGAAGAAAUUGGAGAUCUUGCGGAACAUGUUAGAUCAACUAUGCAGAUGCAGCUCCAGGGCGGAAACGGCCCCAGCUCCCCAGCAGCAAAGCUCGGAACACUACAUCAACCUCAUUAGGGAGUAUUUGCUGGAUAAGAGGUAUGUAAUCGUCCUCGAUGAUCUGUGGGCUGAUGAUGUUUGGAGAUCUAUUAUGUUAGCAUUGCCAAGAAGGAAUAGGAGUAGAAUAAUCAUCACUACGCGAAGAGGGGAUAUAGCCUAUUCACUGAAAGAUGGAUCCGUUGAUGUCCAUCCCAUUCAGCAUCUAUCUCUAGAAAAGGCUAAGGAACUCAUUCACAGAAUCGCCUUUCCAGGAUCUCGUAUAUGCCCUCCAGCUUUAGCUACACUGUCCAAUGAAAUUCUAGGAAAAUGUGAAGGGCUACCAUUGGCAAUCACUGAAAUUGGUCACCUUUUGUCAACUAAGGGGGAAAGGGAACCUGAAUGGAAAAAAUUGCGUGAUAGUCUUGCAUCGGAACUGACAAGCCAUGGCCGGCUUGCAAAUAUUGCAAAAGUGUUGAUUCUUAGUUAUGAUGACUUACCUUACCAUCUUAAAAACUGUUUUCUGUUGAUGAAUACUUUUCCCCCUAAUCACCCCAUCCAGCGCACAGAGCUAAUACGGUUAUGGAUAGCAGAAGACUUCAUCACAGAAGGGAACAAUGGAAAAGAACUCGAAGAUUUGGGGGAAGAAUACCUGAACGAGCUCAUUCAAAGAAACUUGGUUCAGGUGUGGCAAAUGGACAUCGAUGGGAGACCAAGAACUUGUCAUGUUCAAAAUAUUAUUCAUGAGAUUGUUCUCUCACAGCUUCAAGAUGAAAACUUUUGUGAAGUUUAUCCGGAUCAAGGUACGUUUGACAUCAGUAAGGAGAGGGUCAGGCGAAUAUCGAUUCAUACAGGUGAUCUAGGCCAGCUGUGUCCAAAUCUUCGUGCUCGCGCUUUGUUAAAGUUUGGCCGAUCAGCACCAUGCCAGCACUCCAUUCCAAUUGGCUAUUCAAGCUUAAAGAUGUUGAGGGAAUUGCAUCUGGAGGGUGCAAACUUGGACAUGUUUCCUGCAGACAUUGAAGAACUAUUGUUGUUGAGGUACUUGUGUUUGAGGAAUACAAGAAUCAGAAGCAUUCCGAAAUCAAUAGGAAAGCUUAAGCACCUUGAAACCUUGGACCUCAAACAAACAUUAGUCAGAACACUGCCAAAAGAAAUAUGCCAUCUUUCUAAGCUUCGUUACUUACUUGUUUACAGAUAUGACAUUGAAGAUUAUGUGGCAUUUAACACAAUUAAAGGAUUUGAGGUCGCAGGAGAGAUCACGAGGUCGGCCAAUCUUCGCAAGCUACUGUUUGUGCAAGUCAAUAAAAAUCACAAAAUCAUUGUUGCAAUGCGAGACCUCAGAGAACUGAGAAGGCUGGGAAUCAUGGGUUUGCGCAAAGAAGAUGGAAGGAUCUUGUCUGAGACUAUUCAAAUGCUGCGAAAUUUGCAUUCUUUGAAUGUGGCAGCAGAAAAUGAGGCGGGAGUUCUAGACAUGCCAGAAAUUUCACAUCCUCCUCCACUCCAGCGUUUAUAUUUGAAUGGAAGGCUGGAGAGGAUGCCUGUCUGGAUUUCCGAACUUCACGAUCUGGUAAGGCUUCGUCUAAAGUGGUCUCAGCUGGAUCAACAGUGCAACAAUCCCAUUAAUAUCCUUCAAGAUCUUCCUAAUUUACUAGAACUCCAGCUGCUUGACGCCUACAAUGGGGACCAAUUGGAGUUCAAUGCUGGCAAAUUUCAGAAGCUCAAGAUACUGGAGUUAGAGCUACUUCGGCAGCUGAAAAUGGUCAUAAUGGAACGCAAUUCAUUGCCUUGUCUACAAACGCUGAUCAUAAGGCGAUGCGGUCAGUUAGGGCAGAUUCCAGUAGGUAUAGAUGACCUCAGCCGACUCAAGGAGAUUCAUUUGUAUGAUAUGCCAGAAAAUUUUGUCUCCAUGCUCGAGAAAAAUGGUGGCAGUCUUUAUCAUCUUGUGCAACAUGUGCCAUUAAAACGCUCAUACUAUGCUCAGAAUGGUGGACGGUGGGAUGUGAAAGAUCUUUCUGAUUGAUUAAAAAAAAAAAAGAUCAAAAUGAGAGAUUCAUUCCCCCUUUUUGGUAAGGCAAAAAUUUCGGUUGUGUAAAUUUAUGAAUUAUAUGUAAUUCCUACAGUCACAAGAUCAGAAUUUUCUUUUGUGAAAUAAUUUUAGUACUGCUAUACAGGUUGUAGCCUUCACUUCCCUACAACAAUUUGCUCUAUUUUACACCAUGUCAUGCGAGCCUUCUCCAUUAUAUCAUUCUCAAAGAGUUUUGUGAAAGUGAAGAACGAAGAAUGCAACUAAAGCUAAUUAGAUUUUGAUCGCAGUUAGUUCACAUAGACAUUCAAAGAAGUUCGUGAGUAAAUUUCAGUUAGCUUUACUUCAUGGAACUUCAGAUAAGAUCAGUUAUUAAUGUAUUAGGGGCGGGGGGAGAAAGUCUAAGCUCAUAUUUUCUAACUAUUUUCUUAGUCUUAGUUUCAACUCGAUCGUUUUUCUAACUAAGAUGCAAUCGCAUAUCAUCUAGAAGAGAAUUUUCGAUGGAAUGAAAAGAUUAAUCUAAAGUAAGACAUUAUUAAAUUACAUAUUUAAACCAAUCUAAAUUAAUUUAUCAAAUUAAGUGUCAAAUUAAGUUACAUAGUUACUGUUAGUGGUUGCAUGAUUGGUUUUAUUUUGCUGAGUACAUGGGAUCAUAGCCCAUGUUCCUGUUUAUUUUGGUAGUUGCCUUUUAAUUAAUUCAAAUCAGGAAGUUCUAGUAUAUCCACUAUUUGAUAUAAUUUGGCUUGUGGAGCUAUGUUUCUUGAAAGUUAAAAGAUGAAUAGUUUUUUUUGGAGGAAAUUGUGAAACUCCGUGAGCUAAAAAAGAAAUCCUACGAAUUGUUCAUUAUUUUUGUGGAGUUAUAAAUUAAUAAAAUUGGUUAAAUAUUUGUCUGUAUAUACGAUUAUAUUCUCUCUUCCCACAUAUAUUUAUGUGGUAAAAAAUACCUACUCUGAAAUAUAAUUUUAGUACAAUAUAUUAUUAGUGCAACAAUAACUUACUUACAUUCCCCUUGGUUAAUUCGAUUUCCUUGUCUGUAAGCUUUGUAACAAAUUACAUUAGUGUUAAGCAAUAGCACCUGCUGAAGGGGAGAUAGCAACGGGUGAAAUGGGUGCUCUGAGGAGCCUGUUAUGACGAAUACAAAAUUAAAUGUGGAGACAUUUGAUGGUACCGGUCAUUUCGGCAUGUGGCAAAGUGAGAUUCUAGACGCGCUCUUUAAUCAAGGUCUAGACAUUGCCAUCGAAAAAGAGAAACCAGAAGAGAUUGAAGAGAAGGAAUGGAGGACGCUAAAUCGUUUAGCGUGUGGUACAAUUCGAUCGUGUCUUUCAAGGGAACAAAAAUAUGUGUUCUCAAAAGAAACCUCUGCAAAUAAAUUAUGGACUGGAUUGGAGGAGAAGUUCUUGAAGAAAAAUUGUCAGAACAGGCUCAACAUGAAGAGGAUUCUCCUUGGUCUGAAUCUUUUGAAGUAGUAUCGCACUAUCUUCCAAAAUCUUCCUCACAAAAUGAUACCGUACGUCGAUAUGCUUCGUCCUUGCAUGAUAAACUUGGUUCUUUGCUAAAUGAAUAGCACUCUGACUAUCACAAUGAACUUUGAUAGACUUCUGUCCAAUUCCCAAUUCAUCAAGCAAUCCAUGAAGCCAAAUUGCUUCCUUAACAGCUUCCGUAACUGCCAUAUACUCCGCCUCUGUAGUAGACAAAGCAACUGUUGACUGUAAGGUAGACCUCCAACUGACUGGUGCCUUAGCAAGUGUAAAAACAUACCCAGUCGUUGAUCGACGUGUAUCUUGAUCUCCUGCGUAGUCGGAAUCACAAUAUCCAACUACGCCUUGACCAAUCUUCUCAUCCCGCUCAAAUACUAAUCCAACAUCUACGGUGUUCAAAAUAUACCGUAAAAUCCAUUUCACAGCUUGCCAAUGCUCCUUGCCAGGAUCAUGCAUGUACCUGCUCACAACUCCAACUGCUUGUGAAAUGUCGGGCCUUGUACACACCAUAGCAUACAUCAAGCUACCCACCGCAUUUGCAUACGGUACCUUUGCCAUAUAUUCUCGUUCUGCAUCAUUCUUUGGAGAUAACGAUGCACUAAACUUGAAAUGAGGAGCAAGUGGAGUACUAACAGGUUUAGUCUUUUCAUUCAUACCAAACCUCUUUAAUACUUUACUAAGAUACUCUUUCUGUGUCAAAUAAAGCCUCCCCAAUCUUCUAUCUCUACUUAUCUCCAUGCCGAGAAUUUUCUUGGCUUCGCCGAGAUCCUUCAUUUCAAACUCCCGACUCAAAUGAGAUUUCAAUUUUUCAAUCUCACCUUGAUCCUUGGAAGCUAUCAACAUAUCAUCAACAUAAAGAAGAAGAUAUAUGUAGGAUCCAUCUCGUAGCUUGCGCAAAUAUACACAAUCAUCAUAUUUGCUUCUUGUGUACCUUUGCCCCAUCAUAAACUUGUCAAAUCGCUUAUACCACUGUCUUGGAGACUGCUUCAAUCCAUACAACGAUUUGUCAAGCUUGCAUACCAUCUUUUCUUUACCAGCAACUUUGAAUCCUUCUGGCUGAGUCAUGUAGAUUUCCUCUUCCAAGUCACCAUGUAAAAACGCAGUUUUUACAUCUAAUUGGACAAGUUCCAGAUCCAAUUGUGCUACCAAAGCCAAUAAAAUUCUGAUGGAGGAAUGUUUCACGACUGGAGAAAACACUUCGUUGUAAUCAAUUCCCUCCUUCUGAGCGUAGCCUUUAGCCACCAAUCUUGCUUUGUAGCGAACACCAGACUUGUCAGGAAAUCCUUCCUUCUUUGCAUAUACCCACUUGCAUCCGAUUGCCUUCUUUCCCUUUGGAAGACUGGUUAGCCUCCAUGUUUGAUUCUUAUGAAGGGAAUGUACUUCUUCAUCCAUUGCAAUCCUCCACUUUUCUUUAUCCGAACUUUGAGCUGCUUCAUUGAAAGUGGCAGGAAUAUCAACAUUUAUGGUUGGGGAUGCAUAGGCCACUAUAUCAGCAAAACGAGCAGGUUUUCUGAUUGUCCUCUUUGGCCUACUGGUUGCAAUUGAUUCAUGUUGCUGUGAAAGUUCUUCAACUGGAACAUUUUCUUCAGUUGAUUCUUCUUCUACCAUAGGAGUCCUUUCAUCUACUCCGAUAUCCACUGCUGGUCUGAUAAUGCUUCUUUCAAACUCCAUCUGCUUAGGAGUGCUCUCCACCUGUUGGGGAGUACUAUCAUUCUGCUGUACAUCUACCUUUGUUAACAUGGUAGAUUCAUCAAAGGUGACAUCCCUGCUGAAAACUAUCUUUUUCGUUUCGGGACACCAAAGGCGAUAACCUUUAAUGCCUGUUGUGAUCCCCAUAAAGAGCGCCUUCUUCGCCCUUGGAUCCAACUUUGAUUCUUUAACAUGAUAAUAUGCAGUAGAACCAAACACAUGUAAGGAAUCAUAAUCUGUAGCAGGUUUUCCCGACCAUUUCUCUAAUGGCGUUUUGCCGCCAAUAGCAGUUGAUGGUAAGCGAUUAACGAGGUGAUUUGCAUAUGCUAAAGCCUCAGCCCAAAAUUGUCUGCCCAACUCAGCAUUGGACAACAUACACCGAACUUUCUCCACCAAUGUCCGGUUCAUACGCUCUGCCACCCCGUUUUGCUGUGGUGUAUCUCUGACUGUGAAGUGCCGAACAAUGCCUUCAUUUUCACAGACCUCCAUGAACGGAUCACUAGUGUAUUCACCUCCGUUGUCUGUUCGAAGGCGUUUGAUCUUUCUUUCUGUUUGAGUUUCCACCAUCUUUUUCCACUUGAUGAAAAUUCCCAAUACUUCACUUUUCGCCUUCAUAGUAUACACCCAUACUCUUCGAGAGAAGUCAUCGACAAAGGUAACAAAAUAAUUCUUGCCUCCCAAAGAAGUUGUUUUGGAAGGUCCCCACACAUCAGAGUGCACAUAAUCCAAAAUACCCUUGGUAUCGUGAAUUGCAGUGCCAAAUUUUACCCUUGUCUGCUUUCCUUUGACACAAUGCUCGCAAAAAUCUAACUUGCAAACACUGGCUCCUUUUAAUAGUCCUUGAUUCAUCAGAAGAUUCAAAGAUUUUUCUCCGGCAUGCCCUAAGCGCAUAUGCCAUAAUCUGGUUACUUUCAAUUCUCGAUCAUCACUGGAAGCCACGGCCGCUACUCCAACAACUGCAUUACCUUGAUAGUAAUACAAGUUAUUAUUUUUUCGGAUUCCUUUCACCAGCACCAAUGCACCUGAAAUGAUUUUCAUCACUCCAUUAUAUGCCGACACCUUGUAGCCCAUUGAUUCUAGUACUCCCACAGAAAUGAGGUUCUUUUUCAAUUCUGGCACAUAUCGGACAUCAGUUAGAAUCUUAAUUGAUCCAUCCUGAUUCCUCAGCCGAAUUGAACCAACCCCAUUUGUUGCUAAUGUGGUCUCAUCUGCCGUGUAGACGACUCCACCUUCUUUUUCCUUGAAAUCAAAGAACCAUUCUCUAUUGGACGUCAUAUGAUGGCUACAACCUGAGUCCAAUAGCCAUGUACUAGAAUGACCAGUAGGCAUGACAGCUAAUGAAAAAUCUGAGUUUUGAUCAAUGCACUCAGAUACAUUUGAAUCCGCAACAGCUUUUUCUUUGUCAGGUCUACCCUUCAGUUUUGGACAGUCCUUCUUCCAGUGCCCUUUCUCUCUGCAAAAGGCACACUCAUCUUUACUUAGUCUGGCUCUUGACUUGGAUCUUCUUCUCGUCCCCUUUCUCUGGUUUUGUGAGCGUCCUCUAGUUACCAGAGCUUCUGCUGCUCCAUCUCUGCUAUUUUGCUUGUCUUUUCUUCUGAGCUCAUAGCUGUACGGGGCAGAGCUAACUUCACUGAGGGACACCUCAGCUUUUCCAUGGAGUAGAGUUGUUUCAAGAUACUCAAACUCCUCAGGAAGAGAUCCCAACAACAUGAGAGCCAAAUCUUCGUCUUCAAAUGUCACAUCUAAAUUCAUCAGAUCAGUGAUUAACUGAUUGAAAUUAGUGAUGUGAUCACUUAGAGUUGUGCCAGGAACAUAAGUGAAGCGAAAUAAAUGCUUCUUCAUGUUGAGCCUGUUCUGACAAUUUUUCUUCAAGAACUUCUCCUCCAAUCCAGUCCAUAAUUUAUUUGCAGAGGUUUCUUUUGAGAACACAUAUUUUUGUUCCCUUGAAAGACACGAUCGAAUUGUACCACACGCUAAACGAUUUAGCGUCCUCCAUUCCUUCUCUUCAAUCUCUUCUGGUUUCUCUUUUUCGAUGGCAAUGUCUAGACCUUGAUUAAAGAGCGCGUCUAGAAUCUCACUUUGCCACAUGCCGAAAUGACCGGUACCAUCAAAUGUCUCCACAUUUAAUUUUGUAUUCGUCAUAACAUUUCUCGCCAUAAUAGAUAAUGACGAGCUUGUUGAUGCUUGCAUUGUAGAUGAAGAUCUACUUUCGGCCAUCUCUACAAAUUAUAUUUAGUAGCUCCUAAAUGUAGAGUAACAAUAGCCCAAGAAAUCUUUUCUGAUGUGGAAGAUCAGACCAUGCUGCAACCACAGAGCAUACUAAGAAACCUCGAGCUCUGAUACCAAUUGUUGCGGAAGCCCUACCAAAGUUAAGGUAUAACGAGUAAAUUAUUGUACCUAAAAUUGCAAAAAUGGUAAUUCCCAGGAAAUAUUUGGUGAGGCACACUGGCCUGCUUAAGUACCAAUUUCCUAGACAGAAUCACCUAUAUAUGCACUUAAUUGCACAAUAACUCACUACAAAUAUACCUACAAAUAUAGCUACUAAAUAGACAAUAAAAUAGAACACCAGAAUUUAACAAGGUUCGGCUAAUUUGCCUACGUCCUCGGACACUACCGACAAUUUAAUAUUUCACUAGAAGAAAUAUUACAAAGAGAGAGAAGAAAGCAAGUUAUUGGCUCUUGCUUGGUGUACUUGAAUUGGUUUGUUUGAGAGCUAUUUGUAGUUCUCAAACAACCUCUCAAAUGUUAAACUUAACCGAUGUGGGAUUUAGAAACUUAGGCCAAAGAAUUCAAAGUCCUCAAUUUUGGCUUGAAAAAGUCAUCAAUUGAGGCUUGACUUUGAAUUCAACAGAGCCCACCCCGUGGCAGAGCAGAGCAUUGUCUGAUUGGAAGCCGGACAGCGACUGAGCAAGUGGAAAGAAAUGUGGUCGCGGCCGUGACACCAGAGCCGUUGUCGGUUGAGCUCCUUAUAGGGUGAGUUUGAAGAACCCAUUGGCAUUUGUGGCUGUAGUUGCCACAGUUCUGGCAAUGGUAGUGGUACUGAUGCCAUCAAGAUUGCGAGUGAUCGAGACAUUGGCUCCAGAUAGAGGAGGAGUAAUGCCAAUAGGUAAAAGAUUCCCCGUAUUAGUGCAAUACAAGCGACCAAAAACCGUAGCUGAAGCUACAGGUAAUGCAAUCUUUGUCAAGUGCGACGGUGGACGGGGUAAUAGCAGUCAAUGAGGAGAGCAAGGCCAAGAAACAAAUCAUUAUGUGGAUGAGAAGCCAUGUGACAGGAGCCGAACCUGUGCAAUAAUAAAUACCUGCUCAAAUAAAAUACAAAUUCUGUAUAUAGCGGUAAGCAGGGUCGAAUCCACAGGGACUGGAGAUAAUUUAAUUUCUUCUCAAGUUCCAGAUAUGGGGGGGGUUUUUGAAAAUGAGAGUAACUAAAUUGCUUGGAAUAAAUUAAAAUAAAAUAAAAUAACUACAACUCAAAUAAUUAAUUAUCACAAUAAAAAUAAUAAUGGACGAACUCUAGCCAAGAGACAACUUCGGAGAUGGUUCACUUAAUUCGAUCACAGAUGCAAGGAUUAUUCCAGUUACUAUCUGAUAAAUUAGUUAUAGUUGUCAUACACGCGAUAAACAACCAACUCUUCCUCAAUUUGUCGAUAGCCAAGGUACGACCGUCGACUAUUUCUCUAAUCAGGAAAUAACCCUAGGUACGACCAUAGAAGUUCAAUUCCCUAAUUGCAUGAAUAAUUAGAAGAGCCUAAUUCUAACCAAUCAACACGCUACGAGGGUCUUUUUAAGUUAGCCUGUCUAUCCCCCUGACACAAAUCCAAUCAUGCCAGUUGCCACCAGUUUAGAAUAAUUAAACAAUUACGGAUUUAACUAUCCUAAUUGGCUUCAGGUUAUUGAAUUAAUCUAGAAUCCGGGCCCUGGAUAAUCGAAUGAUAAAACAACCAUAUGAACAUAAAGCAGAAGAUAGACAAAUACCAGUGAAUAAUGGAAAUAAAUAGAAACUAAUUCGAUCUCACAAAUUUAGUAGAACCAAGUCCUCCGUUGUUCUUGACUAGACAAACUUAACCACGUCUCAUGAGAAAAUCUUCAAGUAAUUUCAUUGAGGUCCAGGCCAUCGUCUCCGAGAGUUAAGAAAAUUCAAUUCGUCCCAAUCGAUAAGAAAAGCAAACUACCAGAAGUGAUAGCUAAUUCCUAAUUCUCCCUGACAUGCGCAGGGAGCAAAGCUACUAAAGGACAAAAAAUACUGAAAAGAAAAGUCAAAGAGGAACCAAAAAGAUAGUGCUUGUUCUCUGCAAACUCUAUAUUUCCUAAGUGCUUAUUCCUACUGUGCGGCGUCCGCCGCACGAGAGGAAGCAGAAGACCCUGAGGUUUGCUUUCUUUUUCCUUUUUCUAGUUGCUGUCUUCGGUCAAAAUUACCAAUAAGGUCUUGCAUUUUCUUGUUCCAAGAAUGCCCCUUGAUUGCCUGCUAUUUGAACUCUUUCCUGAUAAUUGUCAAAUUGGCCUUGAUUGUGAUAUUUUUGUUCUACUCCCUGAAAUAAAUGUAAAUUACGAAAAGUGAGUAGAAUUUAAUAAUUAAUUCACAUCAGGUUAGGUAAUAGGGGAAAUUAAUAAUAAAAUAAAUGAUAAAAUUGCAACCUAUCAAUUCCCCCCACACCUAAACCAUGCUUGUCGUCAAGCAUGAGAAAAGCGAUCAAACACCAAUAUUUGACAGUGGCUAUUGCUCUAUCCAACAAAUUGCCAAGAUACCAAGAAGAAAAAUAAUAAUCAAGCAUCAAUGGUCAAGUCCAAGAAACAUCACCUCGGUUAGCUUCUAAACCACAAACUCCUCUAAUUUCAUGUUAACUAAUCUAAGAAAAAGGAAUAACGCAUAACAUUUAUCAGCAAAUGGUCCAACUAUUAACCAAAAUCUCAACAUUAAAUCCAUAAUUCGGCAAGCUGAUUUUUAUUACACACUAACACAACCUUCACUUUUUUUUCACAUUUUUUCCUACUUUUCUCUCUUUUUUUUUUGAUUCUUUUUUUUUCAAUAGUAACAAAAGACUGAGUCGCUAGCCAUUUGAGCCUUUUGACGCGAACUCCAACAUUGGCCAGAUGAAGGAGCCCGGUUACUCAGCUUCUAUCGCCACGUGACCACGUACUCAUAGGAAUUACUACCUUUUGACGCGAGAAUCAAUACUUUUAGGUGCAGAUCCCCGAUUACUCAGUAGUAACUAAUAGCGGAGUACAGUCAAGUUUAUUCAUAACUAAAAAUCACAAAAACUCAAUAUAACACAAGAACCAAAAGAAAACUUGCAUCAGCUAGCCUCAUUUUCAAACAUGGAGAACUAAAGUUAAUAACCGGACCAAUUCACUAAAAAUGCCAAUAAUCAUUCCCUAUGCCUAAGAAAGUUAACCAAAAAUUAUAAGAGUAAAACAAUUAUUGAUAUUCACCAAAGAGAUGUUCUUGAAUUCAACCACAUUAACUUGAUACCCUUUUAUUAUUAAAAUUGACAAUAGUAGAAACAGAGACAAUAAUCCAACAUCAAACCUUGGCAUGCACUUACGAGCCAAUCACUAAAAAGAAAAAAAAAAUGAACGAGAGGUGGACAAAUAACAAACUAAAAAUAAAGAACUAGUAUAGCUGUCCCCCCCCACACCUAGAUCCUACAUUGUCCUCAAUGGAGGAAAUAAAGCAAUUAAAGUGAAAAGGACAACGAAACUUCCCUCUCGAGUGGCUAAGGGUAUUUGGCAGCUGCGGAGGGAAACCAACGUGGUGAAGUACAUGCCCAAGUUCUGAGACAUCAUAACUCAAUUCAACCAGCAAAUGCACAACUCUGUCCACCCAAAAUCUCAACAGAGUCUCCAAGUGGAUAAUUAAUUUUCAACUCAGAAGCGGCAAUUCCAGCAAUAGCAGUAUAGAAAUUAGACAAUAACCACACAAUCACAAGUUUUCCCUUUUUAAUCAGGCAGCCAACCCAUUAGAAAGAACAAAUAUUAGUCAAAAUACCCCAACCAGUACCACUGGUGCACUCCACAGAUACUGAAGCAACUUAAAUGGCAAACCCAAUCAACAGAAUGUACAUGUGAGGCACCCAAGGUCUAUACAAAUUUUUCAACAAAGCAACGAGUGCAAUCAAUAAUCAGUAGUGGUCCUAAUUUACUCAAAUGUAGACUUAACGCAGCCCAACAAUUCAACUGGAUGUACCCAACCUCAACAAGCAAAGCAAGUGGCACACGUUUCCCAAGUCAACAUGUAAUUUAGAGAUAACUCAACCGAAAUCACAGUGGAAACUUCAAUUAAAUACACUCAACAUGAAUAAGCCAAGCAAGUGUCAUAGAAACUCCCCAAUUCAACAAGCACAACACUAGCCGAGAUACCUCUCAAUUAGCAACAGACAAUCGGCAAAUUGGCAAUUAAGCACUGGCUCCAGUUGGCCAGAUAAGGUCCUAACUCCAAACUGGCAAUUGUAACAAUGACAGUGUAGAGAUUUGACAAUCAAACCAAGCGCCUAAGCUACCCAAUUCAACAGGCAAUAGUAGGACCAAUUAACUCGGCUAAAUAAAAAACUCAAGGAAAUUAAAAAUGCAAAUCAACCCAAAAGCACCGUUGACCUUUAACUUGGCAAUUGAAUACCACUACAAUAGCAGUGAAUCUCCCAAGCAAUGGAAUGCCAUUCGACCAAGGAAUAAACCCAAUUAGUGUAAGAUGGGCUAGUACCUCUACCGAAGAUAGUGGCCAAACAAAAGUUCUGGUGGAGUCUGAUGGUGGCUUCGCGUGGUGCGUGGGUGGCCGACAAAAGAAGAGGAGCAGGCCGCGGCGGCUGUGAACUGGUCGUCGCUGGUAGAGGAGAGGCCAGCGGAUCGAGCUGGGCUGCUCUGCUUGGUGGGCGUGGGCUGUUCGAGAGGAGCUGCGCGCGAUGGUAGUGGCGGGAGUCGCGCGGCCGUGGGACGGAGGUGGCGAUGCAGUGGAGCUCAGAGGAGCUGGAGGGAGGCACGGCUGCCUGGCUGUGCGAAGUGGAUGGCUGGUUGGUCCUUCGCGCGAGACGCGAGGUGGUGGCGUGAGUGAGGUGGGCGGCGCGAGUGGGCGGCGGGCAAAAGGGAUUCGGACAACAGAGAGAGAGCAGGGGAGAAGGAAGAAAGAAAGAAGAAAGAAGAAAGAAAGAAAAGAAGAAGAAGGAAAAAGAUUUUUUUUUUUUUUUUUUGGGAAAACUGAGCUACGGUGAAAAAGGGAAGAAAAAAAAAUUCUUUUUUUUUUAAAUUGAGAAACCUAGCUGCGGUUGAGAAAUUUUUCUCUUUUUUUUCUUUUCUUUUUUUUUGAAUCCUUACCUUUCCCGCGAACGUGACGCGGGCACGUCAUGAGGGCAAGAGAGCUCCCAGAAGUUUCAGAAAUUUCUGAUCGUGAGCAUCCUGCACAUCACUACGCGGGCACGUCAUGACUGAAUGGCACCUAUAAAUCAGCAAAAACGAAAACUGAAACCCAAAAUCAGUCGAAUUUCAGGAGAACACUUCUAAACUACUACACGAAAUUGAACAACCAACUAAAAGAAACAAUUGGGUUGCCUCCCAAUGAGCGCCUUUCUUUAAUGUCUUUGGCUAGACAUUAUCACGUUUUGUUCAUGGAGGAUAAAAUCUUGUGGCUCGUCUCAUUGCUUCAUCCUCUACAUAGUCCUGAUAGCCCUCGUAGAUAGAAUAAUCUUUGGGCAUACGAGUUACGGGCUUCCAUGGACUAGUAAAUGGCGCCAAGCGAGUCGAUGAUAAUUUGCAUUCUCCAAUCAUUCCUCCCUCACUUGCAUUUAUUGGUUGAAGAUAUCUCGCCAUCGCCACUCUUAAUUUAUUCCUGUCAUGAAAUUCAAAAUUGUCUGGUAUAAUAAAGUCAAUUUCGUUAACAGGAAUUGAAGAAUAAGAGUCAGGAGAAUAUUGAUGAAGGAGUGGAGAAGAUGUCACCGCAUUUGGAGAUUGUUCACUGGAUUCAUUCACUUGAACGAGUUGAUCUUGGAGUCUCAUUUCUUGCACUUCAGCUUCAUUUUCAACUGCAUCUUUAAAUCCGUUUUCUUGAAACUCUUGCAGUUCCAUGUCAUUUGGCCGGACAAUUGCACUCUCAUCUUGCUCAAGAUUGAUAUUGGUUUGUGCGGGCAAUUCUUCCAUUUGAGAAGCCAAUCGAUCUAUCCUGGAUGUCAAUUGACGCAUUUGAUCCGCCAGGUCGCGAAGGCUCGCUUGUGUCUUCUGAUGAUAUCGAUUUAGGCUCGCUUGUGUCUCCUGAUGAAAUCGAUUUGAAUUAGCAAUUAGUAAACCUAUCAUUUCUUCAAGAGACAUACCUGACACGGAGGAUGAUUGCUGAGACUCUUGCUGUUGAAAAUCCAUUGGCCCCGUCGCAUAAUCAAAAUUGGAAUUAUCCCACCAUUCUUGAUCAUACCCGUUUGAAUAAGGGUUAUACUGCGUUUGAUAUUGGGGUGGAAAAUCUCCAAAAGUAUCAAGUGGAGUACUUAAAUUAUCUUAAAAUACGGGGCAUGUGUCAGUUGAAUAACUUGAGUCAAAAUAAGUUUCACAAUUUGCAACAGCCCAUUGAUCAUUAGGAAAAACAUGAGUCUCAUAACCCCAUUCAGGAACAAAAUCCAGUCUAUCAUCAAAAUAUGGAAUGUUAGCAGCCAUAAAAAAAAAAUAAGAGAAAAAUAAAUUAAAAAUGAAAACAAGGUGAACUCAAAAAGAAACAAAUUAAUCUGACACCAGUCCCCGGCAACGGCGCCAAAAAUUGACAGGUGCCGAACCUGUGCAAUAAUAAAUACCUGCUCAAAUAAAAUACAAAUUCUGUAUAUAGCGGUAAGUAGGGUCGAAUCCACAGGGAUUGGGGAUAAUUUAAUUUCUUCUCAAGUUCCAGAUAUGGGGAGUUUUUGAAAAUGAGAGUAACUAAAUUGCUUGGAAUAAAUUAAAAUAAAAUAAAAUAACUACAACUCAAAUAACUAAUUAUCACAAUAAAAAUAAUAAUGGACGAACUCUAGCCAAGAGACAACUUCGGAGAUGGUUCGCUUAAUUCGAUCACAGAUGCAAGGAUUAUUCCAGUUACUAUCUGAUAAAUUAGUUAUAGUUGUCAUACACGCGAUAAACAACCAACUCUUCCUCAAUUUGUCGAUAGCCAAGGUACGACCGUUGACUAUUUCUCUAAUCAGGAAAUAACCCUAGGUACGACCAUAGAAGUUCAAUUCCCUAAUUGCAUGAAUAAUUAGAAGAGGCUAAUUCUAACCAAUCAACACGCUACGAGGGUCUCUUUAAGUUAGCCUGUCUAUCCCCCUGACACAAAUCCAAUCAUGCCAGUUGCCACCAGUUUAGAAUAAUUAAACAAUUACGGAUUUAACUAUCCUAAUUGGCUUCAGGUUAUUGAAUUAAUCUAGAAUCCGGGCCCUGGAUAAUCGAAUGAUAAAACAACCAUAUGAACAUAAAGCAGAAGAUAGACAAAUACCAGUGAAUAAUGGAAAUAAAUAGAAACUAAUUCGAUCUCACAAAUUUAGUAGAACCAAGUCCUCCGUUGUUCUUGACUAGACAAACUUAACCACGUCUCAUGAGAAAAUCUUCAAGUAAUUUCAUUGAGGUCCAGGCCAUCGUCUCCGAGAGUUAAGAAAAUUCAAUUCGUCCCAAUCGAUAAGAAAAGCAAACUACCAGAAGUGAUAGCUAAUUCCUAAUUCUCCCUGACAUGCGCAGGGAGCAAAGCUACUAAAGGACAAAAAAUACUGAAAAGAAAAGUCAAAGAGGAACCAAAAAGAUAGUGCUUGUUCUCUGCAAACUCUAUAUUUCCUAAGUGCUUAUUCCUACUGUGCGGCGUCCGCCGCACGAGAGGAAGCAGAAGACCCUGAGGUUUGCUUUCUUUUUCCUUUUUCUAGUUGCUGUCUUCGGUCAAAAUUACCAAUAAGGUCUUGCAUUUUCUUGUUCCAAGAAUGCCCCUUGAUUGCCUGCUAUUUGAACUCUUUCCUGAUAAUUGUCAAAUUGGCCUUGAUUGUGAUAUUUUUGUUCUACUCCCUGAAAUAAAUGUAAAUUACGAAAAGUGAGUAGAAUUUAAUAAUUAAUUCACAUCAGGUUAGGUAAUAGGGGAAAUUAAUAAUAAAAUAAAUGAUAAAAUUGCAACCUAUCACCAUGACUGCAGAUAUCAAGUAUGAGGCAUUUGCUGGGAAUGCUUGGGAGAAGACAAGCUCAUAUAAUAGAAUUUUGGCCCUGGGGAAUGUAGAUGAUGGUUAUCAAGGUAGCUAUCCUUUGAAGUCUUACACCUAUUUACCCUUUCAAGUUUCUUUCGUAUUUUUGCUAGGUUAGAAAUUAUGACCACUUCAUCUAGGAAAUACGAGAAUGAUUGGUUUGAUAAUAGGUAUCCACUUUUGUAAACUUCAUAGCUAUUGGGUCUAUUUUCUUUUGAAGUUUAGUAGCAUGACAAGUCUGUAAUUUUGGAAGUUUCACACAUACUACAGCUCUCUCUAUCCUUAAUUAUUUAUCACUUCAUGUAAGACAUAGGCGAAAAUAUCUACAAAUCAGGGAUGGAAAUACCUAACAUAAAGGGAUAAAAUAAAGAUAGGCGUGAGAAAAGUAGUGGCCAAGAGUUUGCUUUCACAGGGAAAAAUGGGAACUUGGACAAGUACAGUCGUUCACAUUAUAGUGGUAUAUUUUUGUUUGUUUGCUAUACGGAUUAGUGUACAAUCAUAUUUACUCCUCCCUUAACAAGCCAUCAUUAUAAAACCCUAUACAAUUCGAAAGCCACAUACAUCACCUAAACAAAAACAAGGCAAAAUUUUGCAUGCCCCAAAAAAAAAAUUGUAAGCAGAAAAAGGGGGCCAGCAACAAAAUUUGCUCCAACAUCAGUAGUAAAGUUGGGAUUUUAGUAGUGGGAUUUUAGUUAUGGUAACUUUUGUUUAAGAAGAGAAGCUUAUAUAUAUGCAGAUGUUUGGACUUGAGGGAUGUAAAGGACAGUUAUCAGGAUAGCUAUUCUUAAAUUCUGAAGAAUUUUAAACCAUAGCUAUUAAUGGAGGAGAAAAAGAGAAAACUUGAUAGAGGCUAUGCCUCCAGCUAUACCUACUACCAGGUUUGUAGCCUCACUUCCCUUUAAAUCUUACUCUUGAUAUGUAUACUACUAGUUGCAAUAGUAGCAGUGUAUUGCACAUUAGCUCGUUAAUCUCAUUGUAGUUUUUUUUUUUUUGGUCGAAACGAUAGGAAAUUUCAUUAUCAUAAAAAAACAAGUUACAUGUACGAGCAACGGCUCGAGGGAACUGUACAAAAAGUGUUCAAAGAACACUGAGGAAAGUUCGUUCCUCAUCCACAAUUACGGUUAAAGCGUCUGCACUCAGUUUUCUACUAUCUAACAUAUUUUCUUCCUUUUCCAACCCAAAAGAGCACAUGCAAAACAGUCUUUUCAGAUUCAUAAUAUCCUCCAACAAUGUAGCCAUCUUGCUAUCUGAUGGUUGUUGCUGUGUUAGUUGUUUCCAUAACUCUUUGCUACAAAAAUUGAGUCGUACCUUUCUCCACUGCUGGUGCACAGCUUUACACAGGGCCAAUUUUAAAGCCAAUGCUUCAUCUAACAUUUUGCUCCCCAGGCUUCUCUCUUUCAGUACCCAGUCUGCAAUUUUAGUGUUUGCUAUUGUUCUUACUGUGACUCCUAUUCCAAGGCCAUUCUGUUCUUGCUCCUUUGCUGUUGUCACUGCUAAAAUUAUAGCCCCUUCGUUUCCAGUGCUCUGUCUUUGUUGUUCAUUUGCAGGGACUGUUUUUUCUGUACUCUUCCUAUCUCCCUGUUGAAGCUCUAAACCUUGUUCCAGCCAUUCUUUAUGCGCACAGUCUACUAUUCUCAUUGGUGUUGAUCUAGCUGAGCUCUCAAAUUCCUUCUUAUUCCUAUCUUUCCAUACCUGCCACAGUAUAUUUGCUGUCAGACCAAUAUGAUCCCCCCUUCUGGUCUACUGCUUGCUUCUGAAAUUCGCAGCCACCAUCUCUUGAAAUGUCCCUUCUAGUCUAUUGCUCCAUCCCAUUGAAUGGGAGUUGAUUUCCAUAUAUCCAUAGCAUGGGAACAGUUGAGCAGCAGAUGUUCUAUAGUUUCCCGUGCCUCACCACAAGUUGAGCAUAUAGGAUUGCCUAUUCCUGUUCGUCUCCACACUGCCUCCCUGACUAGUAAGGCUCCUUGAAUACACUUCCAUAUGAAGUGUUUGAUUUUAUGCUUAACAUUAAGCCUCCACAGUGUAUUCCACAUCUGAGUCAUUUGUUGACUUUCCUCUGAGAUGCUUGAUCCUACUCCCUCCAAUUUGCACCUCCUCUUGCUUCUACCCCUUUCCAACAGCAUUUUAUAACCUGAUUCAACUGUAUACUUCCCUCCCGCUUUUGAUUUCCAGUAGAAGCUAUCUUCCCUCCCAGAUAAGUUUAAGGGGAUACGUAGGAUCUUCUCAGCAUCUUCUUUGCUGAAGGUGCUGAAUAUGAUAUUUCUGUUCCAUCUCUGCUGGCAUAUUAGCUCAUCCACCAUUUCCAGCACACAAUUACUUGUUCUGCACAUAGCUGGCUUUCUCGUGAGUGUCUCCAGUAUCCAUUUGUGGUCCCAGAUUCUCGUGCUUCUACCAUUUCCAAUUCUCCUAAUCAAGCCUUCAUCUAGUAAACCUCUUGCUCCCAUUAAUCCUUGCCACAUCCAUGAUGCGUUCUUAGGAGGGGUGCAUUGUAAAAUGGAUUCUUGAGGGAAAUAUUUAGCCUCAUUGUAGUUACUGAAACGAAAAUCAUCUCAAGACUAAUAAAAAGGAAAAGAGUUUUAAUGAAUUAGGCUGUUUUAAAUUAUGUUUUAGCUAAGCAGAAGGAAUCAUCAGUUGAGUUGAUUCAUUUUCAAGUCCAAACAUUUAGACCAACAUCACUUGAUUGAGAGAACAAAUUUGUUAUUGUUAUAAUGAAACAAAACUACUAUCUUAAUGCUAUUUUUUCAAUAUAUUAGUAUCUUAAUGAGAUGAUUAUUUUGUUUAUCAGCAUGUAUUAAAUUUGACUUCUCGUAGGAUGGGCGAUAUCUCGUAAUUGUAAUUCAAACAUCUAUCACUAUUAUAACUUAUUAUUGUUCUUUCUAUUUUUCUUGGACAAAAUUGGAAAAUUAGGUAGGGAUUAGUUAACUAAGGUUUAGCAUUGUUGACUCUUUUUGGAUGCAUUAAUCGAUGUGUGUAGGCUUUUAUUUCCAUUGAAUGGAAGGUAGCUCGUAAAGGAGAGGGCUGAUGCGAGAAGAAAAUGGGGUUGUGCUCAUCUACAUUUUAGAGAAAGGUGGGUUUUUGGAUUGGUGGUUGAGUGUGAAGCGUAUUGGAAAGAGCCGGGUUGUGCUUGGAGAAAAGGUUAGGUAAUGGGACAAGAAGGUGUCAACUUGGGAUUAGAAGAGGGAUUGACUUCUCUUCAAUGAAUUCUUUCCUCAUUUUUCACAAUACACAUUUGAAUGCAUUACACGCGUUUUCAUUUACUAUGAAAAAACAUGAUUGAUGGGAUUUUGCUAUAUGUACAAGUUAAAAAAUUCGAUUUACACCCGUUUCACUGCAAGUAUACAGGUCAACUAGUAGUUUAAAGUAUAUAUCGGGUCGAUUCCACGAGGAAGAUUGAACAAUUACUGGCACUACUAAAGCUUCUAUAUUAUUUAGACUAUUAAUGAAUUAUAACAAAUGACAAAUGAAAAUACUAUUAAUGAAUUACUGAACUUAUACAAGAAAAUACCAAAUGAAAGCUCCUUAGGUUAUGGUAUUCCUAACUACUCAUGCAAGUACUAUUUUUUUGGAUCAUUGAAAACUACUAUCUUGGUUAGUUAUGGUGUAAUUUCCUUAUGCAUAUGAAUCCUACUUUCGUAGUGAAUCAAUUAUACUCGUAACUAAUCCAUACCUAUUCUCAUGGUUAUGAAAUUAGUUACAUGUUCAUUUCUUCUGUGAAAUUACUUGAAAUGAAUCACUAAAAUCACAUAGGUGCACCUCUACUCUCGUGAGUAUACUCCCUGUGUUUAGCACUUCUUGAACCAGUGUUAAAUCUCAAUUUUCAUUGCAGAAACAACACCUUAGAUAAUUACAAUUAAUGGUACCAAAUUAAUCAUGAUUAAAGAACUAAAGUGCUAAAUAACUUGCUCAAAUAAUAGCAUCAAAUAACCAAAUAAUAAACACUAACAAUCAUAGAAAGUUCAACCAAACCCAAGGCAUAAACUUUAAAGAUACAUAAUAAAUACAAAAUCCAGAACUUGCAUAUUAACCAUACUUAAGAAUCCAAUACAAAAGAUAAAGAGUUGGAGAAGAGAUAACCAUUGUCACAUGAGGUUUAACUCCUCCUUCUUCAUCUCCAUCAUAAUCUAGUCAAUAUAUAAGAGUGGAUGAGCUAUACUACUCUAUACUAAACUAAUCUAACACACAGAAAAUGGAAGAGCUACAUUUUUCCAGACUCCAAGCUUCUCCAAAAAUUGCUCGCCCAAGAGAAUAUGACCAGCCUCAGUUUUUAUCCUAAAAUUCUGAUAUCCUCCAUUCACGUACCGUAUUUUUCUUCUCCCCUUUGAUUCUCUAAAUCUGGUGUUAACCAAGUCAACAAAACAAAGUUCCAGCCUCUUGAUUAUACCGUAUAUUUUUGACUUGACAAUAAGCUAUUUUUCUUCCUUUGUGUAUCAGAAACAUGUGCAGCCUACGUUUCUCUCCAACUGUAGCUGGAAAGUAGUGUGAAGAUGAGAAAAAUGGCCGAGUAAAUUGCAGAAAUUCGGCUGCCAUACAUGUUUUCACUUUUGACCUCACUUCAACUGCAAUUUUCUCUAUGAUAGCCGCAGAACUGGCUGUUAUGUAAAACACAAAAGUUGUAGCCCUUUGAAUUAGCGUUCCAAUGCUUCAAGAAUCAUCUAAUUUGGAGAUUGGUGAACGGAGAUAUGGUCGAAAUACCAUAGACUGGUCAAUUCUGGGCUUCAGUUUUCGACCAUCCGGAUAAGUUUCUGUGUUUUGACUUUUUGACCAGGAAAAUGGCUGAAUUGGAUUUUGAUGUCUUCAUACCAAAUGUAAAUAUAUCUUUUAGCUUCAAAAUGAUACAAGAACCAUCUCAAUCCAAUCACUGUAUCUCAAGUUAUAGCCGAAAUACGAAAAUAUGUCAAAACUGUCAAAAAUGCACAAAAUGCAAGUAAAAAGUGAUAAAAACUUCAUUAAAUCACUUAAGACAUUUUUCCCCAAUUAUAGCCAAAAUGAUUCAUUUUCUUCCAAUAAUAUAACCAAAGUGACUAAAAAUAAUAUAAAAUGUCAUUCAAUUAUUACGUAAAUUAAUCACUUAUCAAUGAUCAAUUUAAGUUUAACUAAUUUUAAUGCUUGUUAAUAAAUGGAGACACGUGUCAUAUAUUCAAAUGUACACUAUGAGAAAUAAAGAAAGAAUCCACUGAAAAUGAGCUAAAAUAGGUAGAGAAGGUAGCGGGUGUAUGUAUAUUUGAGAAAAAGAGUUUCGCUUGAGGAACAGGUUUAAUAGUUGGGGGAAGAAGGAAUUGGUAACGAUGGCCAGAAAAUGAUGAAUGUACUCUUUUUUUUUGGUUGAAUUCUUACAUGAACGGUAGUGAUUUCAUUUUAUAUCAAAGGAGGUAAGUGUAAUAUUAUUGAAACAAAGAGGGAGUUGAGUGUAAUUAUCAUAAACCUCAAAUGAGGUUUAUCUCAAGGGAGGUUUUUAAAAUUAUACCAUAAAAAUAUAGAGGGUGUUAGGUGAAUAUAGUAAAACAAUUGAGGCCAGAAAAAAUAGUUAAACAAUUGCGGGAUAACGUGGUAGAAUACAAAAUCAUAGAAGGGUUAAAUAAUAAUAAUGGAUCCUUUUAUCUAUUAGAUUUUCAUUACUUGGAUAUUAUAAGCGUCCAUAAUUAGUUUAAUUAUGAUGGGCAUCCUCCAUUUCGAUGUAGUUCAUCAAUCCAUUUUGGAUUGUAUAGAAGUGGAUUGCAAUUCGUUCUGCCUACAUGAAGUACUUCAAGGUCAUAAUGUGAUAAUGAAAGGAUAUACAUAUGCGUAAGAUUUGUGGAUAUGGAAAAUAAACACUUUUGGAGAAUUCAUAGUGGAAAAUUGUCUAUACUAUUCAAAUUUUUAUGAUCUUUAACUUUUUCUAUCUUUCAAAUAGAAAUUAACAAGUUCAGCACAACCAUAUGGAGGUGAAAUUGCAAAGAAGUUCUUCAGCAGUAAGUUGCAAGGUAGAUUCCCCAUCCUGUCCCCUUCCCCCUUCACAAAAAAACUGCGUUGGUGAAUUUUAACCAUAAGAUCUACUCUAGUUAUUGAACAAUUUAUGAACAAUUCAUAAGUUACUCAAUAGCUAAUGAAAUCUUGCCAAGUGCAUAAUUACUCCUUCUAUCAUCCCAAUAUGUUUAUCGUUCUUCGAGAAUCCAACUUUUUAAGAAUAAUACUUUAAUUAUGAUAUUUGUAUUUUUCUUUUCAGUUUGAUUCUCCAAAUUUUGAAUUUUGAAUUUUAACAUAAAAUGUGCAUAAAUAGAGACAUGGACAACAUUGGAAAUAGAAAUUAAAAAUGACUUUAACUUGUAUGGCAUAACAAAUAUAUUGGAAUAUUUUAGAGUGAAAUAGAUGACAAAUAUUUUAGAACUUAAGGGUGUAAUAUGUAAUAAGUACAUUUGGCAAGGAAUGCCAAGUCAAAUUUGACUGACUGUAACCCACUUCUAUUCUAUGUCCCCUCCACCGCGGUUCUGCACUCCACAAUCUUCUCCAUUCGCAUUUGCCCAAAGGGCUGCAGAGAGUUGAGUGAGGGAGGAAGAAGGCAUAAAGGAAGAUAACUAAAAUAAUAUGUGUUUGAAUAGGGUAUUAUUUGAAAUAAUUACUAUAGUACUUUUUAUGAUGUGAUGUAUGUGAACUAAAAAAUAGUUGGAAAUAUAAAAAAAUGAAUUGAAACAUGCGUUUAUGAUGCAAACGAAAUAUUAUUUGAGAUAAAUUUACAAUCCAAACACAGCUACAAAGCCACAAAAGUAAUAAAAAAUUGUAAAUAAUGACUUGGCAUAUACUUUUGCUAACUAGACUCAUUGGUCAUCCACUUAAUAAGUUUCAAUUGGCUAUCCUUAAAAAAAAAUAUAUUUUUAAUUAACUAUUGAGCAACCCUAUGGAUUGUCUGUAAAUUGCUCAAUGACCAUAAUAAAGUUUGUCCCCAGUUAUCAUAUGUCAAUUAAAAAGAGAGAAAAAUGCAGUUUUGAUACCUAAAUUUUGACACAUGAAUGGUUUUAGUCCCCAAAUUUUGGGCAACAACAAAUUUGGUAUCCAAAUUUUGAAAUUUCGAGCACAUUUAGUACCCUUGACGUUUUUUUCCCAAAUUGCUAUCGGAAAAGUCACGUGGCAGUCAUAUGUCCGGUCACUAUUAUAUAAAAAAAUGUCAAAUAUCAUUCUAAUACUAAGUAUUAAGUUUAAGGACUAAUAAUGUAAUUAAAAAAAAUCUAAGGACUAAAUAGAAUCACAUGAGUCAUUUAAAAAAAAAAAAAAAGAGUUUGACAGAGUUUUACAUCGUUUUCUUCUUCAAUAGCGCUGUCUACAAUUUUUUUUUUUUUUUGUUGUGAUUAUACUAGUAUACUACUGUCUACAUCUUUUGAUGGAGACUUUCCUCUUUCUUUUUUUUUUUUCCCUUGCUGGCAAGCUGCAAGUCGGGCUUUCGUUUAUUAGUAGCAAAGUUGUUGGUCCCAACUACGUUGAAAGUUCCCUUGGAUUUUCUAUUCUUUUCAAGUGGGUGAUGUAGGCUGGCUCUGAGCUGCAAGUGGGAAUUUUAUUUGCUAGUAGAAGCAUUAGCAGUAGAACAAACAGCUUGUACCUUUUCGAAGUAUGGUUGUCAAGAAAAAAACUAAUGAUAAUAGCAAUAAAGAAAGAAAAGUAUGCUUUGCAGUUCGACAAACUGAAAAAUCAAAGAUUCGAGUUCUUAUCCGAGUCGACAGCUAUGUUUGCACGGGUUGCCCGCAUAUGUCGUGCUUACAGGAUUUGACUUUUACCAAAAAAAAAAAAAAAAAAAAAGAAAGAAAGAAAGAAAGGGUUUUGAACAUUGAAUUCACCUAACAUGAAUCAAACAAAUGCGCACACAUCGAUUGUGUCCUUUUGCAUUUAAGUACCUUGGCACGCCUGUUUUAGGAGUGUUUUAGAAAAACAAAAUUUUACUAUUAAAAUGUUUAUUUAAGGUGACACUUUAAAACACUCACAAGUCUUAAAAUAGGGAUAAUUUCAAAAAUCUCCCUUGAAAUUUUUAACAAUUGCACUUAAAUACUCCCGAAUAUUAGAAAUUAUACUGCCCUCUCCUUGAAUGACAUGUUUUAUAACUAUUUUAGCCCUUGUCAAGAAAAGCUUCCUUAAAAAUUGAGAAAAAGUACUGACACAAAAGAGUCUUGAUUCAUCACAUUUAAUCUGUAAGCUUUUAAAUCGAACUUCUUAUAAUUUGCAUGUUUCCACCUUCAAAUCGACUGGCUCUCCAUACUGGGUCCAAGUGAUGCAAUUUCAGCCAACACGUUUGCGUAUAAGGGGUGUUCAAUUAUUCCACAACCAUUCUUUGAAGGUUAAUUCUAGAAUGAAGCCUUGGACUUAUUCACGCUCUGAACCUUGUUAACAUGUCAUAUUCCAAAUUAAUAAUUUAAGCUCAGGUAGUACGUAAGAAGCUCUUGGUACUUUCGUAGAAGCUGUAGCAGACGGCCAAGGUCACUUCCAGUGAUUUUCUCGCUAUUGCUAAUAAUUAAGUUUUUGUCCAGUUUUGUCUUAUGCAUGGUCAUCACUAUCAAUCAUCCACAAAAUUAUACAUCAACGUCGAAUCUCAAUAGCAGUAAUGUGAAAAUGUGAAAAUAAAACAUCAACAAGAGUUUCUUGGUAUACCCUGGAUUUAGAACCCGUCAACCUGAGAUUGUAGAAAGUAUAGAAAAUCGGUAUUGAAAGUUCAGUAUACAGUAGUGUUCUUAGAAGCGGGAGUUUGAUUGCCCCAAGAGUGUGAUUCCAAAAGAUCACCAGUCGUCAGAUUUGGGGUGAGCAAUUUUAUGAAAUUUAGAGAGUCAAUCAAAUUCAACAUGAUCUUGUUAAGUUGUUUUAACUGGAUGCUUAUGUUAGCAGGCAACAUCAUGGGCACAAGGAAAUGCAUAUCAUAAAAUUUUGCAGGCGGUAGACUUUGCCUCUACUCAUAAUAUUUUUCUAGCUACAGGUUCUACAUGCUAGCCUACUGUUUCACCAACAUUUUGCUUGCGGCAGAUAAGAAGUUUUCUCAAGAAUGAAGGUAGCUUUUACUAUGAAGUUGAUGAUGUUGCCAUCGUAGAUAGAACACAAGAAAGUGUUUACAAAUGGCUAUGUUGUUUGAAGACUAUAUAUAUAUCCAGAACUUUUGCAUCAAUUAUAUGUUCAUCGUUUACAUUUAUUUGACAUAGUUUUUGCCUGAGCCGUGAACUAUAUGGAAGACUGCUUUAUCAUUUUGGAAUCUCAUCUGAGUUGUUACUAAAUCAUUCUUCUGCUUUAGUUUUCUUGCAGCUACUGUACUUUUUCUGAGCUGCAAUGAGCUUAUGUCUUUGUUCUCCUUGAUGUUGUUGAAGUACCAAUAUGCUCAUUAAUCUCAAAAUUUGCCUAUUAGAGGAAUCCCUGACAAGUUUUUAAUGUGGGGAGGCAACAAUUUGGCUUAAUUCCAGAAAAUUGUUUUUGGCAAUUCAAUCUGAGAAGAUUCAACUAAGCGGAUGUUGUUAGCCUGUGAUUUUUGGAAUGCUUUGGUGAAAAAUAUGCAGCUGCAAAACAUGAAAACACCACUGUGCUACAUCUGCCUAAAGAGGGAUCACUUGCCCUUUCAUUAGCCGAAUAUUGGUUUUCUUCAAGUAAAUUAAAAAUUCAUGAAGGAAUAACUUCAAAAAAUUCAUUGUAACAUACAUGGCCAUAUGAUCAAUAUAUUGAGAAUAAAACAAAUGAAGGAAAACGGAUCAAUAACGGAAACACUUUGCAUCAUCCAGUUCUCUACACGAGUUAAAAUUCAAAUGAUAUAAGAGGUUAUGGGAUUUUAAAGUGCAUCCUCUGGGAGUUGUGGCUUGUGGAGGUUCAGUCGGUGAUACUAGAGCUAUUCUAAUCAUAUGUAAUGUCUUGUAGAUAGGGAUACGUAUUAGAACACAAUAGAUUAAUCAAUCAACAUUCAGAGGCUUACUCCAGUCUCCGGUUUUCAUAUUAUAUCCCAUUUUUUUGUGCAGAUUACCACAAAUUAUCUGUUAGGAAAUUUUUUUGUCAAGUUCAGUUGGAGUGAUUGAUCUUGGAGAAGAGGCUGUCCAGAUGGUUUAUGCUAUGUCAAACACAAAUGCCUUAAAUGCACCAAGUGUUGAAUUCAAAGCCAAGCCUCAAUUGAUGACUUUUUCAAGCCAAAAUUGAGGACUUUGAAUUCUUUGGCCUAAGUUUCUAAAUCCCACAUCGGUUAAGUUUAACAUUUGAGAGGUUGUUUGAGAACUAUAAAUAGCUCUCAAACAAACCAAUUCAAGUACACCAAGCAAGAGCCAAUAACUUGCUUUCUUCUCUCUCUUUGUAAUAUUUCUUCUAGUGAAAUAUUAAAUUGUCGGUAGUGUCCGAGGACGUAGGCAAAUUAGCCGAACCUCGUUAAAUUCUGGUGUUCUAUUUUAUUGUCUAUUUAGUAGCUAUAUUUGUAGGUAUAUUUGUAGUGAGUUAUUGUGCAAUUAAGUGCAUAUAUAGGUGAUUCUGUCUAGGAAAUUGGUACUUAAGCAGGCCAGUGUGCCUCACCAAAUAUUUCCUGGGAAUUACCAUUUUGCAAUUUUAGGUACAAUAAUUUACUCGUUAUACCUUAACUUUGGUAGGGCUUCCGCAACAAUUGGUAUCAGAGCUCGAGGUUUCUUAGUAUGCUCUGUGGUUGCAGCAUGGUCUGAUCUUCCACAUCAGAAAAGAUUUCUUGGGCUAUUGUUACUCUACAUUUAGGAGCUACUAAAUAUAAUUUGUAGAGAUGGCCGAAAGUAGAUCUUCAUCUACAAUGCAAGCAUCAACAAGCUCGUCAUUAUCUAUUAUGGCGAGAAAUGUUAUGACGAAUACAAAAUUAAAUGUGGAGACAUUUGAUGGUACCGGUCAUUUCGGCAUGUGGCAAAGUGAGAUUCUAGACGCGCUCUUUAAUCAAGGUCUAGACAUUGCCAUCGAAAAAGAGAAACCAGAAGAGAUUGAAGAGAAGGAAUGGAGGACGCUAAAUCGUUUAGCGUGUGGUACAAUUCGAUCGUGUCUUUCAAGGGAACAAAAAUAUGUGUUCUCAAAAGAAACCUCUGCAAAUAAAUUAUGGACUGGAUUGGAGGAGAAGUUCUUGAAGAAAAAUUGUCAGAACAGGCUCAACAUGAAGAAGCGUUUAUUUCGCUUCACUUAUGUUCCUGGCACAACUCUAAGUGAUCACAUCACUAAUUUCAAUCAGUUAAUCACUGAUCUGAUGAAUUUAGAUAUGACAUUUGAAGACGAAGAUUUGGCUCUCAUGUUGUUGGGAUCUCUUUCUGAGGAGUUUGAGCAUCUUGAAACAACUCUACUCCAUGGGAAAGCUGAGGUGUCCCUCAGUGAAGUUAGCUCUGCCCUGUACAGCUAUGAGCUCAGAAGAAAAGACAAGCAAAAUAGCAGAGAUGGAGCAGCAGAAGCUCUGGUAACUAGAGGACGCUCACAAAACCAGAGAAAGGGGACGAGAAGAAGAUCCAAGUCAAGAGCCAGACUAAGUAAAGAUGAGUGUGCCUUUUGCAGAGAGAAAGGGCACUGGAAGAAGGACUGUCCAAAACUGAAGGGUAGACCUGACAAAGAAAAAGCUGUUGCGGAUUCAAAUGUAUCUGAGUGCAUUGAUCAAAACUCAGAUUUUUCAUUAGCUGUCAUGCCUACUGGUCAUUCUAGUACAUGGCUAUUGGACUCAGGUUGUAGCCAUCAUAUGACGUCCAAUAGAGAAUGGUUCUUUGAUUUCAAGGAAAAAGAAGGUGGAGUCGUCUACACGGCAAAUGAGACCACAUUAGUAACAAAUGGGGUUGGUUCAAUUCGGCUGAGGAAUCAGGAUGGAUCAAUUAAGAUUCUAACUGAUGUCCGAUAUGUGCCAGAAUUGAAAAAGAACCUCAUUUCUGUGGGAGUACUAGAAUCAAUGGGCUACAAGGUGUCGGCAUAUAAUGGAGUGAUGAAAAUCAUUUCAGGUGCAUUGGUGCUGGUGAAAGGAAUCCGGAAAAAUAAUAACUUGUAUUACUAUCAAGGUAAUGCAGUUGUUGGAGUAGCGGCCGUGGCUUCCAGUGAUGAUCGAGAAUUGAAAGUAACCAGAUUAUGGCAUAUGCGCUUAGGGCAUGCCGGAGAAAAAUCUUUGAAUCUUCUGAUGAAUCAAGGACUAUUAAAAGGAGCCAGUGUUUGCAAGUUAGAUUUUUGCGAGCAUUGUGUCAAAGGAAAGCAGACAAGGGUAAAAUUUGGCACUGCAAUUCACGAUACCAAGGGUAUUUUGGAUUAUGUGCACUCUGAUGUGUGGGGACCUUCCAAAACAACUUCUUUGGGAGGCAAGAAUUAUUUUGUUACCUUUGUCGAUGACUUCUCUCGAAGAGUAUGGGUGUAUACUAUGAAGGCGAAAAGUGAAGUAUUGGGAAUUUUCAUCAAGUGGAAAAAGAUGGUGGAAACUCAAACAGAAAGAAAGAUCAAACGCCUUCGAACAGACAACGGAGGUGAAUACACUAGUGAUCCGUUCAUGGAGGUCUGUGAAAAUGAAGGCAUUGUUCGGCACUUCACAGUCAGAGAUACACCACAGCAAAACGGGGUGGCAGAGCGUAUGAACCGGACAUUGGUGGAGAAAGUUCGGUGUAUGUUGUCCAAUGCUGAGUUGGGCAGACAAUUUUGGGCUGAGGCUUUAGCAUAUGCAAAUCACCUCGUUAAUCGCUUACCAUCAACUGCUAUUGGCGGCAAAACGCCAUUAGAGAAAUGGUCGGGAAAACCUGCUACAGAUUAUGAUUCCUUACAUGUGUUUGGUUCUACUGCAUAUUAUCAUGUUAAAGAAUCAAAGUUGGAUCCAAGGGCGAAGAAGGCGCUCUUUAUGGGGAUCACAACAGGCAUUAAAGGUUAUCGCCUUUGGUGUCCCGAAACGAAAAAGAUAGUUUUCAGCAGGGAUGUCACCUUUGAUGAAUCUACCAUGUUAACAAAGGUAGAUGUACAGCAGAAUGAUAGUACUCCCCAACAGGUGGAGAGCACUCCUAAGCAGAUGGAGUUUGAAAGAAGCAUUAUCAGACCAGCAGUGGAUAUCGGAGUAGAUGAAAGGACUCCUAUGGUAGAAGAAGAAUCAACUGAAGAAAAUGUUCCAGUUGAAGAACUUUCACAGCAACAUGAAUCAAUUGCAACCAGUAGGCCAAAGAGGACAAUCAGAAAACCUGCUCGUUUUGCUGAUAUAGUGGCCUAUGCAUCCCCAACCAUAAAUGUUGAUAUUCCUGCCACUUUCAAUGAAGCAGCUCAAAGUUCGGAUAAAGAAAAGUGGAGGAUUGCAAUGGAUGAAGAAGUACAUUCCCUUCAUAAGAAUCAAACAUGGAGGCUAACCAGUCUUCCAAAGGGAAAGAAGGCAAUCGGAUGCAAGUGGGUAUAUGCAAAGAAGGAAGGAUUUCCUGACAAGUCUGGUGUUCGCUACAAAGCAAGAUUGGUGGCUAAAGGCUACGCUCAGAAGGAGGGAAUUGAUUACAACGAAGUGUUUUCUCCAGUCGUGAAACAUUCCUCCAUCAGAAUUUUAUUGGCUUUGGUAGCACAAUUGGAUCUGGAACUUGUCCAAUUAGAUGUAAAAACUGCGUUUUUACAUGGUGACUUGGAAGAGGAAAUCUACAUGACUCAGCCAGAAGGAUUCAAAGUUGCUGGUAAAGAAAAGAUGGUAUGCAAGCUUGACAAAUCGUUGUAUGGAUUGAAGCAGUCUCCAAGACAGUGGUAUAAGCGAUUUGACAAGUUUAUGAUGGGGCAAAGGUACACAAGAAGCAAAUAUGAUGAUUGUGUAUAUUUGCGCAAGCUACGAGAUGGAUCCUACAUAUAUCUUCUUCUUUAUGUUGAUGAUAUGUUGAUAGCUUCCAAGGAUCAAGGUGAGAUUGAAAAAUUGAAAUCUCAUUUGAGUCGGGAGUUUGAAAUGAAGGAUCUCGGCGAAGCCAAGAAAAUUCUCGGCAUGGAGAUAAGUAGAGAUAGAAGAUUGGGGAGGCUUUAUUUGACACAGAAAGAGUAUCUUAGUAAAGUAUUAAAGAGGUUUGGUAUGAAUGAAAAGACUAAACCUGUUAGUACUCCACUUGCUCCUCAUUUCAAGUUUAGUGCAUCGUUAUCUCCAAAGAAUGAUGCAGAACGAGAAUAUAUGGCAAAGGUACCGUAUGCAAAUGCGGUGGGUAGCUUGAUGUAUGCUAUGGUGUGUACAAGGCCCGACAUUUCACAAGCAGUUGGAGUUGUGAGCAGGUACAUGCAUGAUCCUGGCAAGGAGCAUUGGCAAGCUGUGAAAUGGAUUUUACGGUAUAUUUUGAACACCGUAGAUGUUGGAUUAGUAUUUGAGCGGGAUGAGAAGAUUGGUCAAGGCGUAGUUGGAUAUUGUGAUUCCGACUACGCAGGAGAUCAAGAUACACGUCGAUCAACGACUGGGUAUGUUUUUACACUUGCUAAGGCACCAGUCAGUUGGAGGUCUACCUUACAGUCAACAGUUGCUUUGUCUACUACAGAGGCGGAGUAUAUGGCAGUUACGGAAGCUGUUAAGGAAGCAAUUUGGCUUCAUGGAUUGCUUGAUGAAUUGGGAAUUGGACAGAAGUCUAUCAAAGUUCAUUGUGAUAGUCAGAGUGCUAUUCAUUUAGCAAAGAACCAAGUUUAUCAUGCAAAGACGAAGCAUAUCGACGUACGGUAUCAUUUUGUGAGGAAGAUUUUGGAAGAUAGUACGAUACUACUUCAAAAGAUUCAGACCAAGGAGAAUCCUGCUGAUAUGCUUACGAAGGUUGUGACAACUAUCAAAUUCCAACAUUGUUUGAAUUUGAUAAAUGUUGUGCACAACUUGAAGAUUGGCGCUUGACAACGCAUUUGAAGACACCACCGAAUUUGAGGGAAAAAAAUUUGUAUUUUUGGUGGGAUUAGAAAUUAUGCCAAGGUGGAGAUUUGUUGAAUUCAAAGCCAAGCCUCAAUUGAUGACUUUUUCAAGCCAAAAUUGAGGACUUUGAAUUCUUUGGCCUAAGUUUCUAAAUCCCACAUCGGUUAAGUUUAACAUUUGAGAGGUUGUUUGAGAACUAUAAAUAGCUCUCAAACAAACCAAUUCAAGUACACCAAGCAAGAGCCAAUAACUUGCUUUCUUCUCUCUCUUUGUAAUAUUUCUUCUAGUGAAAUAUUAAAUUGUCGGUAGUGUCCGAGGACGUAGGCAAAUUAGCCGAACCUCGUUAAAUUCUGGUGUUCUAUUUUAUUGUCUAUUUAGUAGCUAUAUUUGUAGGUAUAUUUGUAGUGAGUUAUUGUGCAAUUAAGUGCAUAUAUAGGUGAUUCUGUCUAGGAAAUUGGUACUUAAGCAGGCCAGUGUGCCUCACCAAAUAUUUUCUGGGAAUUACCAUUUUUGCAAUUUUAGGUACAAUAAUUUACUCGUUAUACCUUAACUUUGGUAGGGCUUCCGCAACACCAAGAACAUCAGUGGGAGACAAUGUAGAUGUACUGGAGAAAUAUCUAAAUGGAAGAAGAUAUCAUCUCUACACCAAAAGGUGAUAAAACAUGAUCUGCAUUUUGCGACAUGUCUUCCCCUCAUCGACCAUAUAAUUGUUUCAACUCCCAUUCUCCUCUGAGUCUAUUUUGGUGAAACUGACCUCCUAUUUUGCAGGUGUAUCCCUCUUAUGUUUCAUGAUGUUUUUCCUGUUUUCUUCUUCCCGUUGUAAAUAUUGAAUGCUUUUCGUGAUAUUUCAACACAUUGACAGUUGUGAGAAGUAUGGCAUACUCUCGGUUCGAGCCGAAAUUCUCGAGUUCUUCAAUAACACUAGCAAUCCAUGUGUUUUAGAAGGCUUUCAUGGUAAGGAAUACUUGAGCCCUGAAUUCUAGUUUGUAGUGAGCACUACGGUAUUUUUCUGUGUUUCCUCCUUUCUUUAUGUAGAUAUGCCUUUUUGUGCAUCAUCAGGUCAAUAGGAAAACCAUAUUAGCUCCCAUGCUGACUAGCAAACUAUAAUGAACAUAUGGAACAUUAGUUACAUAUUUAUCUGUUUGUCUGCACAAAUUGAAGUGUAAAGCAUGUCAGCCAACGGGUUUUGGUCUCAUAAUCUCAUUGAACAUACCUCAUUCGCUCUUAAUUCGCCCAGGAACUUACAGAUAUGGAGAAGAAAAAUAUUAUGUAACUGCAGUGACGGAGACAGGAUUUUUUCCUUGGGGGGCCAAAAUUUUUUAGAACAAAAUUAUCUUAAUAUGUUAUGUUCAAACUAAUUUUUGUUUAUUUAAAUAUCUGACAUCUUAAAAUAUCAAAUAUUAAUUUUAAUUAUAAAGGUAUGUCUAUUUCAUAAAUAUGUAGUGACGGGUGUUUACUAUAAGUGCAAGUUUAAUUCCGAAUUAUACCCGUUUUUUCUGCAAGUAUACAGGCCAAAAGCGUAGUAUUGGGUAUGUAUCGGGUCGAUCCCACGAGAAGCAAUUAGAACAAUUAUUAGAUACUAAUUUACUCUAUUAUUUAGACUCACAAUAAAUUUGAGCAGAAAAUUCAGAAUUUAAUUCAACUACAAAAAUUCUUAGCUAGAUAAAUGCAAUUCACAAUAGGAGUAGAAUUCACUAAGUAUUAAGAUCUAGGGAUGUAGAUUCCACAUAUAAUACAAAAGAUCUAAAACGAAUGAAUUUAACACUUAUUACUACUCUUGUUUAACCAAGGAUUCAUUUCCAAUAAUACCAAAAUCACAUUCUCAUGAUAAUAAUGGGUUAAAACAGAUUAGUUUUCCCUAAUCUCUUGGUAAAUACUAAUUCUGUUUUGUGCACACAGGAAAUGUAAAUUUCAUCCACUUGAAUGUAUUUCUAUUCUCAUGAAUAUACUACUCAAGCUCUACUUAUGUCAUUCCAUUAUUUUUACCAUUUCUCAAUGAGUAAAAACAACUACAAACCUGCUAUUGGUGAUCAAACAACAACAAGUAAUCCAACAUACACAAGUAGAUAGGUUAAUAUAUACAAGAUAUAACAAGUAUAAAUCACAAUCACUUCAUAUCACUUGACCAUAAGUUUCAUCUACUCCCUAGAUUAAGGAAAUUAGCUACUCAUGAAUAAUGAAACACUCAGAACUUCAUUAAUGCAAAUCAUCAUGAAUUACAAAUACAAAAAGAGUAAAGAAAGUCUUAGCCAAGAUAUGGUGAAGCCUUCCAAAAAAUCUCCUUUGUCUUGAACUUAGAUGAUUACAAGAUGAAACCUCAAUUGCCCCUUGCAAGUACCUAGCUAGAGAGAAUAUGUUUUUCUGUAAGAAGCUAAGCUACGUAUGGCUCAGGCUUCUCCUCUGUGUUUCUGCAUAAAAGGUGGGAGAAAUUCCAUUCCUCUCACUUCAUAAUUUCCUCCACUCAGAUUUUGUAAAAAGAAGUCAAAGAUAUGAUAUUUCCUUUUGUCCAUACUCAUUUGGUCUUCUCUUUUGUUGCAGAAGCAUGUGCCACCGAUUUCUGUCCCUCAAAAUAGCUGGAAAGUAGUCUGAACACAAGAGGAAUGGCUGAGCAAAUUGCAAAUUUUCGGCUACAAAACGCGCCUACACAAAACGCGGCAUAAACUCGCGUUUUGUAUACUCGCGUUUUCACUCUGCCCUUAAUUCAACUGCGAUUUUCUCCAUGAUGAAGACCGAACUGGCUUUUGUGCAAAACCCAAAAGUUGUAGCCCUUUGAGUUAGCUUUCCAAUGCUAUAAAAAUCACCCAAAUCGAAGUUGUACAGCUUGAGAUAUGGUCGAAAUACUAUCACCUGGUCAAACCUCUGUUUCCAAUUCCGACCACAGAGUGCAGCUUCUGUAUUCCGACUUUUUGUCCAUGAAAAUGGCAGAAUUGGAUUUCGAUGUCUUCAUACGAAUUGUAGGUCUCUUUCUUAGCUUUAAAAUGGUAUAAAUAUCACCUUAAUCCAAUAAGUGUAGCUCCAGAUAUGGUCAAAAUACUGAAGAGUGUCAACACUGAUUUGUAUUGCAUUUCCUUACUUGAACGUUUUUCACUUCAUUCUUCUGGUUAUCACUUGAAUUCAUCACCAAAUUUCUAUUUUCAUCUCAUUUGACAUCCUUUGGUGAUUGAAUCAUCAUUCCUGCAUAAAAAUGAAGUUUUUACCAUUAAAAUCACUAAAAAUGCAAUAUUAUCCACUUUUACCAAAAAUAUAUAAUUUUACCAAAAACCUCUUUAUUUUAUUUAUAAAACUAAACAAUCAACUCAAAAUUAACUAAUAAAAUGCGCUUAAAAAUACGUAAAAUAAACUCUUAUCAAAUACCCCCACACUUGAAUCAUUGCUUGUCCUCAAGCAAUAUAAAAUUCCAACCAUCAAUGAUCCAAAAAUUUGAAAAUAAACAUAUGUAGUAUUUCAACUCCGUUUCCUUAUAUCAAGGUAAAUAACCCUUAUGUGAUCUUUUAAUUAACCUUAAGUACUCAUCAUAUCAAGCAAAGAGGAGCUAAAUAUACCAUAAUUUUUAUCAAUUCAACUCAAUUUUUUAUUUUUAUCCAAUUUCGCAAGCAAGCAACUCCUAUAGUCAAUAAAGAUGCUAACUAAUCUCAUGAUCAACUUCUUAUUUUUCUUUUAAAGAGGGAUUUAUUUUACUUACUCAUCUCUCUCUUUUUUUAUUUUUUUUAUUUUUUUAUAUAUUUUAAGGGUUAAAUAUUACUUAAGUUGUGAAAAAUGCCUUUUGACGCGAAGAUCAACAUUUUUAGAUGAAGAUCCCCGGUUACUCAACAUUUCACAUACUCAAGUUACUUUUCAUACUCUUAAUUUAAGUACCGUUUUACGCGAAAAUCGACAUUUGUAAAUGAAGACUCCCGGUUACUAAGUACAAAAACCAUUGGAGUAGAAUAAACCCUUUUUUUUUAAAUAUAUAUAUAUAAUAAAAUUCCCUCUAAGAAUAAUCAUGAGAAAAGUAUGACACUUAUUGACCAUAUUAAUUUCUUAUCUUAUAAAAUCAGAUAAAAAGAAGCAUUUUCAUCAAAUAUGCAAAAUGUAGGUAUAAUUUUCUCCACUUUACUAGAUAUACUUUCCUAUAGAUGUAAAAAUUAUAAUCACAUAAAAAUCAUUUCCAAAUUCCAUGAGAAAAGAAAUUUCAAAACCACAUAUACUUAUUUUAAAAGGAUAAGUGACAAAAUUUUAUUUAUUUUAUUAUGGUUAAUAACAUAUAUAUAUGUAUAAGGUUUUGGAAAAAUUUUGACAGAAUCUCCCCUUAAAAGUGGACUAAACUCCCUGCCAGCAACCACAAGAAACACAAUUUUAAGCACAAGAAUUAUAUCAAACACAACUAAAUCCACAAGUACCACACAUAUUUCUCCCCCACACUUAAAUUACACAUUGUCCUCAAUGUGUAGGGAAAGAAAAGAAAAGAAACAAAAGAAAGGAACAAGUGACUCCCCAAGUGAUAUGGCUGCGGUCCAGUGAAGCCUUGAAUGAUGAGCCAUCGACCGCUCAACCAUCUACAGUCAACGAUCUACUAGUUACUGCCACAAGUUCCAAUAUUCAAAAUAAGGAAUGUAAGUUAACAUUUUUCAAACAAAAGAUAAAAAUAACACGCAAACAAGCAAACAAAAGAAAAGCCAGCCAAAGGGCAGCCUCAAUCAUCCUCUUCAUCAUCAUCUUCAUCAUCAUUGACGGGAGGUGGAUGUACGCCUAGAUGAUGUUCAAUGUGGUCUAGGCGAGUAUCCAGUCGGGCUAAAUGAUGGUCGAUGUCGUCCAAGCGACCGAAAAGCCGCUGCCAAUUGGUUUGUGGCGGAGGAGGAGGUGGUGCUGAAGUAGAUGUUCCAGCUUCAUCGCGACCAUGUCUAGCCUUCUGUCGCCGCUCCUGAACAGGACGUGGAACGUUCCCCGUGCCAAUACCAAGGCGGCAAAGAGUAGUGAUAGUCAUCUCAGCACGUGGAGGAACAUUCUCCCGCCUCAUACCUUCCAAUCGAACCUCAAAACGGGUGAAGAUUAAAGUCAGUAGACGAGGAAAUGAAAGUUUGAAGGAAGUUGUCUUACGCCUCGCCGUAGACCUAAUGUGGCUGAUGAUGAUGUUCGGCAAUGAAAUUCGAGCAUACGGGGAAGUUCGGUUGUGGAACAUGUAAUCAAGGAAGUAAAUAUCGCUCUUGCGAACCUCCGUAUGCCCCGUCUUCUUUGGGAUGACAUUGUGAGCCAUCAUGUAAAUGAUAAGCCGAUGACGAGAUUCGAAGACAUUCGCCAAAAUGGUCUCCUUCCUUGUAGAGCGAAAAGGUUGGUACUCAAGACCAAACCUGGCCAUGGCCAGCGAGGGAUCCCACCUCCUAUUCGGGGGAACAAACUCCUUCUUCAAAUCUACUGGACGGCCGUCAUCCAUACACCCCAAAAUAGCGGCCAAAUCUUGACAUGACAAGUUGAUUCUUCUUCCACGUACCCAGGACUCAACCAUUUCUCCACUAUGACGCGCCUUACUCUCAAUGUUAGCGUAAAACUCGCGCACCAAGUCGGGGUAGUAAUGGUUUGGUAGGGUGAGAAUCGGCGCCCAUCCCAACUGAGCAAAAGCUUCUGAGAUGUUAUACAUCAUCUCAACUGUUGGGUUGACAUGCAUCUCAAAUAGGAACUCCAAGUUAGCAUGCUCCUCAUGCCAUUCUUGAUUCCUGCGACUAUUGAACCUAGCACCGUCAAAUACCGAUCUACCCGCUCCACGGGAGGUGCCCUCACCAGGCUGUCGGUUAACUGGUGGAGGAGAAGGUGAAUUCUCCUCCUCAGUCACCUCCAUCUCCUCAUUAACCUCCCUCUCCUCACUACUAGAGGAUGAAAGUACCGCUCUUCUUCCCCUUGGCAUAGUACCUAAAAGAAAAUGUUGCAAUUAACCACAUGUAUUUAGACACAAUGCACAAUUUGGCAAUGAAUAUCCUAAAAUGAUCCAAAUAAUCUCUAAUGUGUCCUUACAAGUGACAAUUCGUCAAUAACUAAUGUAAAAGACCGGAUCAAGAAGAAGCCAUAAUUUAUGCCAAAAAUUUCUCAAAAUCACCAAUUGAAACAAGAUAUUGAAUAAUUAUAACCCAAUCAGUGAAAUUAACAACAAUUAUGAUUAUAACUAUUUAAACUUAACAAUAAAAAUAUACUUAUAGCUAUAAUCAUGUUUAAGCAAAAAUUAAACCAAUUAACUCACCAAAUCAACCAAAUUAUUCACUAUACACAAUGCACAUGCUCAAACAUCACCAACUAGCCAUUCUUAACCAUAAUUAAACAUCACCAAUGGCUCAAAAACAUCCUAACUUCAUUUGUCAAUUUCCUUCAAAUAUAGCAAUUAUGAAUUUAUAAAGCAAUAAUGACCAACAAAUUGCUACAAUUAAACUCAUAAACAUACUUAAACAAUCUCAAUGAGCAUGAAUAAAUUCAAAAACAGUCAAAUACAUCAUCAAAUUGUCGACAUUAAAAGAUGUCAGAUAGCUCAGGAUAAAAAAUAUGACUUUCAAAAAUCAAAAGAUUCGAUGAAGAAACUUACCUCAAUCACGUAGAAGGAUGUUUGGUGAUGCUAAAAAUGCAAAAAGCCCUAUGAAACAACCUCCAAUUGACCUCCAAUUGAAGAAAUUAGAGUUGAAGAACCCUAACCUUCAAUCCUUCAAAAACUGAAUUUGAGGUGUUUUUCUUGAUUUUAAUCAGUUAAAAAGGUUGUAUGAAACUCAAAAGGUGUUGGGUGGAUGUUUUCUAGCAAGAUUAUGCAACAAAAUGGAAGAUUUGUGAGUUGGGUAGAAGAGAAAAAGAAAAACGCGCCUGGAAAAUUAAGAACAGAGGCAGAAAUGAAGCUGAAAUCGCGUUUCUGAAGCCUAUAUAGGGACACAGAAAACGCGACUAGAAACGCGCCUUCAACUCGCGUUUCUAAAGUCGCGUUUUAUGUACAAAUCUUGCAGGAUACAAAACGCGGCUAUGUUAUAAAACGCGACUUUUAGUCGCGUAUUUGAAGUCGCGUUUUUGGAUUAUGAUCCAGGCUUGAAAACGCGAUUUAGCUGAUAAACGCGACUUGGUGUCGCGUUUUUUAAGCGCGUUUUCUUCAGUCUCGUUGCAGAAUUUGAAACGCGCUUUGAUGAAAACGCGAUUCAUAAGCGCGUUUUCAUGCUUGUUGCGUUUUCUUCUGCAAUUUUUUUUUUGCAGAAAAUGAACUUUGAAAAAUUACCAUUGGUACCCCAAUCACUCAAAAUGCAUCAUGGAUCAUUUGUUUCCAAAUCUUAUCAAUGUGCGCACAUGUAAAAUGAUAACAACAUGCAUUUUACCCCUUUAUAAUGAAUCAAAAACACCUUUAACACAAAUCGAGGGGUUGAGUUGCUUGAUCAAAGUUUGCCCUUUUCACCUCAAAUGGUCAUUCUUGCUUCCAUUUGCCAACCCUAUAACACAAAAACAACAAAUUAACUAAAACACUUAUUUAAGUCUAAAAAUCACCAAAAAAUUAACACAAAUAACAUAAACAUUGGGUUGCCUCCCAAUUAGCGCUUUUGUUUAUAGUCGUUUGCUCGACUCACAUAUUAGGGUUCUUAAAUUGAAGAGGGUUCACCCAAAAGACAUAUAAGCCCCUUGGGUACGAUUUCACCUGCCAGGUAGGGUUUUAAUCGUUGUCCAUUGACCUUAAACCUUUCAUUUCUUGAAUUUGCCACUUCAACCGCUCCAUAGGGAAAUACUUGAGUGACUUCAAAUGGUCCAGACCACCUUGAUUUCAAUUUUCCUGGAAAUAACCUCAGGCGUGAAUUGAAUAAAAGCACUUUUUGCCCUACCUGAAAUUGUUUAGAAAUAAUGUGCUUGUCAUGCCAAUAUUUGAUCUUUUCUUUAUAAAUUUUGGCAUUUUCGUAUGCAUGUAACCGGUGUUCCUCCAAUUCACUCAGCUCAAGUAAUCUCCUUCCACCUGCAAGAUUAAAAUCCAUAUUAAUUGCUUUAAUAGCCCAAUAAGCUUUAUGUUCAAUCUCUACAGGUAAGUGACAAGAUUUUCCAUAGACUAAACGAUACGGCGACAUCCCUAAAGGAGUCUUAAAUGCCGUUCGGUAAGCCCAUAGUGUGUCAUCUAGCUUUGUAGCCCAAUCCUUGCGUGAUUUAUUCACAGUUUUCUCCAAAAUGAGCUUUAUCUCACGAUUAGCUAGCUCCGCUUGUCCAUUGGCUUGAGGAUGGUACGGGAGUGAUGUCUUGUGCCUACAGCCAUAUUUAAACAAUAAGGAAUCCAGUUGUUUGUUACAAAAAUGUUUUCCUUCAUCACUUAUUAUGGCCUUAGGUAUACCAAAUCUACUGAAAAUAUUCUUUUUAAGGAAUCUAAGUACAAUCUUAGAGUCAUUAGUAGGUGAAGCGAUUGCUUCUACCCAUUUAGAAACAUAAUCCACUGCUACUAAGAUGUACUUAUUAUUAAAAGAACUAGGAAAUGGUCCCAUAAAAUCUAUACCCCAUAUAUCAAAUAAUUCAACUUCUAAGAAGGUAGUUAGGGGCAUUUCAUUCUUUCGAGAUAUAUUUCCAGUUCUUUGGCAUGCAUCACAACUUUUAACAUAUUCCCGAACAUCUCGGUACAUAGUUGGCCAAUAAAACCCUGAUUGCCAUACCUUUGCCACAGUUUUUGAAGUGCUAAAAUGACCACCUGUUUCAAGGUUAUGACAAUGAUAUAAAAUAUUAUGUACCUCAUUUUCGGGAAUACAUCUACGUACCAUACCAUCGGCACAAUGCUUAUACAGCAAUGGUUCCUCCCAAAAGUAACUUUUGACAUCAUGUAAGAAUUUCUUCUUUUGAUGGUAAUUAAUUCCCCUUGGAAUCUCUCCACUUACCAAAAAAUUAGCAAUAUCAGCAUACCAUGGAGAAUUGAUAAUUGCUAGGACAAACUCAUCCGGAAAAUUCUCUUGAAUAGGAACUUGAUCCUUGAUUGGAAUAUAUUCUAGGCGUAAUAGAUGAUCCGCUACUAGAUUCUCCGUUCCCUUUUUGUCUUUUAUCUCCACAUCAAAUUCCUGCAAUAAAAGAAUCCACCGAAUUAGUCUUGGUUUUGCAUCUUUUUUAUGUAACAAAUAUUUAAGAGCUGCAUGGUCCGUAUAUAUAAUAACUUUAGAUCCUACUAAAUAAGAUCUAAAUUUAUCCAAAGCAAAUAUCACUGCCAAUAGCUCUUUUUCUGUAGUUGCAUAAUUGAGUUGUGCCUCAUUUAGCAACUUGCUAGCAUAGUAAAUGACGUGCAACCGUCCUUCCUUCUUUUGUCCCAAAACUGCUCCAACCGCAUAAUCACUUGCAUCACACAUCAAUUCAAAUGGUAGUGACCAAUCGGGCGAAGUUAUAAUUGGGGCCGUAAUCAAUUCCUUCUUCAACCUUUCAAAUGCAACCAAACAAUUGUCAUCAAAUUGAAAAGGGGUAUCUUUACAUAAUAAGUCACAUAAUGGCUUUACUAUUUUAGAAAAAUCUUUAAUAAAACGUCUAUAAAAGCCAGCAUGUCCUAAAAAACUCCUUAUCCCCUUGACAUUGCUUGGGGGUGGCAAUUUUUCGAUAACUUCUAUUUUGGCUUGAUCCACCUCAAUUCCCUUGGAGGAAAUCUUGUGUCCUAAGACAAUUCCUUCUUUUACCAUAAAAUGGCAUUUCUCCCAAUUCAGCACAAGAUUUGUUUCCUCGCAUCUCUGCAAAAUCAAUUCCAAAUUAUGAAGACAAUGGUCAAAAGAUGAACCAUACACAGAAAAAUCAUCCAUAAAUAUCUCCAUAAUUUUCUCAAUAUAAUCAGAAAAAAUAGCCAUCAUGCAUCGUUGAAAAGUUGCAGGAGCAUUGCAUAAACCAAAUGGCAUUCUUCUAAAGGCAAAAGUGCCAUAAGGACAUGUAAAUGUAGUCUUCUCUUGAUCCUCUGGAGCUAUAGCUAUUUGAUUAUAUCCUGAAAAACCAUCAAGAAAACAGUAAAAUUCAUAUCCAGCUAUUCGCUCCAAUAAUUGAUCAAGAAAUGGUAGGGGAAAGUGAUCUUUUCUUGUUACCGUAUUUAACUUACGAUAAUCAAUACACACUCUCCACCCUACCACAAGUCUAGAUGGAAUUAAUUCAUCAUUUUUACCCACGAUUGUAGUCAUUCCACCUUUCUUUGGUACCACAUGAAUUGGACUAAUCCAAACACUAUCGGAGAUAGGAAAAACUAUACUUGCGUCAAACCAUUUAAGAAUUUCAUUUCUUACCACCUCUUUCAUGUUUGGAUUGAGUCUUCUUUGUGUUUCCACCACUGGUUUGCAACCGUCCUCCAAUAGAAUGCGAUGCAUGCAUAUAGAAGGACUUAUACCUUUAAUGUCUGAAAUUGUCCAUCCAAUUGCCUUCUUACGCCUUCUUAGAACUCUUAACAAUUUUGCACACUGCUCAUCAUCAAGGUCAGCACUAACAAUUACAGGUAAAGUUUUAUUUUCUCCAAGAAAUUCAUACCUUAGAUGAGUCGGAAGUGGCUUGAGCUCUAACUUUGGAGGUUCAAUUUCUGAAGGUUGUGAAAACCCUUUUCUUUGGCCAAGACUUUCAUACAAAUUUCCCCUUUUAUAAGGUGCUUGAAAAUCCAAGUACUUGGCCAAUUCUUCAAUUUCUUCACAAACAUCUUCUUGCUUACCUAAACUCAUUAAACAAUACUCAAGAGGAUCUAAAUCCAAGUUGACUUGACUCAUCUCUUGGGUUAGUUUAUCAAUUGUGCCAAUAGAAUAAGCAUGAUCGGUAAAAGAAGGGUAUUUUCCCAUUUCAUGCAAAUUAAACUCUACCUCUUCUUCACCUACUUGAAACUUCAACUUGUCAUUUUUAACAUCAAUAAUAGUACCUGCAGUAGCUAAAAAUGGUCUACCAAGAAAAUUGGCAUAGAUACAUCUUCUUCCAUAUCUAACACCACAAAAUCCACUGGAAUGAUAAAUUUUUGAACUUUUAUCAAUACAUUCUCCAACACUCCCAAUGGAUAUCUAAUAGACCGAUCCGCUAGUUGCAAAGUAAUAUUAGUGCGUUUAAGCUCAUGCAAACCCAAUUGUCUAGCCACCGUUAAAGGUAUUAAUGAUACACUAGCACCAAGAUCACACAAUGCCUUAGAAAAAUCAACGUUACCUAUGGUGCAAGGUAUAGAAAAACUCCCCGGAUCCUUCAACUUCGGUGGUAGCUUGUUUUGAAUAAUUGCACUACAUUCCUCCGUUAAUGCUAUUGUUUCGCAGUCUUCCAACUUUCUUUUUCUAGUCAUGAUUUCCUUGAGAAAUUUCGCAUAAGACGGAAUCUGCAAAAUAGCAUCAGCAAAAGGAAUGUUAAUGUGCAAUUGUUUGAAAAGUUUAACAAAUUUUUCAAAAUCUUUAUCAAACUUAUUUUGCUUUAAUCUUUGUGGAAAUGGAACCGCAGGAGGUAUUGGAAUGGUAGCGGAAGAUGAUGGUUGAUUUUCUCUUGAUUUCUCCCGGCUAUUUUCUUCCACUAUCGCCUCUUCGUUCCUCUGCUUUUCUUCUUGUUUUUCAUUCUCAUCUUUCUCAACUUCCAUCAUUGGAGGAUCUUCUAAUUGCUUACCACUACGAAGAGUAAUGGUUUUGACAUGCUCCUUAGGAUUUACCUCCGUUUUGCUAGGUAAUUCUCCUUGAUUACGAUUAUUCAAAGAACUAGCAAUUUGAUCAAUUUGGACCUCUACAUUCCUGUACAUUGUAGUGAGUUGGUCCAAUCUUCCUUCUACUCGCUCAAAUCUGUCUGAAGUAACUUUUGCGAGUUUUUCCACUGCCAUUUCCCAACCAGGUUUAGUUUCAGCUUGUUGUUGCCUUGAUUGAAAUCCCGGUGGAUUGGCUGGCCUUGGUUGAUUCCCUUGAUCCUUCCAUCCAAAGUUUGGAUGAUUUCUCCACCCCGGAUUGUAAGUAUUCGAGUAGGGGUUAUUUUGAGCAUUACGAUUGUAAUUAUUGACGAAUUGUACCUGCUCAGAAUCAACACAUUCAUUAGUAUCAUGUUCACCUCCACAUAUAGAACAACAUGCUGCAUGUGCAUUAGAUGAACUUGGACUAACUCCACCUUGUCUAUUUAGCAACUUCAUCACAUUAUUCAUUUGAGUACUCAGCAUAUUGAGAGUGUCCAUUUCUAUCAUACCUGCGUGACGUCUUGUAUUACCUCUCUCAUUGGCCCAUUGGUAGUUAUUUGCUGCCAUUUCUUCUAUCAAAUUAUGAGCUUCUUGGGGUGAUUUACCCAUUAAAGCUCCACCUGCAGCUGCAUCGAUUAUAGUUUUAGUAGAAAAAACUAAACCAUUAUAGAAGGUUUGUAUGAUUAACCACUCCGGCAGUCCAUGAUGUGGACAUUUCCGAAGCAAAUCUCUAAACCUUUCCCAUGCCUCAUAUAAUGAUUCACCUUCCAUUUGGCUAAAACUAAUGAUAUCCAUUCUUAGCUUAGCAGUCUUACCUGGUGGAAAAUACUUAUUUAAGAAUGCUCUUGAUAAAUCAUCCUAUCCGGUGAAAGUAUUAGGAGCAUGAGAGUGUAGCCAAAGUUUGGCCUUAUCUCUCAAUGAAAAUGGGAACAAUCUUAGCCUUAUAGCAUCACCACUAACUCCAUUCAUUUUAAUUGUAUCACAAAUUUCCAAGAAUGUAGCUAAGUGUGUAUUAGGAUCUUCUACUGCAUCACCUCCAAAUUGAGAUUGUUGAACCAUUUGGAUAAGUGAUGGUUUAAUCUCAAAAUUGUUAGCAUUUAUCGAAGGCCUUGCUAUGCUUGUUUGAGAUCCUUGUGUUCCCGGUAGAGCAAAAUCUCGUAGAACUCGCCUAUUUGCUUCGUUUUCGCCCAUUUCUUCUUCAAACGGUAGUUCUAUCAAAAUUUCCUCUAUUGGUUGCCAAAUCUCUUGUUCCUCUUGCUGUUGUGUGUGCCUCCUUUGUCUACGUAGUGUCCUCUCAAUUUCUGGAUCGAAGGGUGCGACUUCUCGAGACUCCCGGUGCAUACACUACAAACAGAAAUAAGGGAUAUUAUGCAACUUCAAUGGUCAAAAAUUGAUUACAAUAAAAGAUUAAAUAUAGUCAGCUCAACUAAUAAAAAUAAAUCUGUCUAAAUUAAUAGAGUUGAUUAGGCUCUAAUAUUGCCGCUCCCCGGCAGCGGCGCCAAAACUUGACGGGUGUUUACUAUAAGUGCAAGUUUAAUUCCGAAUUAUACCCGUUUUUUCUGCAAGUAUACAGGCCAAAAGCGUAGUAUUGGGUAUGUAUUGGGUCGAUCCCACGAGGAGCAAUUAGAACAAUUAUUAGAUACUAAUUUACUCUAUUAUUUAGACUCACAAUAAAUUUGAGCAGAAAAUUCAGAAUUUAAUUCAACUACAAAAAUUCUUAGCUAGAUAAAUGCAAUUCACAAUAGGAGUAGAAUUCACUAAAUAUUAAGAUCUAGGGAUGUAGAUUCCACAUAUAAUACAAAAGAUCUAAAACGAAUGAAUUUAACACUUGUUACUACUCUUGUUUAACCAAGGAUUCAUUUCCAAUAAUACCAAAAUCACAUUCUCAUGAUAAUAAUGGGUUAAAACAGAUUAGUUUUCCCUAAUCUCUUGGUAAAUACUAAUUCUGUUUUGUGCACACAGGAAAUGUAAAUUUCAUCCACUUGAAUGUAUUUCUAUUCUCAUGAAUAUACUACUCAAGCUCUACUUAUGUCAUUCCAUUAUUUUUACCAUUUCUCAAUGAGUAAAAACAACUACAAACCUGCUAUUGGUGAUCAAACAACAACAAGUAAUCCAACAUACACAAGUAGAUAGGUUAAUAUAUACAAGAUAUAACAAGUAUAAAUCACAAUCACUUCAUAUCACUUGACCAUAAGUUUCAUCUACUCCCUAGAUUAAGGAAAUUAGCUACUCAUGAAUAAUGAAACACUCAGAACUUCAUUAAUGCAAAUCAUCAUGAAUUACAAAUACAAAAAGAGUAAAGAAAGUCUUAGCCAAGAUAUGGUGAAGCCUUCCAAAAAAUCUCCUUUGUCUUGAACUUAGAUGAUUACAAGAUGAAACCUCAAUUGCCCCUUGCAAGUACCUAGCUAGAGAGAAUAUGUUUUUCUGUAAGAAGCUAAGCUACGUAUGGCUCAGGCUUCUCCUCUGUGUUUCUGCAUAAAAGGUGGGAGAAAUUCCAUUCCUCUCACUUCAUAAUUUCCUCCACUCAGAUUUUGUAAAAAGAAGUCAAAGAUAUGAUAUUUCCUUUUGUCCAUACUCAUUUGGUCUUCUCUUUUGUUGCAGAAGCAUGUGCCACCGAUUUCUGUCCCUCAAAAUAGCUGGAAAGUAGUCUGAACACAAGAGGAAUGGCUGAGCAAAUUGCAAAUUUUCGGCUACAAAACGCGCCUACACAAAACGCGGCAUAAACUCGCGUUUUGUAUACUCGCGUUUUCACUCUGCCCUUAUUUCAACUGCGAUUUUCUCCAUGAUGAAGACCGAACUGGCUUUUGUGCAAAACACAAAAGUUGUAGCCCUUUGAGUUAGCUUUCCAAUGCUAUAAAAAUCACCCAAAUCGAAGUUGUACAGCUUGAGAUAUGGUCGAAAUACUAUCACCUAGUCAAACCUCUGUUUCCAAUUCCGACCACAGAGUGCAGCUUCUGUAUUCCGACUUUUUGUCCAUGAAAAUGGCAGAAUUGGAUUUCGAUGUCUUCAUACGAAUUGUAGGUCUCUUUCUUAGCUUUAAAAUGGUAUAAAGAUUACCUUAAUCCAAUAAGUGUAGCUCCAAAUAUGGUCAAAAUACCGAAGAGUGUCAACACUGAUUUGUAUUGCAUUUCCUUACUUGAACGUUUUUCACUUCAUUCUUCUGGUUAUCACUUGAAUUCAUCACCAAAUUUCUAUUUUCAUCUCAUUUGACAUCCUUUGGUGAUUGAAUCAUCAUUCCUGCAUAAAAAUGAAGUUUUUACCAUUAAAAUCACUAAAAAUGCAAUAUUAUGCACUUUUACCAAAAAUAUAUAAUUUUACCAAAAACCUCUUUAUUUUAUUUAUAAAACUAAACAAUCAACUCAAAAUUAACUAAUAAAAUGCACUUAAAAAUACGUAAAAUAAACUCUUAUCAUGUAGCAUAGUUAUAACUAAAAUUAAGAUAAGAAAUAACAUUUGAUUAAAUAUUUUAUAACAUCACAAACCACUUAAGUUGCACAUUAUGAGAAGAUGCUCCAAUAUGUCACCUGUGCAAAUACAAAACUAUAACUAUGUAAUAUAAAUAUAACUAUUUUCAAUUAAAAUAAAGAUAAACAUUAUGUUAAUAUACCUUGAAAUUUCAUCCUUUUUUAUUAAGAGUAAAUGGAGUUUUACGUUCUUUCAUAGAACUAAAUUCAUCUCUAAUUGAAUCAAUGCUAAAUUUUCGAACAACUUCCUUUUUUUAUGUACAUUGUUAGGCAAUCAUUCAAGAAAUAAUCUUUUAUCUUGUUUUGGAGCUUUAUUUUGAUUAUUUUCAUAAUUGAAAAUAUCCAUUCUAUAGACUAUAAAACCGAGCCAGGAUUUUUUCCUUGGGAAGGGGGCCAAAAUUUUUCUGAACAAAAUUAUCUUAAUAUGUUAUGUUCGAAAUAAUUUCAUCUAUUUAAAUAUAUGACAUCUUAAAAUAUCAAAUAUUAAUUUUAAUUAUAAAUGUUGUCUAUUUAAAUAUAUGCAGCAUAGUCAUAACAAAAAUUAGGACAAAAAAUAACCUUUGAUUAAAUAUCUUAUAACAUAACAAACUACCCAAAUUGUACAUUAUGAGAAGAUGCUUCAAUAUGUCAUUUGUGAAAAAAAUAAAAAUAUAACUAUACAAUAUAAUAUAACUAUUUUCAAUUAAUAAAAGAUAAAAGUUAUGUUAGCAUACCUUAAAAUUUCAACCUCUUUUCUUAAAAGUAAAUUGAUUUUUACGUUCUUUCAUAAAACUAAAUUCAUCUAUAAUUGAAUCAGUGUUAAAUUUUGAUCAUCCAUUUUUUUUAUGUACAUUGUUAGACAGUCAUUCAAGAAAUUAUUUUUUAUCUUGUUUUGGAGUUUUGUUUUGAUUAUAUUCACAAUUGAAAAUGUACGUUCUAUAGUUGCAGUUGAUACAGAAAGAAUGAGAACAAAUAUAAUCAAUUUGCCAAUAACAGGAUAUAUCACUCAAUUUCUGGUCUUCAUCAAGCCUUCAAGUAAUUAUUUGUAUAUUUGUAUAUGAGUCAACAAGAGGAUAGAUCACUAAUUUUAAAUUUUUUAUCAAUUAGACUAAGGUAUAUAUUUGUAUAUGGACCAAUAAAGUAAUUAUUUUUAUUUUAGCCCAUUGAUAAUUAUGAAUUGAGUCUUUUAUUAUAAUACAUCAAAUUGGGUCAAUUUACUAUGGAUCAUCAAAUUAUAUGUUUAAUUUUUUGAAUGUUAAAUAAUUAGUACAAUAAAAAAUAAAUAACUUUUUUUUUGAAGAAAAAAUUAAAUCAAAAGGUGGCUAAUUCACACACACACACACACACACAUAUAUAUAAACUUUCAUAAUAUAAACUAAAAUUGUAAAAAAUUAGGGGGACCAACUUUGACUUAUACAUAUAUUUACAUUAUAUGAAUUAAAAUUUUCAAAACUUAGGGGGCCAUGGCCCCCUCUCCCCCCCCCCCCCCCCCCUUGGCUCCAUCAUUGUGUAACUGCUUCUCCAUCCGGUUCAAGCAUAACUAGAUGCAAGGAAUUAGUCAGCCAGGCUCUGGGACUCAAUAAAAUACAGAAAUGCAGAUGUGGAGAGAAAGAGAGAGAUGGAGGGGUGCCUGAUCAAGAUUAGCUGUACAUAUCACCAGAAUUCUUUUACAAGUCCGUUCAGGUAUGCAUUGGGCAUGCAUUAUCAUUACUGAUGCAUCUUUUCUUCCCUCGGCAUUAAUGCUGACCUCAGUAAUUUCUAUCAACAGCUUGGUCUUAUCGAUCGCAAUGCAGACGCAGCUGUAAUUCGUGCAACAGAUUAUGCGAACGAAGCUGAUCGGGCUUGCAGGACAAAAAUGCGAGAUGCAAAAUCCAAAUACCGAUUGGAGGAUCUUAACCUUCCUUAUAUUUGCAUGGAUCUAGUGUACCUGUAUACUAUACUGGUAGAUGGAUUGGGUACGUCAUUUAAGCAUCUCAAUCUCUUGUUCGUACAUUUAUCCUUCAGAUUAAUCAGGAUUCAGGAAAGAUGCUGCAAUUCACAGGUCUAGAUCCUUGGCAAGAGAUUAAAUUGCUGCAUCAGAUAACAUACCAGGAUUGGUUGGCUGGACCAACAUGGCCACUGGGCUAUGCCAUUGAUGUUGCCUCAUCAAUCACAGAAAGCCAAAUGACAGCCUAGUCAUAUGGGGUUUAAUUUUGUUGUUAUUUUACACUUGUUGUUUAUGUUCCUAUAGUUAUGUCCAUUGAAAUUUGAAGAGUGCACUUGUGGUUGAUCAUGACAAUUAUAUAGCCCCUUAUUUCCAAUUUGCUGUCCCUUUUUCAAACGCGUUGAUUAGUAUAUAAAGCCAUUUCUGGCUCAUUCUACUAUUGAAUUUAAAAAUAUCCUAAAAUAUAUCCCAAAAAUACCACUAAAAACAUCUACAGUAAAAGUUUUUCAUAUACAUUAUUACAGCAAAAUAUUUCAAAAAUAUCCCAAAAAACAGCUAAUCCAAACAGAGCCUAAAUUUCACCAUUUCCAUCUAAUGAUGUUAGUAUUAAUUAGCUUUAUGUCCCACAUUAUGCAUGACAAUUACAAAUAAUUCAAAAUUUAGAAUAAAAUACUUAUAAAUUUUUUCAUAGAAAACAAUUUAAAAUUUUUACAAUUACAUGCAAUUCAAUGAUUAUUUUUUAAGUUAGUUUAAUAAAAUAUUUUCUACUUAAAAUAUAGAAAUUUAAAUAUUUGAACUAAACUAACUAAUAAGUAGUAUUAGAUAACAUUAAUUAAAUUUAUUAAAUAGUAGUUAUCUUUAAAAUUAACCAAUAUUAUUCCAAAUGUCUUCAGUUGGUUGUAUUUACUUCUUUUUUUUAUCAUUAAGGAUAAAUUACACUUUUCUCCCCAAUGAUUUAGCUCUUAUCCACAUAUACUCUCAUAUAAUUUCAAUAACUAUAUUUGACCCCUCAUAAUUUGGACUAAAAUAUCAAAAUGACAAGACUUACCUUCUGUUAUAGAGUCGACUAAAAUAUGAAAUUUAUUUGUAAACCACGAGGGAGUUAUGAUAUAUUUUGAAACCAUAUAAGGCUAUAAUAAAAACUGCUAAAUCAUAGGAGAUUAAAGUGUAUCGUAUGCUAUAUUAAAUUUUUGUCCACUUCAAUCAUUACAGUUUCUAGAUGAGGAUAAUCUUGACAUUUCAUCUAAUUUCAUUACAGAGGUGAUUUUCCUUAUUUUGACACUUUAAUCCAAAUUUCGAUAAUGUUAUUUAUAGAUGUUGUAAUUAUAAAGAGUUAUGUGCGAAGCCACUAAAUCGCACGAGGGUAAAGUAUAAUUUAACCAUUUUUAUUCUAUAUUAUCGUUGACUUUGUCCUUCUUGAUUAAGAACUCGUAUGAAUUUUUAACAAGAAUAAAAACAAAAUGAAAACCCACCUUCACGUGGUAGGAGAUUUGGUAUGGCCCCUACCCGUUAAUAACUAGUUCGCAAUCUGAAAGAGAUUUAGUGAAAGAUUCUUGUUCCAAUGAAAUCCAAUCGAGAGCCGCGUAGCAUGUACGCUCAAAUUGACGAUUGGUGCUAACCACAUUUGACCGGGCUCAUUUAAUUAACAAAAGGGUAAAUUACAUGCAAUUAACUUUGUACUCUUGUCUCACUUUGUCGGCUUUGAUUUUAUUUAUUAUCAAUUUACCCCUUUUUUUUGGUACCUUGAGGAACCAAAGUACCCCUUCAAUGUCAUGCCAAAUUCAUAAGUAGGGUUCAGUUUUGAGUAGAUUUUGAGAAAGGGGAAUCAACUAAUAUUCACUCAGUUUAAAGAAUAUUGUAAGCCUUGCGAAAUUACCUAGAAGCCUUAUCUUUCUUCUUCCAAUGAUAAUUGUACCUUUCUUGGCUUUUUUUUUUUUCAAUCAUUUUUUCCCUUUAAAUCUUUCUCUUCCCCUUCAUCAUCUUCUUCUGGCUACCACUAUCACUACCCUUUAAGAUGGCAUAUUUACAAAUUAUGCAUUCAAUUUUUUCAAAAGUUGAGCUGAGGAUUUUAGUCAACCAUAGUGACAUUGAAGGCAAACAAACAAACAAUUUUAAUUUGAUCUAACAAAAGUGCCCCCAAACAAUAAAUAGUAAAUGUUUUUAUAAUGAGUGUUCAUUGGGCAUGUAUUAGUGCACCAAAUCCAUUAUAUGUGUGUGUGUGUGUGUGUGAGUGCAUACAAUUACAUUGAUUGUCCCUUCCUUGUGCUUAAACAUUUUUGCUAAUAUAAUUUUGUUUUUAGUUUUUUUCCAAACAUUAACACUUGACACUUUAAACAAAUCCAAAAAAGUACACACACACACACACAUAUAAUGGAUAAGGUAUACUUUUUCUAAUUGAUGCCCAUAGCGCAUCAAAUCUAUAACCAUGUACAUGUAAAUGCAUACAUUGUUAUUGAUGGUCCCCUCACAUUUGAAUUUUUGUUAUAUCAUUUCAUAAUUUUUCCAAAAAAAAAAAAAACCUAAAAUCUCAGACUAUAGCAUUAAAAAAAAUACGCAUCAGAAAACUCAAAAACUAAAAAAAAAUCUUAAAUAUCAGCAUGUAAUGCUUCAUAACACCAUGGAAUCUUUCUUUUUUUCUAAUUUAUUUGGGGGCCAAGAGGGGGGUUCGUCAAACCGCGGAAUCUUCUUUACUUGCGUGUUGGUUCUUUCUUGAUAUUGCACUCAGUCUUAAUUGGAAGCUUUCCUCCUCGAACCUGGAAAAUUUUGCAUUCUUGACCCGGCGAACAUUUUUUCCUUCUCAUUGGUAGAGGAGAAAAUAAGCAACAACAAACCCGAGAUUGACCUACAUUGCAGAGAGUAACAAUAAAAUGGCAAAACUAAAUUAAAAUUAGAAGGCAGACGACUUUGACUUUGAGGAAAAUAAACUACUGUAGUAUUAAAAGCAACUUCACAAGUAAAUAAAAAAAAAAAUUGACUUUAAAGUCAAGGACAUUGUAACACGCUGCAGUUUCCGGCCGGGGCUGAAAACCCUAUAAAUGAAGUAAAGAUUCUUUGCAAUUUUUAUAUCAACUCAUAUUCAUCUAGCAAAAGAAAAAUCAUGACAGACCCUUGUGUGGAAUUUGCUCUCGCAAAGCUUGAUGCUUUUCUAACGGGAGAAUUGCAGUUGCCAAAGAAAGUUGAUACUGGGAUCAGGACUUUGAGAAGUGAACUGGGUACUAUAACAGCAUUUCUGAGUGCAGCUCAUCAAAGAGCGGUCCAAGAUCAACAAAUUCUGGAUUGGGUUCGAAAGGUUCAAGAUGCAGCUGAUGACAUCAUCGACAUUCUUGACCUUUUUGAUCAUCACAAGGCAGAAAAUGGCAGGGCAUUAUCGGUGACAAGGCGGCGGGCAUACCGGUCAAUUGCCGAUCAGAUAAAUGAUAUCAAAUCAACUCUCGAGGAAAUCAACAAGGGCAGAGAAAGAUACCAACUUGCAAAUUCGUCCCAAGCUGCCUUACCACCAAGUCCAACUACAAACCGUGUUUACUCACAUCUUCAUCCAAGGAUUGCUCCUUUGUUCCUUGCAGAUGCUGACGUCGUGGGCUUCGAGGAAGAUAGGGACAUGCUGAUGGCGUGGGCACUGGAUAUGGUGGAUGAGCACAAGGUCAUGUUUGUUGUGGGCAUGGGUGGAUCUGGCAAGACUACUCUUGCCAAGCAAGUAUUCGAGGCAGUAAAACAAGACUUCGGUUGCUCCGCAUGGAUCAGUGUUUCAAAGUCCAAGAAGAAAUUGGAGAUCUUGCGGAACAUGUUAGAUCAACUAUGCAGAUGCAGCUCCAGGGCGGAAACGGCCCCAGCUCCCCAGCAGCAAAGCUCGGAACACUACAUCAACCUCAUUAGGGAGUAGUUGCUGGAUAAGAGGUAUGUAAUCGUCCUCGAUGAUCUGUGGGCUGAUGAUGUUU